UGCCCAACACUGGUUUCACCCUCACCUCCCGGACAUUUAAGAUGACAGGGAAUUGCACCACGCCGUGGCAGUGGAAUGAGGAUGCUGUUGUCACUUCAGAUGAACUAUGGCAUGCAAACACCAUGGAGAGUCUCCCUCAUGACAUUGUGAUGCUCCCAUUGCUGAGUAUGGAUAAGGCCAAUGUUGCGCACCUUUCAUUGAUUGACUGGGAUGGUGGAUUCUCAUUAGUUUCCAUCGACUUGAGUAACAUGCAAGUGAUGGGCCCAGUCAUUACAUACCUCAAAGGGAAGGAUGAUACUGCUGAUGCUGACAUCGUCGAGGAAAAGAAAGGAUUAGGUGCACACUUUAUUCCAUCCGAAUUCCCCAAGUUCCUGGAUCUCAGGUAACUUCAGCGUUGCCUCCCACUUUUACUUGAGCACAAUUUUUUUUCAUGCAGCCUUUUGCUCUCUUUUUUUCAGCAGUUAAGGUUUCUGCCAUGUUAUUCUUGAAACCUUUGAGGAAUCAACAGAAUGUGCUGGUUGCUGGGAGUAAUAUGGAUCAAUGUUUUCAAGUCUUUAUGUUGAGUCUAGUCGCUGGGGUACCAACUAGAUGGCUAAUCGUGACUAGGCAACGAUUAAAUGGCGAUUAGCUAUGAGACCAGUCGAUCCACCCUUGCCUAUAGUAGAGAAUGAUAGAGUAUAACACAAAGGUGACGAACUGAUCUCUUGGUUUGAGCCCAACACAUAAUUGUUUUUUUUGGAUUCUUCAAUCUGAAAGUGCAUAAUAGCGUGCCAGCGUUGUGCUUUGUUUCCUUCACUAUUUUGAUUCUACAUGUCAAAUUAUUGAAAGGUUUUGUUCAGUUACCAACAACAUGGAUCCUUAGAAGUAGGUGGCACCCAGCGAAUCAGCAUCAUAUCGAAGAACCCCUAGGUCUUCUAAACAAACCGGCUGGAAUUGUGGAAAUCAAUUAAACUUAAUUAUAUCCAUAGUGCCUUCCUUGUAUAUCAUGUUUCAUUCAGCCAGUAGUAACCUCAGCAACUUGACGGUCUUGGGAAAUUAGGCAAUGGUAGUCUGCCUGAGGUUAAUAUAGGCCCUUUUUGUAUCCGCUUAUUUCCUGCUUAUCAAUGGAAAUAAGCGAUAAGCCCACCCAAAUGCCUAGCUUAUUUCCCGCUUACCUCCCAAGCCGCUUAGCCCACAAUCUGGAAAACAACUAGCGUCCCGCUUAUUCUCUAUGCGGUCUUGGGGCCGCUUCUUGGGCAAGCGAAGCGCUUUUUCCUGAUACCCUCACCCGUCCGCUGCCUGCCGCCCUCCGACCGUCGUCGGCUCCGUCCGCCGCCCGCCUGCCUCCAUCGCUUCCCUGCACAAAUCCCAUCCAGAUCCCGUUGCCAUCAGUCACCAGCACUCCUGCCCAGAUCCCGUCGCCGCCGGUUCCGUUCGCUGCCCGCCGCCGGCCGACCCUACGCUUGGCCCCCUGUGCUUGGCCUCCGGCCGGCCCUGCUGUUCUUUUUUGUGAAGGAGGUGGCGGAGUGCUGGCCGUCUACUGCUGAGUGUUGGUCGUGAGCAGCAUUUGAGCUCGCCGUGCGUGCUGCCGUUGUUGUUGAGAAGGAGCUAGAUAUGGGUGCAUUGCGUCAUGUUAUUGCUGUCGCUAUGGUUCGUGAUUCGUUGUUGUACUCAUGAUGGAUGUUUCCAUACUAGACCGUUCUGUCAUAUGAAUUUCAUAUUAUUGUAAUGAAAUUUCUAUUUAACAAACUCCAAAAAUAUUGGAAUUAUUAUCUUCUCCUCAGAUUCACAAUAAAAAUGAGCUAUUAUCAGCCUCAGGGGCAUUCAGGUCAAUUUACUAGCCAGGACAGACAAUCGACACAAAAUAAUCAGGAUUGCCAAACACCCAGCUUAUACAGACAGCGGAUUCUCCAGACAGCAGGCAGGCUUUUAAGAUAAGCCUGCUUGCCAGAUAAGCGAGUUCAGAAAAACGUAUACAAACAGGACCAUAAAUGUUUCACAGCUUAUUCUGUUGCCUAACUGUUGCUUGUCACGUUGAUCCCAAAAUCGACCAUAAGCUAAGUUAUUUUUUCUUAAUGACGUCCGAGGCACCUGAGAAUCUUUUAUAAUUCUUGGUAACCAUGGAUACUAUCAAAAUAACUUCAGCAAUGGGUGAAUCUAAGACUAUGGGAAGCCUAAAUUUCGAUUUGUACAGAUUAUCUCUGCUGAAAAAAAUUAUUGAAAUCAUCAGCAUGUGUUGUAGCUGACAAUUAUUGUUUCCUAUUUGUAUUGAUGAAGUUCUUGCUACUGUAUUGCAGGAAGAGAGAGAAUCAUCCAUAAGUCCUGUCACCAUAUCGGCUGGCCACCGUCGUCAUGUGUGUUGCUUCUUCAUUUUCCAGUUCUGUUGUGCUGGAUUCUACUGCCGACUUUGUUGAUUGGCUACUACAAUUCUGAGUUUAGUCCUCAGCUUUUGUGUGUUCCCUGCACUUGUGUACUAUAAAUAGCCAGGAAAAACACCUUUACCCGGCUCAUCCGUUGAACUAUAUGAUAAUGCUAGAUGAUGUGUCCAUGCCUUACUAACGUCUUCUACAUGCCAUGCGAGUUAAAAAUCCUGCAAUCAUGUUUCGUGGUAGCAGUUUACCUUUGCACAAUGAAACUCCUCACUAAACCACAGUUCAAUUUGAGGGACUACUGCGUUGUUUUUACAGGGAUCUAAUGCCAUCAAUCAAAUUGUAAAAUACAGACAGGUACGCGUGGAAUGGACACUUGUGUUCAUUCAGAUUUUUGUGAUAUUUCAUACCUAAUGAUUACCAGGUUGUCACGCCCCUACAUGCAAAAUUGGUCUACGAGAUGGAAUAUAAGCUCAAAAGGACGUGAGAGCUGUAUUAUCAUGUAGCUCAUGACCUGGCAGAAGUGAAUAGUUGCACGAAAUACAACAUUGCAAACAAGGUUUUUAUUCAUUUUCUCUGCUGAUGGCACAUGGUAGCAGAAGCAGUGCCACCAAUUGGUGAAAGAUUUUCAGUAAACUGAGUGUUUGACAGAACAAUAUGAUGCCACCAAAGCAAUCUGCAUGAGUUCUCUACCUCCGGAAGUCCAGAUGGUUGCUCUGUUUCAUUCCUCACCAUGGUCAUGGCAGGGCGUGAUGGCACCCCCCCCCUCCCUAGGCGGGGCGCGGAGGCUGCAGGUUCAACUCAGAGUUUAGACCUUAACUUGUUCGUGAGCAAUGCAGAAUGCUACAAAUGUAAUACAGUGGGCAUGCAUGAUGCUGAAACAAACUAGUGCAACUUUUAGUGGAACAAUUGAUGAAUUAUGAUGUGUUGUCCAAGUAAAGGAUCGGUGGUGUUGUUUUGCUGAUCUUUUAGCAAAAAUCUAGUGAUAGUGUGUGGAUAUAUAUCCUAAGUUCCUAAUAACUCAUAGAUGAACAAUGAAUGCUAUAUUGAAUUGAAGCCAUGUUUGUUCUAUUCAAAAUGCAGGGAGCAUGCUCGAGCGGGCUUGGGGGGUCAUGGAGGGUCUGCUAAUGCUGGCACAAAGCCAGACUGGUUCCUUGAAGGGUGAGUAAUUAAUAUCUUUGAUUCAUCUAAGCAGUGCAAAAGUGAUGUGCUUAAUGCCUUGGACAAUGAAGCACCAGCUACUUCUAUGUUUUUUCCACCAAGAUUAGCUCAUGAUUUUGUCACUUUUUCCCACAACCUGCAAGUUUUGAAGCACUUUACUUUUGCCAUGUUAGCCAAAAUUUGGAGACAAGUACAAAGAGUAAGGAUAACCAACUCAUUUCUAGUAUUGGAGCAUCAAAAUCUAGUUCUGGAGCAUCAAAAAGGUAAUACACAGAUCUUAAAAAAUUGGUCAUACUGCUAUUGCUAUUUUGUUGCUACUGUUAUUUUGUUGUCUUUUGUUCAAAUCUAGUUCUAGCAUACACAUGUCAAUAUCAGAUUCAAAUGAACCUCCGCCUACUGCUGCUCCAGUCAAGGCAAAGAGCAAAAGGAAAAAGGAGCCUACUAAAAUGAAAACCACCAUUUCUAUACUGCCACUUGACAGCCCUACAAUGGGCCAAAAAACAAAAGGGUGGAUCCUGCUAGCCCUGCAAUGAGCACAAGGAGCAAAAGAAGGCUCAACCUGUGAUCCUUAUGAAUCUAUAAAUUUGGACUCCGCCAUGAAUCUUUUUAUAUAUCAACCUUUGUGUGUGAACUUGCAUGUGAAUUUGAACUCCUAUGUGAACUUGCAUGUAUAUGUGGUGCCGUUCUGUGAGCUGUUGCGAUAAAAGGAGCUAAGCCUCAGAGCGUUUCCUAGGAUCUGAAUGAAUUUUUCCUUCUUUUUUCUGCUGUCCAGAUCUACUUCUGAGGGAGUUGGAUAUAUUCUAAGGUGCUUGCCAGGUGUUCAAGAGAGGAUUCUGCUUGUUUUUCGUGCGUGUAUAAUGGAGCAACAAGUGGAGGAGGCGAACGGAGCAGCGGUGGAGACCUGCCACAGGGUGCUUGCUUUGCAGAAAAAAAUCAGAAAAAAAAGGCAGGCAGUCGCGUGCAUGCUCCCAGCAAGGAAAAUGAGGCAGAAAAAAAACAAAAAAAUGGCAGCUGCAUGCGCCCGCGCGAUCUGCAUGCACCGGCCAGUCUGCAUGCGUCAGGAGAAGAAGACCCACCUGCACACACCCUCCUUCCCACCCGGCCAGGCCCAGACGCAGGAGACAAGAGAUUAAAGAGGAUAAAUCGAAUCAAUAGCCAACUCCUCUCGUCGUCCUCCCCUCCAAAUCGAGGUAUACCCCAAACCCUAGCCAUCCCCAAUCCGGCCGCCGCGUCUACCGAUCCGUUAGAUUCAUGGCCGCCGCCGCUGCCGGCGACUCCGCUGUACCCAACUGGGUGAUGCUGGAGCGCUUGGUCUUCCGGAGGGACGACCCCGCCUCCUUCCGCGAGGACAGGAGGACCUUCGCUUCCGGCACCACCUCCGCCGGCACUCAAUUCGACGUCUCCUUCAUCCUCGCCGAGCCUCCCACCCCCUCGCGCCUCUACCUCUCGUGGCCGGAAGGGCCCAAGCAGGGGAGCCAGGGCCUGGUCAUGGCGGCCAACCGCAACCUCGUCCUCCUCAGGCUCGAGUACCGCGUCGACGAAUCCGUGCAAUUCGGGGAGGUAGUGCAUGAUUACUUCAUCUACAUAGCUGAUCCCUCCUCACAGCGGAAACCCCUGCUCAGACGGCUGCCCCGCUGCACCGAGUACAACGAUUAUUUUGAGAGGCAAGUUACUCGCGCGUUUCCGGUGCUGGCUGUUGGUCUGUUGUGCCAUGGCGAAGACGAGUUUGCCGUGGCGCAUCUGGCCAUCAGGUCUCGCAAAAAAAAAUCAGGGUCUCGCAAAAAAAAAAUCAUCUAUGCAAGCUGAGCUAUGCGUGCUACGCUCGUCAUUGUCCUGCAGUGAUGAUGCCAAAUGGGAGACCAAGGUCUUUCCGCUACAGUACCAAUACGAUGAUUUAUACUAUGAUUUUCUGAACUGGGAAGUGGAUGGUGUAGUUCCCUUCAAGAAUGCCUUGUGCUGGGUUAACUACUGUAGAGGCAUCCUUUUCUGCGACGGCGUCUCUGAAGACAGACCCAAGGUCUCCUACAUCCGCUUGCCUCUGGAUACUUAUUUCCAAGGGACUGAUGCCGAUGGACGCAAGGGGAUGUACCAUGGCUUGUGUGUCACUGAAGGUGGCCAUCGGUUGGUAUUUGUUGAUGUUGCCCGUCAUGAUGGAAAAUGUUAUGGCCCGAGGAUGCCCAACACUGGUUUCACCCUCACCUCCCGGACAUUGAAGAUGACAGGGAAUUGCACCAUGCCGUGGGAGUGGAAUGAGGAUGCUGUUGUCACUUCAGAUGAACUAUGGCAUGCAAACACCAUGGAGAGUCUCCCUCGUGACAUUGUGAUGCUCCCAUUGCUGAGUAUGGAUAAGGCCAAUGUUGCGCACCUUUCAUUGCUUGACUGGGACGGUGGUAGAUUCUCAUUAGUUUCCAUCGACUUGAGUAACAUGCAAGUGAUGGGCCCAGUCAUUACAUACCUCAAAGGGGAGGAUGAUACUGCUGAUGCUGACAUCGUCAAGGCAAAGCAAGGUUUAUGUGCACACUUUAUUCCAUCCGAAUUCCCCAAGUUCCUAGAUCUCAAGUAACUUCAGCGUUGCCUCCCACUUUUACUUGAGCACAAUUUUUUUUCAUGCAGCCUUUUGCUCUCUUUUUUUCAGCAAUUAAGGUUUCUGCCAUGUUAUUCUUGAAACCUUUGAGGAAUCAACAGAAUGUGCUGGUUGCUGGGAGUAAUAUGGAUCAAUGUUUUCAAAUCUUUAUGUUGAGUCUAGUCACUGGGGUACAACUAGAUGGCUAAUCGUGAUUAGGCAACGAUUAAAUUUGCGAUUAGCUCUAAGACCAGUCGAUCCACCCUUGCCUAUAGUAGAGAAUGAUAGAGUAUAACACAAAGGUGACGAACUGAUCUCUUAGUUUGAGCCCAACACAUAAUUGUUCUUUGUGGGUUCUUCAAUCUGAAAGUGCAUAAUAGCGUGCCAGCGUUGUGCUUUGUUUGCUUCACUAUUUUGAUUCUACAUGUCAAAUUAUUGAAAGGUUUUGUUCAGUUACCAACAACAUGGAUCCUUAGAAGUAGGUGGCACCCAGCGAAUCAGCAUCAUAUUGAAGAACCCCUAGGUCUUCUAAACAAACCGGCUGGAAUUGUGGAAAUCAAUUAAACUUAAUUAUAUCCAUAGUGCCUUCCUUGUAUAUCAUGUUUCAUUCUGCCAGUAGUAACCUCAGCAACUCGACGGUCUUCUGCCUGAGGUUAAUAUAGGCCCUUUUUGUAUCCGCUUAUUUCCUGCUUAUCAAUAGAAAUAAGCGAUAAGCCCACCCAAACGCCUAGCUUAUUUCCCGCUUACCUCCCAAGCCGCUUAGCCCACAAUCUGGAAAACAACUAGCGCCCCGCUUAUUCUCUACGCGGUCUUGGGGCCGCUUCUUGGGCAAGCGAAGCGCUUUUUCCUGAUACCCUCACCCGUCCGCUGGCUGCCGCCCUCCGACCGUCGCCGGCUCCGUCCGCCGCCCGCUUGCCUCCAUCGCUUCCCUGCACAAAUCCUGUCCAGAUCCCGUUGCCAUCGGUCACCAGCACUCCUGCCCAGAUCCCGUCGCCGCCGGUUCCGUUCGCUGCCCGCUGCCGGCCGACCCUACGCUUGGCCCCUGUGCUUGGCCUCCGGCCGGCCCUGCUGUUCUUUUUUGUGAAGGAGGUGGCGGAGUGCUGGCCGUCUACUGCUGAGUGUUGGCCGUGAGCAGCAUUUGAGCUCGUCGUGCGUGCUGCCGUUGUUGUUGAGAAGGAGCUAGAUAUGGGUGCAUUGCGUCAUGUUAUUGCUGUCGCUAUGGUUCGUGAUUCGUUGUUGUACUCAUGAUGGAUGUUUCCAUACUAGACCGUUCUAUCAUAUGAAUUUCAUAUUAUUGUAAUGAAAUUUCUAUUUAACAAACUCCAAAAUUAUUGGAAUUAUUAUCUUCUCCUCAGAUUCACAAUAAAAAUGAGCUAUAAAUUCGGAGUACAAGAUAAUUGGAGUCACGUACAACAAUAAGAAGCUAGCAUGCGUGUAUAUGGGCACGGAGUCCAAAUCGGCUUCAUUGGAUUGAUCGGCAAGGAGAGGCAAGGAUGAUAUAAAGGAAUGGCCAGCACGUAUGGAUAAAAAUGAUUAGAAUAUACAACAUGGAUUCUGGUGCACUUUGCAUGCCAUGCGUGGGAUGCUUCCAGAAUAAUUAUGCAUGCGGCCGAUCUGUGCAUGUACGGGAGGUUGUUUCAUAGAAUAAAAUAUUUUAGAGAUAGAGUUGGGUUAGUUAGAGAUAGAGUUUUUUAUUAGAAAAGAUUGUGUACGUGACUUGCCUUGUGCGUGGUUAGAUACCAAUUAUGUAACGUCCGCCCUAUAAAUAUAAAGGGACGUGGCCAUUGUAAAGAAUAAUCACACGAUCAAUAAACAAACAUAUUUACCUUUACCUUUCGGCUCCACGCCAUUGCCCUAGGAGUAGGAGUAAUGUAGUUUCUCGAUGAGUUCCUUCUAGCAAGUUGGGCUGCAUCGACCUCGAUCUCCGGCGAGCUGCAAGUUCUUGUCACCAGGUGUUCUAGGCUUUAACCACCGGGCGCAUCGCUGUGGUUUCGUCUAGUUUCAUCUACCAGUUAUCGAGUAUCUUGGAUCUUUGACUUAUGGCGCAUCGCUUCUGUCUCGAUCUACGGUAUUCGCCAGUUAUCCCGCCUUGAUUAAGCUUGCAUCGGCUGAUAUUUAUCUGUUCUAUCAUCUUGCCAUUUACGACAUAUUAAUUGUUAUUAAUUCUGUCGGAAUAGACGAUAGAUCUAUUUUUAAUAGCCUGUUGCAUCUUAAUCUUGGUUACCCCUUCGAGUGCUGUUGGGAUUAAGUUUCGUUAUGAUUGGAUUCAUCGGCUGGCGGGGUUCAGAUUAACAUCCUGCUAAAUAUUUCUAGACUGCAACUACCGGGCGCAUCGCUGUGGUUUCACCUGGACAUAUUAGCGGUGACGUUACUUUAGAUCUCAUCGGUUUGUGGCUCUAGCUAUGAUGGGACAACAACUCAACAUCAUCUCGUUUCCUAUCGGCCGUCUGGCUGAUGGUUAUUGUAAAUUAUAUUAAAUCGGCUGGAUGGCCGAUGAAUCACUUACAUUCAUCAAGGUACUGGAAUCGGCUUCACAGCUAAUAUAUUUAUCAUGAUUUCUUUUGUUGCACCAUUAUCGCUAUUGUGCCAGGAUUAUAUCGGCCUGAUCGGCCGGUUGCCUCAGACUUCACAAACGACUAUCAUCUCCUUGUCAGUUGAAUGGUCAAACUGACUGGCACGCUCGCGCACACCACGCGCGCCGAUUUGGAUUCUGCACUGGAGUUAAGCAGAUCUCCCAGGUCCUCAUGUGCUGAUGCAGGGUCCACUACCGUCGGGAUCUUGCGUCAACAAUCAGCCUCAGGGGCAUUCAGGUCAAUUUACCAGCCAGGACAGACAAUCGACACAAAAUAAUCAGGAUUGCCAAACACCCAGCUUAUUCAGACAGCGGAUUCUCCAGACAGCAGGCAGGCUUUUAAGAUAUGCCUGCUUGCCAGAUAAGCGAGUUCAGAAAAGCGUAUACAAACAGGACCAUAAAUGUUUCACAGCUUAUUCUGUUGCCUAACUGUUGCUUGUCACGUUGAUCCCAAAAUCGACCAUAAGCUAAGUUAUUUUUUCUUAAUGACGUCCGAGGCAUCUAAGAAUCUUUUAUAAUUCUUGUUAACCAUGGAUACUAUCAAAAUAACUUCAGCAAUGGGUGAAUCUAAGACUAUGAGAAGCCUAAAUUUCGAUUUGUACAGAUUAUCUCUGCUGAAAAAAAUUAUUGAAAUCAUCAGCAUGCGUUGUAGCUGACAAUUAUUGUUUCCUAUUUGUAUUGAUGAAGUUCUUGCUACUGUAUUGCAGGAAGAGAGAGAAUCAUCCAUAAGUCCUGUCACCAUAUCGGCUGGCCACCGUCGUCAUGUGUGUUGCUUCUUCAUUUUCCAGUUCUGUUGUGCUGGAUUCUACUGCCGACUUUGUUGAUUGGCUACUACAAUUCUGAGUUUAGUCCUCAGCUUUUGUGUGUUCCCUGCACUUGUGUACUAUAAAUAGACAGGAAAAACACCUUUACCAGGCUCAUCCGUUGAACUAUAUGAUAAUGCACUAUGGGAAACCUUAAAGUUGCUGAGUGUAAUUACUUCGCCGAGUGUAUUAUUGCGGGCACUCGGCGAAGGACCGGUUUGCCGAGUGCAAUACUCGAAACACUCGGCAAACAUAAUACACUCGGCGAAAACACUAUUUGCCGAGUGCCACCAAAAAAACACUCGGCAAACACCCACGGGGCACUCGGCAAAGAUGGAGCACUUGGCAAAGUGAUGAGCACGUGACUUCCCCGUGCCGCGACGGGCCGGCGCCGUGACGGACGUUAGGCUUUGCCGAGUGUCGACGGGGGGCACUCGGCAAAGCCACUAGUUUGCCGAGUGUCGUGAUGGAACACUCGGCAAACCUAUUACUUUGCCGAGUGUCGUCAUGGGACACUCGGCAAAGUGGCGAGUAUGCCGAGUGCUAGAGGGAACACUCGGCAUACUUUAGGGUUUGCCGAGUGUUUUUCGACACACUCGGCAAAAGUAAUUUUUUUCCCUCCUCCACCCUCCAAACUUUUUACACUCCACAUGUAUGGCAUUUGGCACUGCAUGGUAGAAGGUGGACUAUUUUUUAACCUGUUUGCUAUAUUUAAUCAAUUAAUUUUAUUUAGAGUAAUUUUUUUAUUUAAGUCAAAUUUGAACUGCAGGUGAUUGGAAUAAUGGAAUAAUAUGAGUGGAAAAAUAUAUUCAUGUUAGUGAGUCCAAAUUGAGGUCUCACCCAGAAAAUGAAAAGAAAUUUCGAACAUUUUGCUAAGGAAACACGACUACGAACGUGUGGCCAAAUGAUUGUUUAAUUCUCAAAAAUACAAACGAAGUUUGAAAAUCACGAGAUUUUGCAAGAUGCUAUCAUUUCAUAUGCAGAGGCUGUGGUAAAAAAUUAACAAGAUUUCGCACAAGUUUUGACAUAUGAUGUUUAGAAUUCGAAGCAUCUCCGGAGAGGAUUCGUAGAAGUUGGAAGGAUCCGGUAAGAUUUUGAGACGAAUCGAUACAUGUAUUUCUCAUUGAGUCCCAUUUUUUUUAUAGGCUAUAGAGAACAUAGAUUGGUUCAUGUCAAAUUUUGGGAAUUUUUCAGAUCCGUUUGGUAAUUUUUAUUCAUUAAUUGCACAAAUUUAAUAGAUAUAAAUUUAAUAUGAGCUAUAAAUCCAUGAAAUGAUGGAACAAUAUUACUUAAAAAAUGAAAUACGCAAUGUUUAGUGAAUUUGACAAGGUUUUUGCAAACUUUACAUACUUUUAAUUAAUAAAACAAGUUUGACAUGAAAUAAUAGUACCUAUUUGCCGAGUGUCAAGGGAUGGCACUCGGCAAAGAGCCUAUUUGCCGAGUGUCAACCCUGGGACACUCGGCAAAUGUCGCCGCGGUCCACCUGUCAGCCGCACUUUGAAAUCCGAAAAAAAAAAUUAAAAAAAAAAUUGUUUCCCGAGUGCUCCUGAUCUAGCACUCGGCAAAGGCUUUGCCGAGUGCUAGAUCAGGAGCACUCGGCAAAGCGAGUGGCCUAACCACUCUUAGCGCAUCACGCGCCUCACGUGGACAGGCACAGGCACAACACGAACACGCACACGCCCGCGCCCGCCCGGCCCCCCACGCCCGCUCCGCCCGCCUGCGCCCGCUCCGCCGCCGCCCAGCCUCCCGCGCCCGCUCCGCCGCCGCCCAGCCCCCCGCGCCCGCUCCGCCGCCCCGCACCGCCCGGCCGCGCCGCCGCCGCCGCCCCGCGCCGGGAUCCGGGUGCCGGCCGCCGGCCCCCCGGCCUCCCCCGCCCCGCCGCCGGCCGUCCGCGCACGGGCGCGCCCGCCCCCGGCCGCCCGCGCCGGCCCCCCGCGUCCGCUUCGGCCGGCCGCGGCCGCCCCCGUCCGGCCGCCGCACCGUCCCCCGGCCGCCCCUGCUCCUCUAUUCGUGGCCGUCGCCCCUCCGUCACCCCUCCGGUAAGUUUCUAUGCCACUACACAUCAUAAAUUAGAGUAGGCAUGAAAUUAGAAAUUAGAAAUUAAAUGUUGAAAAUACUAGAGAGGUGGUAGGAUGUGGUAGCAUUUAUUUUAGAAAUUAGAGGCAUGGAUUUAGAAAAUUCGAGAAGAAGGAAGAGUGGAAAUCAGAAAAUGUUGAAAAGAAUAGAGGUGUGGUUGGUUGUGGUUGUGGUUGUUGGCCAUCGUGCCAACUCUUUGGUGAGAUUGUGGUUGUCGGCUAUCGUGCCGUUUAUUAUGUUGCAGGUUUUGGAAACCUCCCCGUGCAGGGGAGUUGCUGCCGAAAUUUUGACUUAAACAGUGCUUUGUUUCUUUUGUUGCAGGAGAGGCUUACAAGGACCGUCCUCGACUCGUCACUUUGCAGGAUAGCAAGGUGAGGCAUGCUACACCUCUCUUUCCGUAUAAUGUUCGCAUAUCACGUAACCUAGUUAGGCGUCUCCCGUUCGAAAGAGAUACGGUUGCAAAUAUGCAGAUUUUUGCAUAUCUAUAAUCGUAUCUGUUUCGAAUUGUCCACGUUUUUUGGACAGCCCGAGGAUGUGUAGGUGGGUUUAGUAUCCAUGAUCUAUUUCGGUCCGAGAUAGAGUUUCGGCAGCACCUCCCUGUUGUUCUCCAGAUACACAAUCUCCUAUCAAGGACGUGUAUUUGGAGAAUAGCGGGGAGGUGCUGCUGAAAUUUUAUCUCGGGUCGGAGUAGACCAUGGAUACUAAACCCACCUACACAUCCUCGGGUGGGAUUAGGACCUAUCUUUACCUAGUAGACAAUAUAGGAACGUGUAUAUGCAAUGUGAAUUUUGUAUUACUCAUUUAAAUGGUAGAGGAUGGAGGAUCGUCAGUGGAUGUACACGGGUCGCACUAGUCAGAAUACGUUGACCAAUGAAUGGCUUGACAAGACGGAUGCUUUCUUGGAACGGGCGUUUGCAAGUGUCAAUGGAGCUCGAUCGACUUGGUGUCCGUGCAGCAAAUAUGGAAACAUGCGUCGGCAAACCAAGCUAAACAUGGGCAAACAUCUGGUGAAGAACGGAUUUACGUCAGACUACACCAGGUGGAUCUACCAUGGUGAAUCUGACCGUGGGAGAGAGGAGGUCUUGAGACAACGCAUCGAGGAAUUUGAUGAUGAUGCCGGGGUGGGAGACAUGUUAAAUGACUAUCAUGAAGCACACUUCGAAGAGGCACGUAGGGAGGAGGAGCCAGAGGCUACCGCUAAGGCUUAUUACGAAAUGUUUUCUGCGGCACAGCAACCCCUUCACGGCCAUACCAAGGUUUCUCAGCUAGAUGCCAUUGCACGCCUAAUGGCUGUGAAGUCUCAGUUUAGUUUGAGUCGAGACGCGUUUGAUAUUAUGUUGACAGUUUUUGGAAGCCUACUCCUGGUUGGUCACAUCUUGCCAAAGAGCAUGUAUGAGGCACAGAAACUCCUUCGUGCACUUAAGAUGCCAUACGAGCAUAUACAUGCUUGCUCGAAGGGAUGCAUCUUAUUUAGGAAAGAGUAUGCGGAAGCAAAAUACUGUGUGAAGUGCGAAUCGUCUAGGUUUCUGGAGGUUGACUGUGGUGACAGUCAGAAAAAGCAGCUCGCAAUUCCUGUGAAGGUUCUACGGUAUCUUCCUUUCAUACCGAGGAUCCAACGGCUUUUCAUGACUAAAGAAUCCGCGAAACAGAUGACAUGGCACAAAAAUGGCCGUCGCUAUAAUCCUGAGAAGCUGGUACACCCAUCCGAUGGUGAAGCCUGGAGAAGCUUUGAUGCGAUUUAUCCUGCAAAAGCUCUAGAGGCCCGUAACGUACGCGUUGCGUUGGCAACUGAUGGGUUCAAUCCUUAUGGAAUGGCGGCCGCCCCGUACACCUGUUGACCCAUUUUCGUUAUCCCCCUGAAUCUCCCACCCGGCGUCCUAUUUCAAUGACAUAAUAUAUUCUUGUCGUUGAUAAUUCCAGAGCAUCCGGGGAAUAAUAUGAGUGUGUAUAUGGAGCCUCUGAUUGAUGAUUUGCUCCGUGCUUGGGAGGAAGGGGUAUGGACCUAUGACCGAUCCACAAAGACAAACUUCAAGAUGCAUGUUUGGUACCAGUACUCACUGCAUGACUUGCCGGCAUAUGGGAUUUUCUCCGGAUGGUGUGUUCACGGGAAGUUCCCAUGCCCAGUAUGUAAAGCAUCUUUGAAGUUCAUUUGGUUGUCGAAAGGUGGCAAAUAUUUUUCGUUCGACAAACAUCGACAAUUCCUCCCUCCUGACCAUCCAUUUAGAUGAGACAUCAAAAACUUUACCAAAGAUGUUGUAGUUACAGCCCCCGCACCGCCGAUGAUGACAGGGGCCGCAGUUCGUGCUCAGUUAGACGCUCUUGAGGUCAAUAAUGAAGAAGGUGGUUUUUUGGGAUAUGGCGAGCAACAUGCUUGGACGCAGAAGUCGUGCUUGUGGAAGCUUCCCUAUUUUGAUGAUCUCCUUGUUCCACAUAACAUUGAUGUAAUGCACACGGAAAAAAAUAUCGUCGAGGUAAUUUUUGGUACAAUAAUGGACAUUCCUGACAAGACAAAGGAUAACGUUAAGGCUAGAGUGGAUCAAGCGACAUUGUGCAACAGACCACAGCUAAACAUGGCGCCUCCAAGAGCUGGCAAGUCGUGGAGGAAGCCUAAGGCCGAUUUCGUUCUAACGAGGGCCCAAAGGAGGGAGGUUCUAGAAUGGUUCCAAACAUUAAUGUCCCUGAUGGCUAUGCAGCGAACUUGAAGAGGGGAGUGAAUUUAGCAACUAUACGAAUCAACGGGCUCAAGAGUCAUGAUUACCAUAUAUGGCUUGAGCGCCUACUUCCGGUGAUGGUUCGAGGCUAUGUCCCUGAGCAUGUGUGGCAGGUGCUAGCGGAGUUGAGCAAUUUCUUCCGCCGACUUUGUGCGAAGGAGUUAUCUCAUACCGUGGUUGCAGAAAUGGAAACAAUGGCGCCUGUGUUGCUCUCUAAGUUGGAGAAGAUCUUUCCUCCAGGCUUCUUCAAUCCAAUGCAGCAUAUGAUUCUACACCUCCCGUAUGAAGCACGAAUGGGGGGCCUGUGCAGGGUCGUUGGUGCUACUCAAUUGAGAGAUGUCAAAAGGUUCUUCGAACUAAAUGUAAGAAUAAGUGCAGAAUUGAAGCAUCCAUUGCAGAGGCAUACAUUCUGGAGGAGGUGUCAAACUUCACAUCGAAAUACUACGCUGACAACCUUCCUAGCGUGCAUAAUCCACCUCCUCGUUACAAUGCCAGCGAAGAUGAAUUAAGCUUUAGCAUUUUUCGAGGGCAACUCAGAAGUGCAAGUGGUGCGACCCGCAAGACCCUUAACCAUGAAGAGUGGCGCUCUAUCAUGCUGUAUGUGUUGACCAACCUAUAUGAAGUGGAGCCGUACAUGAUGUAAGUCAUCGACAAACUUGUUUCGAUGUAGUCAUGGUAUCUCUUGCCUAAACGUAUCUUUCUCGUUGCUAUAGGCAAUUUCAUCGUCAAUUCUGGCGUAAAUCAAGGCAACCGUACUCGCAUGAAGCUGAGACUCUUCUUAAAGAGGGUGCGGGAAAUGGAAUGCCCGAUUUCAUUUCUUGGUUCAAACAGAAGGUACAAUUUCAUUUCUUUGAACAUUCUCGUUCUCGUACAUACGAUUAAUAUAACAAACCGCCCUGUUUGAACUUGCAGGGCCGAACCGAUGCGUCUAUGAAUGUCGAGUUGAGACAGGUUGCCGGUGGCUGUGACUAUAGGGUCAGGUCGUUUGCCGGUUAUGACGUCAACGGAUAUAGGUUUCACACAACAAGGCACGAGCAGAGUCGGCCCAAUCGAAGAACCACAAAUACCGGAGUUUUCACGCCAGGCUCCGAUGGGGUCGAGUACUACGGAAGAAUUGAAGAAAUAUACAAACUCACUUUUCAUGGGUGCAAACCUCUUAAUCCAGUUAUAUUCAAAUGCCAUUGGUUUGAUCCAUCUGUCGUGAGACGGGCCCCUAACCUUGGGCUAGUCGAAAUUCGACAGUCAUCCAGGUUACCAGGAGACGAUGUCUAUAUUGUGGCUCAACAAGCCACGCAAGUUUAUUAUUUGUCAUACCCGUGCCAAACCGACAGCCGUCUUAAGGGUUGGGAUGUUGUGUACAAGGUAUCGCCACACGGUAAACUACCUGUACCAAACAAUGAAGAUUACAAUAUAGACCCCGACACGUACGAAGGAGAGUUAUUCCAAGAAGAUGGGCUCGAAGGGAGUUUUGUGAUAGAUUUAACCGAAGCGAUCGGAAUGGAAGUAGACAAUGAGAGGGUUGCUGCAGAGGACGGUGGAGACGAGGUUCAGAAUGUGAAGGACUUAGAAUUACUUCAAUGAUUACAGUUAGCUAAUGACAGUGAUGACGACAUUCCUUCUUCGGAGCACGAGCUUGACUAUAUCGACACGCGUGAUAGUGAUGAUGAGACUUAUGAUCCAGCUAAUCCCGAUCAUGAUGAUUAUUUCUAAUAUAUGUAUGAUUCGUACUAAUUUAGUUAUAAUUUAAUUAUAAUUUGCAUAUCUUUGUAAUUAUGUUUUGUUUACCUAUGCUGACUCGUGUACUCUUUUUAAUUGUAGGUCAUUAAGCAAUGGUGGGCGGUAUGAGGAAGCUCACGUCAAUUUGCGAGAGACUGGCCACGGCAGGGACUGGUUCAGGGUCAGGGUCACGUUCAGGGAGCGGUCGAGGGAGGCGUUAAGGCAGGCCUCGACGUAGGGUUGAGGAGGAGGAGGAGGAGGAGGUGGUGGUGGUCCAGAGGCCUCGAGGGAAGGGUAAAGCGGCGAGGCCCCCGUCGCCUGAACCUGAGGUGGAGGAGGAGGAGGAGGAGGAGGAGGAGGUACCUUCCGCACACGCCUCUGCGGACGAGGAGGCGGAGGAGGAGGAGCAGCAGGAGCAGGAGGGGGACGGGGAGGCAGGGGAUGCCCAGUCCAAGAUAUGGUUGCGAGGUCCCUCAUCCCUUCCGAAGCGGCCGAUACCUGAGCAUUUACGCCCGCUGAUUAAACCGGUUGGGACCAAGUAAGUAACUUUAAAUAUUCUUAAUAUUGUUAUUAUGUUGAAAGUUACAAAAACUAAUAAUUCAUAUUAAUGACUUGUGCAGGAGUUGGAUUAAGCUCAGUGGGGGUGACCACAACCGUAAGGCCAACGAGAUCCUUGGCCUUUUGUGCAGGGUUCACUUCCCUGGCUUGGUGGUGUACGCCGGACAGCUGCAGCCGGCCUACACGUGGGACCACUACGUCGCCGCCCCCGACGUCCCUGAUCGUCAACAGAGAAGAUUCCCCAACAAAGCGGAGCGGGUCAAGGCCGAGCUGUGGGUAAGUACUCCUCGUACUAAAUUGCUCAAUACAUCACCUACUUUCGACAUUCUUGAAAUAAUAACUGUAUACGCAUGUAUAUGCAGGACUUCUAUAGAUGCCCGGAGGGGUUCGAGGCCAAGGCGAAGGCCGUCUGUGAUGUAGCCGCCAAGAAGCUCGUGAAGGACAUGCAUUACGAGGCGCGCAUCCAGGCCAUCAUCGAAUUCCACGCUCAAUACAGACAGAUGAAGGUUAGAAAAGAGGAGGCAAGAACAAUGAACAUGACUAAGGACCAAUUCAUGAGGGUAAGUAAAGAACGUUGAUGUUUACUAUUUAUGAUUAAUUAGGCUCAUUUUCUUGUUCAUAUGUCACACGCUUGAUGAUGUAGGUGCCUCCGUGGUGGUGUCGUGCGCAUAUGCCGUGCUGGGAGAGGAUGGUCGACGUGUGGUUGGAGCCCGGGUGGUUGGAGAACCACCUUGCUUGCUGGCAGCGGCGUUUGCAGAUGCCGACUGCACCACACCAUCAAGGCAGCCUAAGCCUUGAUGAAUAUAGAGAAAAAUGGGUACGCAACUUCAAUUCUUUAUUGUAACGUUCAGUUCUACGUAAUUUUUAAUGAUUUUGUAUUUUGCCGCAGUCGGCGUCACAUGAUGGCCGACCAUGCUCCCAGCUCAAGGCAUGGGUCCUCUCCAAAAAGGGCAAGGCGACGGUCGAUAUAGAUUUCAACCCAGACGACCCGUCCGAGGCGUACAGCCACCCUAGCAUACACAACCGCAUCAGCGAGUAUACAAAGAUGGCUAGGGAGGUUCACGGGCCAGACUUCGAUCCGAGCUCCGAGGACAUUGAUGGAGAAAUCGUGAUGAGGGUGGGAGGAGGCAAGAAGCAUGGCCGAUAUUGGAUUGGCGACGGCGUCAUCGACACGGCCUCUACUCCCACUCUCUCCCAGAUCCGAGCUAGGAGCACGGACUCGAGCCUGGCGAUACGGCCAUGACCCACCGCUGCACAGUUCCAGAUGGAGGCUCUACAGGUUCUUUCUCUUCCAUUCAUCGUUCAUUUGUUGUUAUACUUUAGCUUUGCAUUAUAACAUUGCAAUGAAAAAUUGUAGGCCCAGGUGGAAGAAUCAAGGAAGAAACAAGAGGAGAUGGCGGCGCAGAUGGAGGCGCAGAUGGAGGAAAUGCGGCGGAGGAUGGAGGAGGAAAACCGGAUUAGGAUGGAGCAGAUGUUCCAGUACAUGCAGAACUUUGCUUCAAGCAUGGGACAGUCUUUGCCUCCGCCACCGCCGAUGAUGUUCCCUCCGCCUCAGCCACCCACGACUACUCCUGUGAGUCACUUGACACAUUGUGCUUAAGAUUUAAUACUUUAAAUUUGACAACUUUAGAUGUUAGCUCAGAAUAUCCUAUCCUAUGUGCAUAAUCAAUCGGCGGCUUCGAAUAAUGAAGAUCAAGAUUUGUCGCAGUGGUCUCCUUGGCCUCCACGGAAGUAGACUUGGUUGUGAACAAUGUGGAAACUAAAUUGUGACAAGAACUUGGAUUUAUGGAUUAUUUCGUGCUGAUGUUGAAUUAUGCCUGUGGUGUUUAUGAAUUAUGCCUGUGGUUGUGAAUUAUGCAUGUGAUUGUUUAUUACAAAUGCCUGUGAUAUGUGUAUUGUGAAUUGAGAGGGGUCCGUUAUACGUGACAAAAUGUUGAAAAAGGGGGGGUUCUGGUCACUUUGCCGAGUGUAACACUCGGCAAAGAGGGGCCUUUGCCGAGUGUUUUGGCUUUAACACUCGGCAAAGAGGCAUUUCCCAGGUGUAGGAAAGCUUGUUUGCCGAGUGCUAGGGACAAGGCACUCGACAAACAAGGGGUCUUUGCCGAGUGCCAGGCGCGAGGCACUCGGCAAAGGCCCUAAUUCCCAGCUACCUGGGCAGGGUUGUUUGCCGAGUGCCCACCCUAACACUCGGCAAAGGGCCCGUCUUUGCCGAGUUCCCGGGACACGGCACUCGGCAAAAAAGCCGGCUUUGCCGAGUGCCCACUCCGUGACACUCGGCAAAGACCCGGUGUUUGCCGAGUGCCUCCCGUCUGGCACUCGGCAAACCCGCCGUUAACCCCGACGCCGUCAGCGCGUAUUUCACCGAGUACAUCUUUUCGCCGAGUGUUUUUUGGCCGUCGGCAAAAUGUUUGCCGAGUGCUCGCGUUUUGACACUCGGCAAACUAGUCUUUGCCGACACAAAAUUUGCCGUGUGCUCUUUGCCGAGUGUUACACUCGGCAAAGCCUUUGCCGAGUGUUUUUGGGCUUUCGCCGAGUGCCUCUGGCACUCGGCAAAGCUUCUGUUUCCCGUAGUGAUGCUAGAUGAUGUGUCCAUGCCUUGCUAACGUCUUCUACAUGCCAUGCGAGUUAAAAAUCCUGCAAUCAUGUUUCGUGGUAGCAGUUUACCUUUGCACAAUGAAACUCCUCACUAAAAACACAGGUCAAUUUGAGGGACUAUUGUGUUAUUUUUACAGGGAUCUAAUGCCAUCAAUCAAAUUGUAAAAUACAGACAGGUGCGCGUGGAAUGGACACUUGUGUUCAUUCAGAUUUUUGUGAUAUUUCAUACCUAAUGAUUACCAGGUUGUCACGCCCCUACAUGCAAAAUUGGUCUACGAGAUGGGAUAUGAGCUCAAAAUGACGUGAGAGCUGUAUUAUCAUGUAGCUCAUGACCUGGCAGAAGUGAAUAGUUGCACGAAAUACAACAUUGCAAACAAGAUUUUAUUCAUUCUCUCUGCCGAUGGCACACGGUAGCAGAAGCAGUGCCACCAAUUGGUGAAAGAUUUUCAGUAAACUGAGUGUUUGACAGAACAAUAUGAUGCCACCAAAGCAAUCUGCAUGAGUUCUCUACCUCCGGAAGUCCAGAUGCUUGCUCUGUUUCAUUGCUGUAGCUCAUGGCAACUCUGGCAGCACCAUGGUCAUUUGCUGCACCAUUUUUCAGAAUAUGUAAAAUUCAAGUCAUACCAUGCAGUUGAUGGAGAUAAAGAUAUGCUCCAAAUGAAAUGAUUAAAAAAACAAUCAUAUUUAUUCUCCAGGCACCAAUGGAACUCAUUCCCGAUGUCACUUGUCUCUGCCUGUGCCUACAUCGAGGAAGUAGCAUGCGAAUGAGAAAGACGAAGAUAAGUACCAAGAGGUAAAUGUAUUCACUUGUCUCUGCAUGUGCCUACAUCGAGGAAGUAGCAUGCGAAUGAGAAAGACGAAGAUAAGUACCAAGAGGUAAAUACAUUCUUGAGAUAAAUAGAUAAAUAAAACCAAGGACCAGCCCGUGAAAAUAAGUACUCCGUUUAAGAUACUAUAUGCACAAUAAUCUUUACUCGUACAUAUUUUCUGUACAGCCAUGUACAAAGUUCAGCUCACUGUCAAGAGGUACACCAUACGACUGCAAGCUCAAAGAAUAGAAGAUUAUUACACACCACCCAAACUCUACCUUUUGUACAUCAGGUGCUCGAGAAACAUACAUUGGACGAGUAGAAUAAAAGUUAUAAAUCAUAUCAACAAUCCCAGUUAAAUACGGUGUUUCCGAAACAACCAACCGUUCUUGGGCGUAAUCUUCCUGACACUAUCCUGGAGAAACUGGAGCGUGCCUGGAGACAUGUGAGCCCUGUCCAUUGUGUUAACCUUCGCCGCCUUUCGAGGGGACAAGGCACACUGCAUUGCCCAGAUUGCAAGGGGGCGCAUGUAUAUCAAUGACCUAUAGUGGCCAUCCACUGUCCAUGCUUCUGGAGUUUGAAACCAGUACCUGAAUUUGUCAAGGAAAUUGAUUAUUAAUUAUUAGCAUAAAUUGGUCCAAUAAUGUGACUCCAUUUCUGUUACGAAACAAAUCGAUGAAUGCGCUGAAUCCAAGAUAGUGCGAUCAUAAAAGAACUAUAUCCAUUGCCAGUAACAAUAAAUAAUCUUAGCAGUCUUAAGCAGCAUUAACUUCGCAUACUGCAGGAAAAUGUACAGUAAUAUCUAAACCCUUUAUGACUUUAUCUCAUACUAUUACUUAACCAUUGUCAUCUCAAAGGACGAACUAGUAUAUGAGAACUACUCACAUUAUGAGAACUACUCACAUUACUAUGCAUAUCAUGUACUGGGAAAAUGAUGCUAGGACUGCCAGUGGCGGGCGCAGGAUUUGGACUAUGGGUAUUCAAAAUUGAAGAUGGCAAGAAAAAAAAAUGACAGACUAAAUUAUAGUUUUAUAACACAUAAUAAUUAAGUGGUAGCAGCAUCAUUGAUUAAUAAAAAUUAUCAGAAAUUGAAAUUGUCCAGCUACUAAUGAUCAACAUAUCAAAGUGGCAACAUGUGAAAUAAAUAGAGGCUAAAACAAUAAAAUGGUAACAAAGAUUACAACUUACAAGCUAUAGGACAACUUUCCGUUCUGCAAUGCUUUGAAAAUGAGCGAUGAUGUCUUUAUCUUUAGCUUGCAUGAAGAAUUCCCUUUCAAUCAAUGUGACCAAGCAACCAUUCAAAUAUUUCUGCCCCAUCUUACUCAAAUCAGUAGCGGCACUACCCUUCCUCUUCAUGGUUCAAACCUAAAAGUUACACAAUUUCAACUUAUCAGAUAUUUACAAUUUCACAUUGAACUAAAUUCGUGAGCAUCCACAUUUUGCAAGUUGAUGUGCUAUUCCAAUCUGACAAACAAUUGAAAAUGAUUACCUCAAUUUCACCAACAAUCAGCAGUUUGGGGGCAGACCGAUAGUACUGUCGCGGUGUCGCCGCGUGCUCGUCGUGUCGCCCAGUAGGUCGCCGCGUGCUCUCCGGGUUGAACGGCGGCGCCGCCGCCUGCUCGUCGGCCCGCCGCGGAGCCGCUGCCUGCUCGCCGGCCGCCGGCCCGCCGCGGAGCCGCCGGCCCGGCCGGCCGGCCGCCGCUCUGGGGUCCCUGCCUCACUGCCUGCGUGCGCCGUGCGCCGUGCGGGCUGCAGGCGCCACCUGCGCGCCAGGCGCCGAGCAGGCCGGCGCCGCCAAGGCGCACCGCGCACCGCGCUGGGCGCUGGCCGCCCGCGGCCCGCCUGGCGCCUGCCGCCGACCAGGCAGGCAGGCACGCGCCUCCGCCGGUCCACCCCCCAGCCACCUCCGGCUCGCCACUCGCCGGCCGCCGUGGAUCCGCCUGCCGCCGGCCCGCCGCUCCGGCUCCGUGCGCCUCUGCUCGCCGCUCGGCGCCAACACGCGCCGGCCGCACUGCCGCAGGCCGCCCGCCGGCCGCCGCCCUCCUAGCGGCUAGCCCGCCAGCGCCAGCCGCGGCCUACCACCGUCCGCCGGGCGCCGCCACCGCCGGUCCGCCGCCGCCGCCGCCGCCGCCGCCGCCGCUACUCGCUAGGGCCUAGGGUUUGCGCGCCUGGAGACUCCUGGAGCCGUGCGCGUGAAUGUGCUUCGGUGGGGGUGGGCUGGUGGCCGGUGGGGGACUGGGGGCGUGGGCAGGCCGGAUGGGCCGGAUGGGCCAGUUGGGCCAGUUGAGGGAGAGCGAAGUUGGCCUCCGGUGGGCCUUUUCGAGUGAAAUGUGUAUGCUAGCUUUUGUAUUUUUGUUUUUUUCAUACAUACACCUAAAAUACACUAUAUAUAUGAAAUUUUUUUGCAAAAAUAAUGGGUAUUCAAUUGAAUACCCUUGAAUCAAAGUGGGCCCGCCCCUGCCUCUCAGCAUAGUCAUCAUGUCCAAGGCUGCGGGCCAGUGCGGCUGCAGCUUGCAGUGCAGUUCGAAGGCAAAGGCAACCAGUACGCACUUACUCCUUGAACUAUCCAAGCAUCAUAAGUUUGAUAAGGAAAUCCAUAAUUUUCAAUCAUACCAUUGUUGCGAUACGAGGUAGGCUACACUAGCGUAAAUCAAAAUUUCUACCGCGUAUAACCAGGAAGAACUGCCGUAUAAGGAUCACGGGAUUACCACUCGACGCACUACUGGUGCGGAAGAUGUAGAUAUGCGUCGAUGCAGUGAAGACGAUCACGUAGUUGUACGUAGUCGAUCAAUGUAGUCGUACGUAGUCGAUCACGUCCAGCAGCUCCUCAGCAGCUCGUCCACGUGCACAGCAAGAUCGCCUCCGGUACCGCGGCUCGUCGUCGGCUCGUCAUGGCACGUCGGCGGCUCGUCGGCGGCUCGUCCAAGUGCUGCAGGCGCAACACCUCCAAGGUAUCCACACGUGCAGGGAGGAAGCGUCGCAAGCCGGAUUGCUAGAUCCGCGUGUUGCAGCAGGCGAGGGCGUGGGAGGCGCGGCAGGUGUGUUUCGCCAAAAGGUGUAAACCCUAGGGCACCCCCACCCCUCUAUUUAUAGAGGUUCCUGAUGGGCCUCUGGAUCCGAGGCCCAUUAGUACUCCUAAACCUAAUCCAACUCGGAUCAGAUCCGAAUUGGGCUUCCAGCCCCUUAAGUGUGUGACCCUAUGGGUUCGAAUUCGUAUAGACAUGGCCCGAGUACUCCUACUCGGCCCAAUAGUCGGUAGCGGCCUCUAGCAAGACGUGCCAACUCCUAUACGCAUACGAAGAUCAUAUCAGACGAACCAUCACAACAUAAUAUACAUGCUAUUCCCUUUGCCUCACGAUAUUUGGUCUAGCUUCAAGCCGACCGCUCUUUCUCGAUCCUGUGAUUCGGAAUCCCUUUGUAGGUUAACUCUUAACCGUACGUAGCAUGGCCAUGCAUUUUUCGGAUCCGGUCACUCGAGGGGCCCAGAGAUAUCACUCUCAAUCAGAGAGGGGCAAAUCCCUUCUUGAUUUGACCAUGUCUCAUAGCAUGCUUCUUGACAAACCCGAAAGCUACCUUUAUAACUACCCUGUUACGGCGUAGCGUUUGAUAGCCCCUAAGUAGGUCGAUCCACAUCUAGAAUACAUGCGACAAUCUCAGGUCUAAGGACAAAGCGUAUAUGUUGUUUAAAGAGAGAACUACUUCUCGUGUUGGGUCAGUCCUAACACAUGUCUCCACAUGUGUCCACAUUAUUAGUUCAACAUCUCCAUGUCCAUGACUUGUGAAACAUAGUCAUCAACUAAUACAUGUGCUAGUCUAAUAUUCAUGUGUGUCAUCACAUGAACUCCGACUAGGGACAACUUUAGAAUAACCAUACAAGUAAAGAGUUUCACAUACAAUUCACAUAAUUGCAAAUCAAUUCAAGUAGCCUUUAAUGGAUAUUCAAUGAACACAAUAUACAAAUCAUGGAUACAAAUGGAAUAUCAUCAUCUCUAUGAUUGCCUCUAGGGCAUACCUCCAACAGUCUCCCACUUGCACUAGAGUCAAUCUAGAAGGUACCUAAUACCCAUAGCUCUUACAUGCGCAUCAUGCUUAGCCUGCGGGAGUGGUUUUGUCAACGGAUCAGAAAUGUUCAGAUCCGUGUGUAUUUUGCAUAUCUUGAUCUCACCCCGGUUAACGAAGUCUCGAAUGAGAUGAAAUCGCCGCAUUACGUGUUUGUUCUUCUGGUGGUUCCUUGGCUCCUUUGCUUGCACAAUAGCCCCAUUGUUAUCACAGUAGAGAUUCAAUGGGUUGGACGCAUUCGGGAACACACCAAGCUCAAUGAGGAAAUUCCUUAUCCAAACACCUUCCUUCGCGGCUUCCGAAGCUGCGAUGUACUCGGCUUCUGUCGUAGAAUCGGCCACCGUCUCCUGCUUGGAACUCUUCCAACUAACAGCACCACCAUUUAGCGUGAACACAAAUCCUGAUUGUGACUUUGAAUCAUCUCUGUCGGUUUGGAAACUAGCAUCGGUGUAACCUGUUACAACGAGCUCUUCCUGACCUCCAUAGACGAGGAACAUAUCUUUAGUCCUUCUCAAGUACUUAAGAAUGUUUUUCACUGCUGUCCAGUGACUCUCACCUGGAUCAGAUUGGUGUCUGCUUGUCAUACUUAGCGCAUAUGAAACAUCUGGGCGAGUACUUAUCAUUGCAUACAUGAUAGAUCCAAUAGCCGAGGCAUAUGGCACUCUACUCAUGCGAUCCCGCUCAUCAGCAGUCGAAGGACACUGAGUCUUGCUGAGAUGUAUGCCAUGUGACAUAGGCAAGAACCCUUUCUUUGCCUCUUCCAUGCUGAACCGCUUCAACACUUUGUCAAUAUAAGUAUCUUGGCUCAGACCUAUAAGCCUUCUCAAUCUAUCUCUAUAGAUCUUAAUGCCCAGAAUAUAUGCCGCUUCCCCUAAGUCCUUCAUCGAAAAACUAUUUUUCAGUGAAGUCUUUACGGACUCAAGCAUAGGAAUGUUAUUUCCAAUCAGUAAUAUGUCAUCCACAUAUAAGAUUAGAAAUACUACAGAGCUCCCACUAACCUUCUUGUAAACACAAGACUCUUCUUCGUUCUUGGUGAAGUCAAACCCUUUGACCACUUCAUCAAAACGAAUGUUCCAACUCCUAGAUGCUUGCUUCAAUCCAUAAAUGGAUCUCUGAAGCUUGCAUACCUUUCCAGCAUUUUUCGGAUCGACAAAACCCUCGGGCUGUAUCAUAUACACGUCCUCAGCUAGGUUUCCAUUCAGGAAAGUUGUCUUGACAUCCAUCUGCCAUAUCUCAUAAUCGAAAUAUGCAGCUAUAGCUAGAAUAAUCCGAAUGGACUUAAGCAUCACUACGGGCGAGAAGGUCUCGUCGUAGUCAACUCCUUGAACUUGUCGAAAACCUUUUGCGAUAAGUCGUGCUUUAUAGAUGUGAACAUUUCCAUCCAUGUCCUUUUUCUUCUUAUAGAUUCACUUGCACUCUAUGGCUUUAACACCAUCAGGCGGGUCAACCAAGUUCCAAACUUGAUUGUCUCCCAUGGACUCUAUUUCGGAUUGCAUGGCACUCUGCCAUUUUUCGGAGUCUGGGUCCAUCAUUGCUUCUGCAUAUGUCGCAGGCUCAUCAUUGUCUAACAAUAAUAUUUCUCGCAUUUCGCGGAGCCUUGCUGACCUUCGUGGUUGUGGCGGUGCUUCUCUUGCCAUGGGUAUCUCAACUUGUUCUGCUACUUUAGCAUCACUCAUUGAUUCUUGCCCGAUCGGCUCAUCUUGAACUUCUUCAAGAUGCACUGUCUUUCCACUCUUUUCUCCUUUGAAAAACUCUUUCUCUAGGAAAACCCCGUUCCGAGCGACAAACACUUUGCCUUCUGAUCGGUUGUAGAAAUAAUAUCCCAAAGUUUCCUUUGGAUAUCCCACGAAAAUGCACUUAUCCGACUUGGGUGUGAUCUUGUUCGACUGAAGUCGCUUGACAAACACUUCACAUCUCCAAAUCUUUAGAAAAGACAAACUAGGAACCUUUCCAGUCCAUAUCUCAUAUGGUGUCUUAACUACGGAUUUAGAUGGUACCCUAUUUAGUGUGAAAGCUGCUGUUUCUAGAGCGUAUCUCCAAAAUGACAACGGUAGGUCUGACUGGCUCAUCAUUGAUCAAACCAUGUCUAACAAAGUUCGAUUACGUCGCUCGGACACACCGUUUCUCUGAGGUGUUCCAGGCGGCGUCAGUUGUGGAACAAUUCCACAACUCUUUAGAUGAUUGCUAAACUCGUGGCUCAAAUACUCGCCUCCACGAUCAGAUCGUAAGGCCUUAAUUUUCUUGCCACGCUGAUUUUCAACUUCAUUCUGAAAUUCCUUGAACUUUUCAAAGGUCUCAGACUUGUGCCUCAUCAAGUAGACAUAGCCAUAUCUACUAAAAUCAUCAGUGAAAGUUAUGAAGUAUUGGAAUCCUCCUCUAGCCGUCGUGCUCAUUGGUCCGCAUACAUCACUAUGUACGAGUUCCAACAAGUCUACUGCUCUCUCAGGAAAUCCUGUGAAAGGCGUCUUGGUCAUCUUGCCUAGCAAGCAAGCCUCACAUGUCUCGUAUGAUUCAAAAUCAAACGAAGUUAGAAGUCCAUCAGAAUGGAGCUUCUUCAUGCGCUUUUCACUUAUAUGACCCAAACGACAAUGCCAUAAGUAGGUAGGACUCAAAUCAUUAGGCCGAGGCCUUUUAGCACUUACAUUACAGACAGGUGAACCAUCAAGAUUUAAAACAAACAAUCCAUUCACAAUGGGUGCAAAAGCCAUAAACACAUUAUUCUUAGAGAUCACACAGCCAUUGUUUUCACUCGCAAAUGAAUAACCAUCCUCCAUCAAGCAUGAAGGAGAUAAAAUAUUUCGACUUAAACUAGGAACAAAAUAACAAUUAUUCAACUCCAUAAUAAAUCCUGACGGGAGGUGGAGUUGCAUCGUCCCGACGGUCAAAGCAGCAACUCUUACAUUAUUGCCCACGCGGAAAUUAACUUCUCCUCUUUCCACGCUUCUACUUCUUAUCAUUCCCUGCAUCGAAUUGCAAAAAUGAGCAACCGAUCCGGUAUCAAAUACCCAAGAAUUAAUAAUUGUAUCAGCGAGAAAUAUGUUGUCUAUAACAUUAACAACAAGCGUACCUGAGGUAGAAGUACUCUUACUUCCACCGUUCUUCAAGGAAGCUAGGUACUGCUUGCAGUUUCUCUUCCAGUGACCAAGUUCAUGACAGUAAAAGCACUCUUUGUCUGGAGCAGGUUCAGGUCCAGCUUUAACCUUGGGCGGUGGGUUUGGCUUGGACGUUCCAGCCUUGCCCUUCUUCUUCCAAGAAUUGCCCUUCUUCUUAAAGCUGGGCUUGUUCUGUAUCGCCAUCACAUGGCUGGUACUAGCGCUUUUCUUGAUGUCAGCCUCUGCUGUCUUGAGCAUACCACACAGUUCAUUCAAACCCUUCUCCGUUCCAUGCAUAUGGUAGUUCGAGAUGAAGUUCCCAUAGUUAGGUGGAAGAGAUGAAAGAAUGAAAUCAGUGGCCAACUCUUGGCCCAGUGGGAAGCCUAGCUUCUCCAACCGUUGAGUGUAACCAACCAUCUUGAUUACGUGUGGUCCUACUGCUGCGCCUUCUGCUAGCUUGCUCUCAACAAAGGCCUUAGACACAUUGAACCUUUCAGUCCUGGCCUGUGUUUGGAACAUGUCUCUAAGCGCCACGAUCAUAUCGUGCGCCUCAUGGUUUGUUUCGAACUGCAUCUGCAGCUCGGGUUCCAUGCAAGCAAGCAUAAGGCAGCUUACUUCAAGGUUAGCAUCACAUGCCUUCUUGUAAGCAUUCUUAGCAGCAGCGGGUGCAUCAUCAGCAGGUUCUUCUGGUAGUGGGUUGUCUAGAACAUCUUCCUUUUUCUCAGCCCUGAGAACAAUUCUCAGGUUGCGGAUCCAAUCCGAGUAAUUUGUUCCAUUCAACUUGUCCUUCUCAAGGACCGAACGCAAAGCAAACGGUGUAGUGCUGCUAGAUGCCAUUUAAUCUACAACAAAGUAAUGCAAAAUACACUAAGACAAACGUAUCCAUGAUAGAGCAAAUUACAUUAAACUAUUUUAACAGAAUCUACUCCCACUAAAAUCAAUAUCCCUCUAUUGAAACUUAGUGAUUCAGGAUCCACAACUAACAAGUCCACUAGUGAGCUUUAGCAUCACCGCUAGCAAACGAGGUAGAUCGGUAAGCAACUUUUGCUAAUCAUAUCACAUAUGACUCCUGUUGUUGGGUGACAUCUCUAUGUCUCGGCGCCCAACCUUUAUGCCCCAAGGUCCUUAACCGUUAAGAUGACCUUGUUAAGCAAACCAACCCUUAUGCGUGUAAGUGUCCGACACAAACCCGUCUAGUCAAGGAAAACUAGUGGCACCCUAAUUUCAUAGACCCACCACUAAUUGUACAAGACAUGGGACGGUGCAAGUUUUAGUUGGGAGGGUGUUGGCGCUAGAAAUCGGUCAACCGAAUCCCAGCGACCGACACACGACCCGGGAGAAUCUGCUUAGCUCCUGUUCGGGUAAAUGCCCUGGUGUGGUUCGCGCGGCGUGCCAGCCAAUCUGACCUGUUGAUUGGCAAGGAAGAACACGUGUCAAAUUCAGAAACUACGAUCGGCUAAGUUUCCGAUCGAGAGAAGCUUAAUCGGCAAAUCGGCCGAUUUACUGUGAUAAUGAAAUCGGCUAUAAGACAGCACGAUCCCUGUAGCCUUGUAGACAGAAAAAUACUAAAGUAAUCGGUACAAAGCUUGUGAUAACAGCACUAGGAAAAGAUCUAAUCGGCAACGAAUGGAUCUAACGACAGAAGGUGAUGAAAGCCGAUACUACCGAUUCCUAGCGAGAUAACUGGUGAUAAAAACUAGGAAAACAGGUAAAAACCUAUGAAUCUAGUUGAUAUCGAUAACUGAUGAAUAAAUCUAAACGAAACAACAGCGAUGCGCCGGAAGUUAAAGCUUAGAUAUUACUUGAUAAGCGGAACUUACAGAAUCGGCCGGAGAUCAAGAUGAUGCAGCCCUGCCAACCCGCACGAACUCGUGAGAAGAAAAAGUAAUGGCGAAGUCGCCUGCUCGAAAGUAAGUACGAAGAAGAAAGUAACUUGUUGUAUUGAUUGAUUGUUGUGUUUACAGAUUUACAAAGGUAGCUAUUUAUAGCCCUGUACAAAUAACCUUCUUAACUGACUAGAACUCUAUCUCUAAUUCAAACAGAAAACAAAUAUCUACAAGCACAACCCGUGCUAAACUAGUUACCCCAUGCUUCGUGGGCUGACCUCCACCUUAUCCUUCCAUCUUUCCAAGCCCAUACAGGCCCAACUAGUCCAUCUUCCUGAUCGGCCGAUUUCUUAUCGGCAAAGGAUUGCCGAUUGGGAGUCUGGCGCAUUCACCCUGAAGCGAAGCAAAAGCUACCGGCCGAUUCCGCAUUAUAGCACCAUUUGACCGAUUCCCAACCGUACUUCUUCGACUUCUUUUCUCCUUGGCGCCGAUUCUACUGAUGACGAAAUCCGGCGUCAACACAUGCCCCCCAGUUUCGGAGUAAAACACAGUCUUUUACUUCGAAAUUCUUUAUAACCUCCCCUCCGAAACGGCCGCAGUGAAAAUAUCCUUCCGUUUCGCGGUCUCCCGGCUGAUCAUUGCAAUUUUUGAAACGGGCGCCCACGACAGCCACUACCCCGAAAAACUCGACACGCCGGCGCGGUGAAAAUUCCAUCUUUACCCUCUCUUCAGGCACCCUAUAAAUAACACCUCACCGCAGCUCAUCUUCAAGCUCACGUCUCUUUUUCCAACGCGCGCGCAUCCUUCUUUCUUCAAUUCUCCCUUGCCAUCGAAGUCUUCUAGUUCCAGCUCCUGUCACUUCUUCCCCUUUCCCUUCAAUGGCGACUCCUUCCGGCAAUUCCCCCGCACGCGAUGCUCCAGAGAUAGUGCCUCCGGUGGUGGUAGCGACGGCCGUCACUUCUUCCGCAGAUGAAAAAGCUUCAUCAGAAAUCCCAAUGGCGGUCCCCAUCAUGGCCCCGUCAUCUGCAUCCGCGUCGGCGACCACGCCGAUUACUCAGAACUUUAUCCCGGAGGUAAAUACCGAAUCCUUCCUCUAUCGGCAAUAUAUUCAUCUUAGAUCUAUUCCUUACAUUCCUAUGCCCCUUUUCUUUUUUUUUAGGCGGUUAGACAUAGAAUUACUAUUCACCUCACGGGCAAUCCUGGCCUUGUUUGCCUUGGCCCCAUGGGAGACCCAGAUCCGGCGGUUCUUAUAGAUUUGGAAACUUAUCGGAUACCUUUCAAACGAUCCGAUAUGAACUUAGAUCAAUGGGCAAGCACUUUUAGAUCCUGGCCGAAUGAAACCCCAGGUUGGAGGGAAUGGUACCAACGGGUGGCCGCGUCAAGGAGCGUCUCGUGGGAUGAGCUCAAAAUUGGCCAAUGUAUCAACCUCUCCCUGUCUCAAAUGGAGAAAAACGAGCCGUUAGUGAUGGCGACUUCCUAUUUUUGGUCUGACGCACUUAAUGCGUUCUUGUUUGGACACGGUCCUAUGACUCCCACUCUGGCCGAUGUGGUCCUCUUGACCGGCCUGGACAUAUCUUCCCCUGACAAACCUUUCCAGCUUUUGACCGUAACAUCGCAUCGGCUGGACACAAGGGGAAUCGGCGGCUGGAAGGGCUUUAUCAGUAGUAUCAAGAAGACCGGUACUGUUGAGAACAGGGAACACACCGCUUUCCUGAUGAUGUGGCUAGAAAAACACCUUUUCUGUAGAAGAGCCGCCGGCCCAACAACCAACACCCAAUCUUUAGCUGAAGCACUGUCCAAAGGAAACCAUAUUCCUCUCGGGAAACAUCUUCUGGGUGCCGUGUACCAUAUGCUCCAUCAAAUCAGUACGAAACUUUCCAAGGGAGAACCAAUCGGCAACCCAGGUGGGCCUUGGUGGUUCGUCAAUCUAUGGUUGAACCUUUACAUGAACAGAAUCACCCGGCAGCCAGUGGACCACAUGACGUUUCCCAAUAUCGAAUCGGCGGAGGACCCUACCGAGCGUCGCCGAUGCAUGUCUUAUGGUGAAGCAGCGUCAGCUUUUCCAGGUUGUGCGUAUUCCGCUACAAAGGUAGCCGAGUACUUUCGGUGCUUUUAUAAUGGAUUUAAUGAGGACGCAACUACCUGGUUUCCAUACCAGCGAGACAUCCCAGUCUUCGAGCUCCCCUCCUGCUUCGAUUCAACUUCUGGCCGGUUUGAUGAAGAUCUUUAUGAAGAACUGAUUAAACCAGGACUCUUACCGGCCAACUUCUUCUCGGGGAAAGAUGCCCCUACAUACGAAUUCUACAACCCGUCUACUGCCGCACGACAAUUCGGCAUGGGUCAAUUGCCGAUACGGGUGUAUUUUGCUGGCCGAAUCAAGUUCAGAGAUGUGCUUACAACUGGCCUGGAUUACUGUCGGCUGCGAGACCGAAUUCCGGACUCCAGUACAAUUAAUUUGAAUGACUGGCUAUUAUAUCCAUUUGCCAUCCAGCCGUUCAAACUUUGGUGGGCCGAAUGGAAGCAAUUUCUAUUCUGCAACUCAGCAUCGGCAUACUGCAAUCUUCUAGAUCCGGCCAACAUUGAUCCCAACGCCGAGGUAUUUCUGAUUACCAAUUUUGUUCUUUUCCAACAUGAUUGAGUACUAAUGAUUUCAUUGUUUCUUUAGGCCGAGAAUCAAACCCCUCCAACGCACAGCCGCAGCGGUCGGCUAAUGGAGAGCUACCCGUACACCACCUAUCCCCUUAUCGGCUAUGACGCUCCGUCAGUUGACAUGAUUGCUGGCCGAUCGAACAAGGUUCAUAAAAAGGUCAUCAAGAAAACCAGUCGCCGAGUCCGGGCUCGUACGACAUCGGCGGAUCCUCCUGUGCUCGUAUCGGCAGAAACCUUGACUGCAUCGCCCCAGGCCACACAAAGUACCGAUACUCAAGCCAUUGCACAAGCCGGAGCGGCUGCCGCCUCACUAUUGUUGGAAGCUUUACAAGUGAGUUCAAGCUUUGCCAUCUCCGAUCGUUAUUUACAUAUUAACUUUUUCUUAACUCUGUAUUCCCCAGAGCACCGCUUCGGAAAUACCACAAUCGGCGACAACUCGACCGGACGCCAACGCACCCUUGCCCUCAUCCAUUGAGGUAUAGUACUUAUCUUACGGAUUUCCUUCGGGUAUCCGUGUAAUAUUUUUGACCGAUUUUCUGACGCAGGCCAUCGGCACGCCGAGCGUUUCUCGACAACCGAUUUCUUCUCAGGGAGCUGGUCCGAGCACCGCACCGAUUAUUGUAGAAUCUUCUUCAUCAGAUGAACCCAUGGUACAGGCCACUGAGCAAGUCCCGACAGUUUUACAAGCACAGCAUGAAGAAAUUCGCUUUAAAAUGGUAAGCCACUAAACCAGCUUUCAACCAGCCGAUUCGCUCUGUUUCCCCGCCGACUCACCCUUUUUUUUUCUUAUUCUCUUAGGAGCAAGACUCUCCCGACAACAGCCUCUUCUCCUUCGCGGUUGCUCUUUCUGAUGAUGAAGAAAUUGCGUCCCGCCAAGUCGCUUUAAGCUCCGUUCCUGACGAUGUCCGAGCUAAACUUGCCAACAUCCGAUCCCUCCUGCAAGGGGACAUCGGCCGAUUGGUAGAAGAUGCUUCGCCGAUUCGGCAGCUCUUUAGCGACGUCAGCGGAUGGGUACCAGAGGAAGCGGAAGAGGCCUUGGCACCGGCGGCCUUUAUUGAGUCCAUGAGGAUCCUAGUUUUUAGGGCCCUUCGUCAUAUGGCCGAUCGCGCGAAGCUGGCCAAGACUCGUGAAGAUGAGAAUGCUUUUAAGCGUCAGGCUCAGGAAGCGAAUCGGCGUAUCCAUGUCUUAGAAGAUUCACGCCCGGCGAUCAUUAGUGAAAUAGAUCGCCUCAAACGACGGCGGGCGGAACUUGCCAAAGAGAUGGAGCAAGUGACCAAGGCAAUCAACGCUGAAGAGAACAAACUUCAAGAGUUACCCUCUGCUAUUGCCGAUUUGACACGGGAGAGGCAGCGUUUUGCUCAAGAGGCUCUGAGACUCCACCGCAACGCAUCGGAGGUCCCUGGAUCAGCAGAAGAAGACCAACGGGUUCUUGACUCUGCCGAUCAGAUCCGGCGUCGGGCCAUCACGGCUAUCGAUACCCUUUUGGGUAAUCUGUAAAACACUGACCGUUUUGUACGAACAUUUACUGCCUUCUUUGACCGACCCUUCGCGACGCCCUCUAUUUACUGCCUUCCUUAUUACCGAUGGGACGUGGCCUCAUCAGAUUUCCACGCAUUUCCCCCAUAAAUAUCGACCUCGGCGCUUACUCCCGAUAGCAUUGAUCUGGCUCCCCUUUUGCCUUUCCUCUUCCUCUCAUCGGCACGACUGUUUCGCCAUGGCCUCAUCGUCAUCCUCUUCUGUCAACCAGGUGAGGUCCCGCCUUCUCCUCUUAGAUCUUAGGAAACGAAUGCUUCACCUUAUUCCUUCUUUGUUUCAGCCCCAACGCCUUGGUCCGGAGCUCGUGCGCGCCAUCGAGUGCAUCCAUUCCGAAGACCCGUUGACCCCGGAGGACAAGGCUCUGCUUCUGGCCCAUCGAGAGGAGCUCCAAGACCACAUUACUGCAGAUGCUCGUGUAGUCUUGGAUGCCGUGGUGAACGAAAGCCGUCGCCGAUCUCCAGUCAUGAGGGGUCGUCAUCGUGACGUUCCCGGAGAUGACGUCACUUCGACAGCCCGCACGAUCCUGGACUUCUUGGAAAGGAAUGGCAGCCCGCGGCCUCCCACCGAUAGGGUCCGUCUGCUUCCUCGUCCCGUCAUCCUGGCAGCGGCAGAGGCCUCGCGCCUUCGUGCUUUGGAGCGGAAUGGGGAAUCAUAUCAGAAGAAGGAUAAUUAGUUUGUUUUUUGUAAUUUUUUGUUCUAAGGGCGACUUAAUGUUUUGUCGGCCAUGUAAUCUGUCGCCCGUACCGAAUGAAUAUAAUUGGCUACUCCGGUCGAUUUUAUGUGCUUGUUAAACCGACUUGUAUCGGCCAUGUAAGAUUGUGUUACGGCUGAUUUCUUAGGCUCCAACCCAUAUACUUGGGUAAUAUCUUUUUAAGUACCUCCCAUUCAGAGCUCUAGUGAAUUCUUCUCCUUCUAUUGUUUCCAAAAUAUAGGCAUUCCCUGGAGCACAUCUGCCGAUUUUAUACGGCCCUUCCCAGGUAGGAGACCAUUUGCCGAAUUUAGGAUCUUUCGAUCCGAUCGGUAGUACCAAUUUCCAUACCAGGUCUCCGGGGAAGAACUGCUUGACUUUGACCUUUUUAUCGUACCACCUGACCACUCUCUUUUUAUUCUCUUCGAUACUUAUCAGAGCCCUUAGCCGUUGGCCGGCCAAAUCAUCAAGUUCUCCCUUCAUCAGAGAUGAGUAAUCAUCGGCUGACAACUGGUCCUGAAGUGAGAUGCGCCUUGAUCCUGCCCUCGACUCCCAUGGCAGUACUGCAUCGUGACCGUAUACCAACUGAUAGGGAGAUAACUUGGUAGCCCCAUGACAGGCCAUUCUGUAUGCCCACAGGGCUUCGGUCAAACAUAGGUGCCACUUCUUCGGGUAUUCUUCAAUCUUCCUUUUGAUCAACUUGAUUAUUCCUUUGUUGGAAGGUUCUGCUUGACCAUUGGCUUGAGCGUAAUACGGAGAAGAAUUUAACAAUUUGAUGCCCAUAUCGGUCGUAAAUUCCUCAAAUUCCCCCGAUGUGAACAUUGUUCCUUGAUCGGUUGUUAUAGUUUGAGGAAUACCGAAUCGGUAGACGAUAUGAUCCCUUACGAAAUCGGCCAUGAUAGCCGAAGUCACAGUCCUUAGUGGGAUUGCCUCCACCCAUUUGGUGAAGUAAUCAGUAGCAACCAGAAUAAACUUGUGCCCCUUGCUCGAUGGUGGAUAAAUUUGGCCGAUAAGGUCUAUUCCCCACCCUCUGAACGGCCAUGGUUUGAUGAUGGGAUUCAUGGCCGACGCGGGUGCACGUUGGACAUUUCCAAACUUUUGACACUCCUGACAACCCUUAUAAUAUUUGAAACAGUCUUCGAGGAUCGUAGGCCAAUAGUACCCGUUGUUUCUGAUCAUCCACUUCAUCUUAUGUGCUGAUUGGUGAGCUCCGCAUACCCCUUCAUGGAUUUCUCCCAUUAGAGUCUUGGCUUCUUCUGUCCCAAGGCAUUUAAGAAGAACACCAUCGAUCGUUCGGUAGAACAGAUCAUCUUCGAGCAAUACGUACUUGGUAGCGUGAAAGCGCACUCGUCGCUCCACCUUUUUAGACGGAUCCUUCAGGUAAUCGGCAAUUUCUUUACGCCAAUCGUCCGCUGCAAGUUCUAAGGCCAUGGUGCCCGGAAUCGGCCGAUACCCAGAUGCGUGUUGAGCGAGUUUGUUUGCUUCCUCGUUGCAGUCUCUUGGGACAUGCUCGAUUACUACCGAUCUGAAUUCUUUUAAAAGCUGUAAGCAAUCUUCGUGAUGAAUUCGUAAUAUGUCAUCUUUGCACUCAGCCCUUCCGGUUAGUUGAUCCACAAUUAGCAUCGAAUCUCCGAAGACCUCAACAGAAUCGGCCUUGACUUCUCUCAAUAAUCGUAAGCCUUUUAAUACAGCUCUGUACUCCGCUUGAUUGUUUGUGGCGGCGGUUUCUAUCGGCAGAGAAAAAUUAUAUCUUGCCCCCCGAGGCGAUAUGAGAACGAUGCCGAUUCCUGAUCCGACUCCGCAUGAUGACCCAUCAAAAAAUAACUGCCAAGGCGCUAGUUCCACGAAGGCGAUCUCCGGCCCACAGUGCUGGGCGACGAAAUCGGCCAUGACUUGACCCUUGAUGGCUUUUGCCGAUUCAUACCGUAGGUCAAAUUCUGAUAAAGCUAAGAUCCAUUUACCGAUUCGUCCUUUCAAUAUCGGCAGCGACAGCAUGUAUUUCACUACAUCAUCUUUGCAUACGACUAUACAUUCUGCCGACAGUAGAUAGUGCCUGAGUUUGGUGCACGAGAAGUAAAGACACAAACACAAACGCUCCACCGGAGGAUAUCUUGUUUCGGCAUCCAGGAGUCUCCUACUGACGUAAUAAAUGACCCGCUCUUUGCCUUCAAACUCUUGGACUAGAGCCGACCCGAUAGCUUUUUCAUCGGCUGAUAAAUACAGUUUAAACGGUUUACCAGUUUGAGGGGGAACCAAGACUGGCGGUGAGACCAAGUAUCGCUUGAUAUCUUCCAACGCCUUGCGCUGUUCCUCUCCCCAUAUAAAUUCCUGGUCUGGCUUCAACUUCAGAAGUGGCGUGAACGCCUGAAUUCGUCCAGAUAGAUUAGAUAUAAACCUUCUGAUGAAGUUUACCUUGCCGAUUAGAGACUGUAGCUCAGUUUUGUUCUGUGGGGCGACGACUUUGUUGAUGGCCGCUAUGGUCUUCUGAUUGACUUCUAUGCCACGUUCGUGCACCAUGAAUCCUAAGAACUGUCCGGCGGAGACGCCGAAAGCGCAUUUGUUGGGAUUCAUCUUAAGACCAUGCUUCUUGGUACACUCUAGCACCCUUCGCAAAUCGGCUAGAUGUUCCUCGUGGCUUUUGGACUUGACCACAACGUCAUCGAUAUAGAUCUCCACCAGGAGGCCAAUGAGUUUGUGAAAAAUGUAGUUCAUGGCUCUCUGAUACGUAGCACCAGCAUUCUUCAAGCCGAAAGUCAUUACCACCCACUCGAAUAAACCAAGAUGGCCUGGACAUCUGAAAGCCGUUUUGGGUAUGUCCUCUUCGGCCAUAAGUAUUUGAUUGUAUCCGGCGUUUCCAUCCAUGAAGCUAAUAAUUUUGUGUCCUGCGGCAGCGUCGAUCAGUACAUCGGCCGUAGGCAUGGGGUAACCAUCCAUCGGUGUGGCCUGAUUAAGAUUCCUGAAAUCAACGCAAACGCGCAGCUUCCCAUUUUUCUUGUACACUGGCACGAUAUUAGAAAUCCACUCGGCAUAACGACAUUGCCGAAUAAAUUUUGCUUCAAUUAGCCGAGUUAUUUCAGCUUUUAUGUCUGGUAAAAUUUUAGGAUUGCAUCGCCGUGCGGGUUGUUGGUACGGCCGAUACCCUGGCUUUAUGGGUAGCCGAUGUUCAACAAUAGAUCGAUCUAAUCUGGGCAUCUCGUGAUACUCCCAAGCAAAACAAUCCUUGAAUUCUCUUAAUAAAUUUGUCAAUUUACACUUAUACUCCGGAUCUAAAUUUGCACUAAUAAAAGUCGGCCUUGGUUUGGUCCCGUCACCUAAGUCUAUCAUCUCUAAUGAAUCGGCCGACGUGAAUCCGUGUCCCAGCUUCCCGUCUUCUCGGGCGAACUGAUCCAUCUAUUGCGCUUCUUCGGAGCCGACUGCUCGGAUCGGCUGUAGGCCAAAAUCGGUGACCUUCAGGAAAUCGGUUUCCCACACCCUACCUGAUAUGCAUCUGACGGUUUCGCAGCUCCAUUGCUGUGCGUCGGCUGCUGCGAUGCUGUACGCGGAGUCGGCUUUGACCACCUCGAUGUUAUCGCCGACCCAUUGUACAAGGCAUUGAUGCAUAGUUGACGGGAUGCAGCAAUUUGCGUGUAUCCAGUCUCGGCCAAGAAGCAUAUUAUAGGACCCUUUGCCAUUAAUGACGAAAAACGUGGUAGGAAGGGUCUUACUGCCGAUGGUGAGGUCGACGCAGAGGGCACCGCGAGCGUUUGACACUUUGCCUUCGAAGUCCUUGAGCAUCAUGUCCGUCCUGGUUAGGUCGUCGUCGCUCUUUCCCAACUUUCGGAGUACGGCAUACGGCAUGAUAUUGACGGCAGCUCCCCCGUCGACCAUCAAUCUAGUGAGGGGGCGACCGUCAACAUGCCCUUUAAGGAACAACGCCUUCAUAUGUUGUCGUUCGUCGUCUUCGGGCUUUUCGAAUGUGGCCAUCAUUGGUUCUAAAGCCAACCGUGCUGUUUGUUCCUCUAUCGCCGACACGUCCUGUUGAUCGGCAGGGGUCAUGAACUCCAUCGGCAAUAUGAAAACCAUACCGAUCUCGGCUGCCGAUUCAUCACCCGCCGACUCAUUGUUUCCCUUGUCGUUUCUUUUGGGGCGCCACACCCGAGGCCUCCCUUCCUUCUUGUCCAUCACGCUCUCUUCUUCUUGCUGUUCCCAUUGGCGGAGGCGUUGGAUUCUCCGUUUUUGUGAUUUGGUUAAACCAUCGGGGCACCAUCUGGGGUUUAUUGGCCUCCCUUCUUUCCCGGCGCGUUCCCAUUCUGGCUCGUGUCCUAACGGGUUCUCGUCCGUUACCCGAGCAUCGGCCAUGUCUUCGAGCCGGCUGUGAACGCUGGCUUUGCUACUUGAUUGAUCAUGUCGAUCGGCCCUGCCCCCCUGCCUAUUAUGGCUUCUAUCUUCUGACCGAUCAUAUCGGUCACUUCUGCCCCCCAGCCGAUCACGCAUGGGAGGGCGCUGCUCAUCUGGGUUGCGCCAAUUCCUGCUGAUCGGUUCUGGCCUUCCGUCUCUGGAGCGAGACCUGGUGAACGGCCGAUUGCCUCGAUAGGGACCGUUGCACUCCGGGCAAGUAUCGGCCGACGGUAGCCUGAGGUUAUUUUCCCAACAAUGCACGAAGAAUGGGCACCUCCAGUGCUCCUCGUGCCGACGCAUCGCUUCCUCUCGGGACCUCGAGCGUUCAUGUUGGCGUUGGUACUUUUGGAGCAGGAACUGGGAAGUAAUGCGUGGUCCUUCUGACUCACCAUCAUCGUCCUCCAUUCGUCGCUUUCCCUUGAUGUCUUCAGACGUAACUUGAUUUCUGGGAUCGACAGCGCCACUCUUUUUGGCCGACUCGGACGUCAGCACUUUUGUUUGGAGAGAAUUCUUUCCCGUGUCAGCCAUGUUGGUAGGAAAAGGGUGCUGGUCGAUUUUCAUUGGUUUGGCCGGUUUUGCCGGCACUUCAAAUUUGAGUCUGCCCUGCUCAAUGGCCGACUGUAUUUGUUGCCUGAAGAUUUUGCACUCGUUGGUAUCAUGUGAUGUGGCAUUGUGCCACUUGCAAUACUUCAUCUUCUUCAAUUGUUCGGCAGAGGGUAUUGUAUGGUAAGGCGAGAGUUUAAUCUGCCCUUCCUGGAGUAGAAGAUCGAAGAUUUUGUCAGCUUUAGUUGUAUCGAAACCAAAUGCUUCCGGCUCCUUCUUGCCGAAUGGGCAUGAUAUCGGCUUCUUUCCCUUAAUCCACUCUGCAAGUCCGAUUUCGGCAUCUUCCUCGUCCUCUAAUUCUUCCAGGAAUGCCACUUUCUUCUGGAAAUUCCUUCUAGGAUCGAACGGACGCACUUCCUGCCCGGACAAUCGGUGGACAAUCUGGCUCAGGCUCUCGAACUCUUGUGAAGCAUAUUUUUCUUUAAUGUGUGGCAGCAGGCCUUGGAAAGCUAUAUCGGCCAACUGUGCGUCGGUUAGAGCCAGGGAGUAGCAUUUGUUCCUGAUUUCCCGAAACCUCUGUAUAUACGAGGGUAUCGGCUCAUCACUUCUUUGCCGGAGGCUAGUCAAAUCGGACAGCUUCAUUUCAUGGACCCCAGCAUAGAAGUACUUGUGGAACUGCCUUUCUAGAUCGGCCCAUGUGAUAAUUGAGUUUGGUGGCAAAGUUGUGAACCACUGGAAGGCCGAUCCAGACAAGGAUGACGAGAACAACCGCACCCGCAGGGCGUCUUGCGUAGCUGCCUCCCCACAUUGAAUGAUGAAUCUAUUCACAUGUUCCACGGUAGAGGUGUCAUCCAUCCCCGAAAAUUUGGUAAAAUCAGGAACUUUGUACCGAUGAGGGAACGGCAACAUGUCAUAUGUAGAUGGGUAUGGUGUUCUAUAGGUAUAAGUUUGUACUUUCGGCUUCAAGCCGAAUUGUUCUUGCAUUACCUCUGCAAUCUGUGCCGACCAAUCUGGUUGUUGCUGGGGAACAGUUGGCUGCGGUAUCGGCACGUGCUGAUAAAUCGGAGGCUGAAUAAAAGGAGAUUGAUGAAAAGGUGGUAUCUGAGUGUAAGCUGGUGGUGUAGUAAAGGACGGCUGCUUGUAUGAACCACUUGUUUCAUCAUAUAGCAUGAGCUCCGACGUCUUGUUGACCUCCGGAGCGAUAGGCUGGUAUGGUGGUAUGAUCGGCCGAGUGGCCGUUUGGGAGGGUGUCUGGAACGGAGGAUUUCCUUGACUGACCGAUUGAUUCAAACCGGUCGUGUUUAAAGGUGCCCCCCAGGGUAAAGGGAUGACUGGAGGGAGUGGUGCAGAGGACGGUUGGAUAGAGCCAUAUCCCAAAGGAGUUGAUGACGCAGAAGCACCGGAUCCUCCGACAGAGGAUUGUAGCGGCUGUGAAGCCUGAUAAGCCUGAUUUGGUGGAAUCGGCUGAAAAUACGUUGGUCCCCUGUACCCUUGAGGUAUACCUCCGGCGAAGGAGUUGACAACAGCAUUGUGCACCAUGUUUGAGAGUACCGGGGAUUGGUUGAUGAAGGCGUGAUGAAGAGAUUGUUCAAUCAUAUCGGACAUUUUAUCCGAAUCUUCAGAAAUUGUGAUCUGACGGGGAGUAGGGAAAGGAGACUUUUUAACAGUUUCCCCGCUCCUGGAACGACUGAAGGAUUUCAAGCAAGUUUUCCGGACUUGCUCCAAAUACUUAUUCAGAUCUUCUUUUUGGUCGUCCUUUAGAUCUGCUUCCGUCACUUCGAUGACGUUAUCUUCGGAGACUUCAGCAGCUUUCGACAUGACAGCGGUUGUAUUGGUCCCACCGGGCGUGCUAAAAGUGUGUUGGCGCUAGAAAUCGGUCAACCGAAUCCCAGCGACUGACACACGACCCGGGAGAAUCUGCUUAGCUCCUGUUCGGGUAAAUGCCCUGGUGCGGUUCGCGCGGCGUGCCAGCCAAUCUGACCUGUUGAUUGGCAAGGAAGAACACGUGUCAAAUUCAGAAACUACGAUCGGCUAAGUUUCCGAUCGAGAGAAGCUUAAUCGGCAAAUCGGCCGAUUUACUGUGAUAAUGAAAUCGGCUAUAAGACAGCACGAUCCCUGUAGCCUUGUAGACAGAAAAAUACUAAAGUAAUCGGUACAAAGCUUGUGAUAACAGCACUAGGAAAAGAUCUAAUCGGCAAUGAAUGGAUCUAACGACAGAAGGUGAUGAAAGCCGAUACUACCGAUUCCUAGCGGGAUAACUGGUGAUAAAAACUAGGAAAACAGGUAAAAACCUAUGAAUCUAGUUGAUAUCGAUAACUGAUGAAUAAAUCUAAACGAAACAACAGCGAUGCACCGGAAGUUAAAGCUUAGAUAUUACUCGAUAAGCGGAACUUACAGAAUCAGCCGGAGAUCAAGAUGAUGCAGCCCUGCCAACCCGCACGAACUCGUGAGAAGAAAAAGUAAUGGCGAAGUCGCCUGCUCGAAAGUAAGUACGAAGAAGAAAGUAACUUGUUGUAUUGAUUGAUUGUUGUGUUUACAGAUUUACAAAGGUAGCUAUUUAUAGCCCUGUACAAAUAACCUUCUUAACUGACUAGAACUCUAUCUCUAAUUCAAACAGAAAACAAAUAUCUACAAGCACAACCCGUGCUAAACUAGUUACCCCACGCUUCGUGGGCUGACCUCCACCUUAUCCUUCCAUCUUUCCAAGCCCAUACAGGCCCAACUAGUCCAUCUUCCUGAUCGGCCGAUUUCUUAUCGGCAAAGGAUUGCCGAUUGGGAGUCUGGCGCAUUCACCCUGAAGCGAAGCAAAAGCUACCGGCCGAUUCCGCAUUAUAGCACCAUUUGACCGAUUCCCAACCGUACUUCUUCGACUUCUUUUCUCCUUGGCGCCGAUUCUACUGAUGACGAAAUCCGGCGUCAACAGAGGGCAUACUAACUUAAACUUUGUGAGGGAUCGUUCUACUUUUAACAUCACAGCAUGCAGAAAGUAAAACAUAAACAGAAUAGCAUUCACACAGUUGUGACACAGUAUGACCCGUUUUCUUAUGGUGAUCUCCAUCUCCAUAGAACCUGUUCACCAUGGUGAUCUCCAUCUCCAUGUUCCAUGUGCGCCAUCCUCCUGGUGAUGAGUCCUCCAAGAACUAGAGCAUGCUAUUACGCCUGAUAGCUAGUAAAAAAUCUAGUAAUGAAGAUUACAUAGUUGCUUGGAUCAUCACAGAUUGGUACGCAGAUCAUUAAAUACAAUAAAGUGACAACACAUAUGGCUCCUGCCGUGUUGCCGUAUGCGCGACACGCAGGUCACGAAUGAGUUACACACAUGCAUCACAUACACAAGGGGGCCAUACUGAUCACAAGAUAAAUACAUACAUCCUGCAAAAGAGAGUUAGGCGUCCUAACGUUCCAAACUUGGGAGGCCCGAAACUCCAUCUUCCAAGCCGAAUUUGGGAAAUCUAAUUUCGCCAAAAACAGCAAAGCCGUUGAAUUUCAUGUGUAACUUUUUCUGUAGAUCAAUUUUCGUAUAAAAAUCGCCUCGAUCCGAGAUCGUACCGAAAAGUUACAGCUGAUUUACCGAAGCAUACGCAUACGGCAAAAUCCCGACCCCGACAGUAGAUCACAUCUACUAUUGCACAUCUAAUGCGCCUGGCGUAUGACCCUGGAUCUCGAUUCGACCAAUCAUAUUGAUCUUCGCUCACUGCAACUGGAUUUACGUGUAUCACUUAACUCCGAUGGCGGAAACCGACCGGUAGGAGUAUGUCGUUACACUACCAUUGCAGCAAGGGCACGAAAUCAGGACAUAGAUCAAACAGAGAACUCGCAUAUCUCCAUAUGCACACAUCCCGAAUCCAAAACUAAGCAGCUACGGCUCUGAUACUACUGUUGCGAUACGAGGUAGGCUACACUAGCGUAAAUCAAAAUUUCUACCGCGUAUAACCAGGAAGAACUGCCGUAUAAGGAUCACGGGAUUACCACUCGACGCACUACUGGUGUGGAAGAUGUAGAUAUGCGUCGAUGCAGUGAAGACGAUCACGUAGUUGUACGUAGUCGAUCAACGUAGUCGUACGUAGUCGAUCACGUCCAGCAGCUCCUCAGCAGCUCGUCCACGUGCACAGCAAGAUCGCCUCCGGUACCGCGGCUCGUCGUCGGCUCGUCGUGGCUCGUCGGCGGCUCGUCCAAGUGCUGCAGGCGCAACACCUCCAAGGUAUCCACACGUGCAGGGAGGAAGCGUCGCAAGCCGGAUUGCUAGAUCCGCGAGUUGCAGCAGGCGAGGGCGUGGGAGGCGCGGCAGGUGUGUUUCGCCAAAAGGUGUAAACCCUAGGGCACCCCCACCCCUCUAUUUAUAGAGGUUCCUGAUGGGCCUCUGGAUCCGAGGCCCAUUAGUACUCCUAAACCUAAUCCAACUCGGAUCAGAUCCGAAUUGGGCUUCCAGCCCCUUAAGUGUGUGACCCUAUGGGUUCGAAUUCGUAUAGACAUGGCCCGAGUACUCCUACUCGGCCCAAUAGUCGGUAGCAGCCUCUAGCAAGACGUGACAACUCCUAUACGCAUACGAAGAUCAUAUCAGACGAACCAUCACAACAUAAUAUACAUGCUAUUCCCUUUGCCUCACGAUAUUUGGUCUAGCUUCAAGCCGACCGCUCUUUCUCGAUCCUGUGAUUCGGAAUCCCUUUGUAGGUUAACUCUUAACCGUACGUAGCAUGGCCAUGCAUUUUUCGGAUCCGGUCACUCGAGGGGCCCAGAGAUAUCACUCUCAAUCAGAGAGGGGCAAAUCCCUUCUUGAUUUGACCAUGUCUCAUAGCAUGCUUCUUGACAAACCCGAAAGCUACCUUUAUAACUACCCUGUUACGGCGUAGCGUUUGAUAGCCCCUAAGUAGGUCGAUCCACAUCUAGAAUACAUGCGACAAUCUCAGGUCUAAGGACAAAGCGUAUAUGUUGUUUAAAGAGAGAACUACUUCUCGUGUUGGGUCAGUCCUAACACAUGUCUCCACAUGUGUCCACAUUAUUAGUUCAACAUCUCCAUGUCCAUGACUUGUGAAACAUAGUCAUCAACUAAUACAUGUGCUAGUCUAAUAUUCAUGUGUGUCAUCACAUGAACUCCGACUAGGGACAACUUUAGAAUAACCAUACAAGUAAAGAGUUUCACAUACAAUUCACAUAAUUGCAAAUCAAUUCAAGUAGCCUUUAAUGGAUAUUCAAUGAACACAAUAUACAAAUCAUGGAUACAAAUGGAAUAUCAUCAUCUCUAUAAUUGCCUCUAGGGCAUACCUCCAACAGUCUCCCACUUGCACUAGAGUCAAUCUAGAAGGUACCUAAUACCCAUAGCUCUUACAUGCGCAUCAUGCUUAGCCUGCGGGAGUGGUUUUGUCAACGGAUCAGAAAUGUUCAGAUCCGUGUGUAUUUUGCAUAUCUUGAUCUCACCCCGGUUAACGAAGUCUCGAAUGAGAUGAAAUCGCCGCAUUACGUGUUUGUUCUUCUGGUGGUUCCUUGGCUCCUUUGCUUGCACAAUAGCCCCAUUGUUAUCACAGUAGAGAUUCAAUGGGUUGGACGCAUUCGGGAACACACCAAGCUCAAUGAGGAAAUUCCUUAUCCAAACACCUUCCUUCGCGGCUUCCGAAGCUGCGAUGUACUCGGCUUCUGUCGUAGAAUCGGCCACCGUCUCCUGCUUGGAACUCUUCCAACUAACAGCACCACCAUUUAGCGUGAACACAAAUCCUGAUUGUGACUUUGAAUCAUCUCUGUCGGUUUGGAAACUAGCAUCGGUGUAACCUGUUACAACGAGCUCUUCCUGACCUCCAUAGACGAGGAACAUAUCUUUAGUCCUUCUCAAGUACUUAAGAAUGUUUUUCACCGCUGUCCAGUGACUCUCACCUGGAUCAGAUUGGUGUCUGCUUGUCAUACUUAGCGCAUAUGAAACAUCUAGGCGAGUACUUAUCAUUGCAUACAUGAUAGAUCCAAUAGCCGAGGCAUAUGGCACUCUACUCAUGCGAUCCCGCUCAUCAGCAGUCGAAGGACACUGAGUCUUGCUGAGAUGUAUGCCAUGUGACAUAGGCAAGAACCCUUUCUUUGCCUCUUCCAUGCUGAACCGCUUCAACACUUUGUCAAUAUAAGUAUCUUGGCUCAGACCUAUAAGCCUUCUCGAUCUAUCUCUAUAGAUCUUAAUGCCCAGAAUAUAUGCCGCUUCCCCUAAGUCCUUCAUCGAAAAACUAUUUUUCAGUGAAGUCUUUACGGACUCAAGCAUAGGAAUGUUAUUUCCAAUCAGUAAUAUGUCAUCCACAUAUAAGAUUAGAAAUACUACAGAGCUCCCACUAACCUUCUUGUAAACACAAGACUCUUCUUCGUUCUUGGUGAAGUCAAACCCUUUGACCACUUCAUCAAAACGAAUGUUCCAACUCCUAGAUGCUUGCUUCAAUCCAUAAAUGGAUCUCUGAAGCUUGCAUACCUUUCCAGCAUUUUUCGGAUCGACAAACUAGAACUAUAUAUAGUAAAUAGGCACGGGCUAAAAGUAUUAUAUGAUUUUGAGCUAAAUAAAUAUAGGGUUGGGUUGUGAAGGAGAUAUGGAUCUCGUAGCCAUGAGUGAACAAAACAGAGAGCGCCACACAUCGAUUAAAAGGUGGGCCGAAACAGAUAAAAGAUAAAAAAGAAUCAUAUCGGCCCACAAUGAAAUGUUAAACAGAAGAACGCAAAUCUUGAAAACAUAUGGGUCGUUCAAAACCGACGGGCUAAUCUUUCUACGUGCUGGGCUGAUCCCAUGUGGGCCGAUACAGACACGUCAGGACAAGAAGACCCACCCGGCCAGGCCCAGACGCAGGAGACAAGAGAUUGAAGAGGAUAGAUCGAAUCAAUAGCCAACUCCUCUCGUCGUCCUCGUCUCCAAAUCGAGGCAUACCCCAAACCCUAGCCAUCCCCAAUCCGGCCGCCGCGUCUACCGAUCCGUUAGAUCCAUGGCCGCCGCCGCCGCCGCCGCUGCCGGCGACUCCGCUGUACCCAACUGGGUGAUGCUGGAGCGCUUGGCCUUCCGGAGGGACGACCCCGCCUCCUUCCGCGAGGACAGGAGGACCUUCGCUUCCGGCACCACCUCCGCCGGCACUCAAUUCGACGUCUCCUUCAUCCUCGCCGAGCCUCCCACCCCCUCGCGCCUCUACCUCUCGUGGCCGGAAGGGCCCAAGAAGGGGGGCCAGGGCCUGGUCAUGGCGGCCAACCGCAACCUCGUCCUCUUCAGGCUCGACUCCCUCGUCGACGAAUCCGAGCCUUUCGGGCAGGUAGUGCAUGAUUACUUCAUCUACAUAGCUAAUCCCUCCUCACAGCAGACACCCCUGCUCAGACGGCUGCCCCCCUGCACCGAGUACAACGUUUAUAUUGAGAUGCAAGUUACUCGCUUGUUUCCGGUGCUGGCUGUUGGUCUGUUGUGCCAUGGCGAAGACGAGUUUGCCGUGGCGCAUCUGGCCAUCAGGCCUCGCAAAAAAAAAUCAGGGUCUCGCAAAAAAAAAUCAGCUAUGCAAGCUGAGCUAUGCGUGCUACGCUCGUCAUUGUCCAGCAGUGAUGAUGCCAAAUGGGAGACCAAGGUCUUUCCGCUACAGUACCAAUACGAUGAUUUACACUAUGAUUUUCUGAACUGGGAAGUGGAUGGUGUAGUUCCCUUCAAGAAUGCCUUGUGCUGGGUUAACUACUGUAGAGGCAUCCUUUUCUUCGACGGCGUCUUUGAAGACAGACCCAAGGUCUCCUACAUCCGCUUGCCUCUGGAUACUUCUUUCCGAGGGACUGGGACUGAUGCCGAUGCACGCAAGGGGAUGUACCGUGGCUUGUGUGUCACUGAAGGUGGCCAUCGGUUGGUAUUUGUUGAUGUUGCCCGUCAUGAUGGAAAAUGUUAUGGCCCGAGGAUGCCCAACACUGGUUUCACCCUCACCUCCCGGACAUUGAAGAUGACAGGGAAUUGCACCACGCCGUGGGAGUGGAAUCAGGAUGCUGUUGUCACUUCAGAUGAACUAUGGCAUGCAAACACCAUGGAGAGUCUCCCUCGUGACAUUGUGAUGCUCCCAUUGCUGAGUAUAGAUAAGGCCAAUGUUGCGCACCUUUCAAUGCUUGACUGGGAUGGUGGCAGAUUCUCAUUAGUUUCCAUCGACUUGAGUAACAUGCAAGUGAUGGGCCCAGUCAUUACAUACCUCGAAGGGGAGGAUGAUACUGCUGAUGCUGACAUCGUCAAGACAAAGCAAGUAUUAUGUGCACACUUUAUUCCAUCCGAAUUCCCCAAGUUCCUGGAUCUCAGGUAACUUCAGCGUUGCCUCCCACUUUUACUUGAGCACAAUUUUUUUUCAUGCAGCCUUUUGCUCUCCUUUUUUCAGCAGUUAAGGUUUCUGCCAUGUUAUUCUUGAAACCUUUGAGGAAUCAACAGAAUGUGCUGGUUGCUGGGACUAAUAUGGAUCAAUGUUUUCAAAUCCUUAUGUUGAGUCUAGUCGCUGGGUACCAACUAGAUGGCUAAUCGUGACUAGGCAACGAUUAAAUUGCAAUUAGCUCUGAGACCAGUCGAUCCACCCUUGCCUAUAGUAGUGAAUGAUAGAGUAUAACACAAAGGUGACGAACUGAUCUCUUGGUUUGAGCCCAACACAUAAUUGUUCUUUGUGGGUUCUUCAAUCUGAAAGUGCAUAAUAGCGUGCCAGCGUUAUGCUUUGUUUCCUUCACUAUUUUGAUUCUACAUGUCAAAUUAUUGAAAGGUUUUGUUCAGUUACCAACAACAUGGAUCCUUAGAAGUAAGUGGCACCCAGCGAAUCAGCAUCAUAUCGAAGAACCCCUAGGUCUUCUAAACAAACGGGCUGGAAUUGUGGAAAUCAAUUAAACUUAAUUAUAUCCAUAGUGCCUUCCUUGUAUAUCAUGUUUCAUUCAGCUAGUAGUAACCUCAGCAACUUGACAGUCUUGGGAAAUUAGGCAAUGGUAGUCUGCCUGUGGUUAAUAUAGGCCCUUUUUGUAUCCACUUAUUUCCUGCUUAUCAAUGGAAAUAAGCGAUAAGCCCACCCAAACGCCUAGCUUUUUUCCCGCUUUCCACCCAAGCCGCUUAGCCCACAAUCUGGAAAACAACUAGCGUCCCACUUAUUCUCUACGCGGUCUUGGGGCCGCUUCUCGGGCAAGCGAAGCGCUUUUUCCCGAUACCCUCACCCGUCCGCUGCCUGCCGCCCUCCGACCGGCGCCGGCGCCGGCUCCAUCCGCCGCCCGCCUGCCUCCACCGCUUCCCUGCACAAAUCCUAUCCAGAUCCCGUUGCCAUCGGUCACUAGCACUCCUGCCCAGAUCCCGUCGCCGCCGGUUCCGUUCACUGCCGCCACCGGUCGACCCUACGCUUGGCCCCCUGCGCUUGGCCUCCGGUCGGCCCUGCUGUUCUUUUUUGUGAAGGAGGUGGCGGAGUCCUUGCCGUGAGUGCUGGCCGUCUAUUGCUGAGUGCUGGCCGUGAGCAGCAUUUGAGCUCCCCCUGCGUGCUGCCGUUGUUGUUGAGAAGGAGCUAGUGCUGCCGUUGUUGUUGAGAAGGAGCUAGAUAUGGGUGCAUUGCGUCAUGUUAUUGCUGUCGCUAUGGUUCGUGAUUCGUUGUUGUACUCAUGAUGGAUGUUUCCAUACUAGACCGAUCUAUCAUAUGAAUUUCAUAUUAUUGUAAUGAAAUUUCUAUUUCACAAAAUCCAAAAAUAUUGGAAUUAUUAUCUUCUCCUCAAAUUCACAACAAAAAUGAGCUAUUAUGAGCCUCAGGGGCAUUUAGGUCAAUUUACCAGCCAGGACAGACAAUCGACACAAAAUAAUCAGGAUUGCCAAACACCCAGCUUAUUCAGACAGCGGAUUCUCCAGACAGCAGGCAAGCUUUUAAGAUAAGCCUGCUUGCCAGAUAAGCGAGUUCCAGAAAAGCGUAUAUAAACAGGGCCAUAAAUGUUUCACGGCUUAUUCUGUUGCUAACUGUUGCUUGUCACGUUGAUCAAAAUCGACCAUAAGCUAAGUUAUUUUUUCUUAAUGACGUCCGAGGCACCUGAGAAUCUUUUAUAAUUCUUGGUAACCAUGGAUACUAUCAAAAUAACUUCAGCAAUGGGUGAAUCUAAGACUAUGGGAAGCCUAAAUUUCGAUUUGUACAGAUUAUCUCUGCUGAAAAAAAUUAUUGAAAUCAUCAGCAUGUGUUGUAGCUGACAAUUAUUGUUUCCUAUUUGUAUUGAUGAAGUUCUUGCUACUGUAUUGCAGGAAGAGAGAGAAUCAUCCAUAAGUCCUGUCACCAUAUCGGCUGGCCACCGUCGUCAUGUGUGUUGCUUCUUCAUUUUCCAGUUCUGUUGUGCUGGAUUCUACUGCCGACUUUGUUGAUUGGCUACUACAAUUCUGAGUUUAGUCCUCAGCUUUUGUGUGUUCCCUGCACUUGUGUACUAUAAAUAGCCAGGAAAAACACCUUUACCAGGCUCAUCCGUUGAACUAUAUGAUAAUGCUAGAUGAUGUGUCCAUGCCUUGCUAACGUCUUCUACAUGCCAUGCGAGUUAAAAAUCCUGCAAUCAUGUUUCGUGGUAGCAGUUUACCUUUGCACAAUGAAACUCCUCACUAAACCACAGUUCAAUUUGAGGGACUACUGCGUUGUUUUUACAGGGAUCUAAUGCCAUCAAUCAAAUUGUAAAAUACAGACAGGUACGCGUGGAAUGGACACUUGUGUUCAUUCAGAUUUUUGUGAUAUUUCAUACCUAAUGAUUACCAGGUUGUCACGCCCCUACAUGCAAAAUUGGUCUACGAGAUGGGAUAUAAGCUCAAAAGGAUGCGAGAGCUGUAUUAUCAUGUAGCUCAUGACCUGGCAGAAGUGAAUAGUUGCACGAAAUACAACAUUGCAAACAAGGCUUUUAUUCAUUUUCUCUGCUGAUGCCACACGGUAGCAGAAGCAGUGCCACCAAUUGGUGAAAGAUUUUCAGUAAACUGAGUGUUUGACAGAACAAUAUGAUGCCACCAAAGCAAUCUGCAUGAGUUCUCUACCUCCGGAAGUCUAGAUGGUUGCUCUAUUUCAUUCCUCACCAUGGUCAUGGCAGGGCGUGACCGACUUUUUUGUAUUUUGGCCCUUUUCGCGAAAAAAUCUCACAAAUAGGCCCCUGGCGAAACCAAUUCCGAAAAUGGACAACGUCUUGGCGCCAGCCUACGCCGUGCCUCCGACGUGGCGCCGGCCCGCUGACGUGGCCCCGAGGCUUGGCGCCAAGAUCCAUGGCGCCAAGCCUCGGCGCCAAGAUCUGUGGCGCCAAGGCUCGGCGCCACCGUCGCUGGCGCCAAGCCUUGGCGCCACAGAUCUUGGCGCCGAGGCUCGGCGCCAGCCUCCCUGACGCCAAGCCCUCUACCAUAUAUAUCGCCCCUUCUUCCUGCCCGAGAGUUCCUCCUCAUUAUUCUCCACUCUCUCGGGUUUUUACUCUCCCUACUUUACCCUAGACUACGAAUCGACAUUGUAGCUUAGGAAACUUUCAGUUGAUCCGUGGAUCCUGAAGAGCAAGGUAUCCUCUCUCCGUCGUACCUUUUUUUCACAUCGAUUCGCUAUAUAUUUCUUGCAUUUUUGAACUUAGGGUUUCAUGCAAAUGUAGGAUGCCGAGGCGUGGAAAAGCUAAGAAACUAAGGUAAUCUCAACGCCCGUAGUUAUGUUAUAUACUCAUUGUUGUGGAUCAAAUGAAAAAACCUUAAUUGUAGGUUUAUUCUUAAGUGCGUUUGAUUCAUAGAACCAAAUAAACAAAAUUUAGUUAUGGCGCAAAGAAGACCGGAAAUGCGUUCGAUCCAUUGCCUCUGCCUAGUGGUGUUCCAGUGCCGAUGUGCUUUUGCGGCGAUCCUUGCAAGGUAGCCAAGUCCGAAGAACAUGCCACGUAUAGGCAGAGGUAUUGGAUGUGUUCCAACUUUGCGUUUGAACCUACACUUCAUCAGCGCCGCAUUAACAUGUUGGUAAGGAAAUGUUGUUGUCUUAUAAUUAUUGUCCAUAAUUUUUUUGUUUUAUAACAAUUGCAUUUGUUGUAGACCCCUCCACCGCUAUGUGAUUUUGAGCAGUGGAUCGACACUGAGAUCAAUCCUGAAGACAAGGAGUUUUUGGAGUAUAUGAUGCAUUGGGAUGCAGAGAGGAAGGAGGUGUACGAGAAGAGGCUCAUAGAGGAGGCUGCGGAAAAGGAGCACAAGGAAGAGGAGGAAAGGAGGCGGGUUGCUGCGAAUAGGGAGGAGAGAGAGAAGAAGCUUGAGCGGGCAUGCCGAGCGAAAGCAGCGGUUGAGGAGAAUCCUGAUGCCUUAAGGAAGGGAAAGUGGCCUCGUUGCACUCAGUAGCCAUAUUUAGGUUCUAGUUCUAUGGUUUAUUUAUGAACAAUAUUUUCUACUAUGAGACUUUUAUUAUGUUGUCAUGUAAUAAUGCACUUUAAGUAAGGACACGCAAUUUGUAGACGACAUAUGUUCAUUUUGCGAUGUAAUGCAUUUCGAAGUCGUAGUCUACUGAAAUAUCCGUAGAAAAUAAAAAUGGUACUUGUUAGCGAAAUUUCGGCAGAAUUUCCCCUACUUGUUGAUGCAAUCCAUACAAAAUUACGAGAUGAAUAGUGAAUAUAAAUACAAGCAUAGAAGCAUAGAAGCAUAUGACACAAGCAUAUGACACAUUCAGAAUAGAAUCCACAAUAGUUCAGAAUGAAAGUCCUUAUAUAUACAAAUAGUCCAUAUGAUACAAAGUUCGCAAUCAGAAUCGUCACUGCCUCCUAGUCUUACCCUUACCCUUGUGACCAAGGGCAUCGGUGCCUGGAGUGUAAGGAGAACGUGGACGACGUAGUCUAGUGCCCCCUACAACCUGUGUAGGCUGAGUCAAGGGAGCCUCCUGGAGCUGAGACGGGCCAAUCUCCUCGGCCCUCUGCUCAUCGUCGUCGUCAUCGUCGUCGUCGUCGACUUCCUCGGAUGCAAUUGAUUUCGAACCUGAGGGGCCUUGGCUGGACGUACCGAUGCCUCCUUCGCGUAGGGAUGGAACGUGCACGUCUCGCGUCGUGCCAGUCCUGCAACCACAACGAGCAGCGGCACGGUGAAGCCGAUUUGACAAUCGCUGCAGUAGUAAAAACAAGUUACACAAAUGAAGAAUGUAACGUAUUAAUAAAAUAUUAGAAAGAAUAAUCUGAGACUUACCUCUAGGACGCUCUGUAUCUCGGGGUCCCUAACUCGUGGACGGAUAUGCUCUAUAUCUCUAACCGAGCUUUGUAGGGUACGCCCCUGCAACAAAUGACUAAGUCACUAAAGCAACAAAUGUCUAAGUCACUAAACGACUAAAUGAUUAAGUCAGAUGAUCACUAAGUCCUUCUCUAACUAUCUAAAUCUCUAAGUAACUUAACAUAGAACAUAGAAAAGUGAAGCAAUUGUCUUACCAUCCUAUCCAGGAUUGGUCCUGCCUCCACCUGCCUUCCAGCACGAGUACUCUGAUCGUACACCGUGUCUUCAUCGUUGGAUGAGUGGAUAUCGGCGUAGUCAUCUUCCGUCCACGCUUCCCUCAGCCUGUGCCGCGUCGCACCUUGGUACCAGCUCUGGUAUUGCCUGUACGCACUGUUUGUGUGCGGCUCGUUGUUCUCGUCCAAGUUCUGCUCGAACUGCUCCUAUUCCUGAAUGUACGCGUGGUGGAACGCGGGCCACUCGAAGACCUUCCGUUUCUUCUUUCGAUCCACGCUGCACGUCACGUUACAGUUAGCCAAAAUUUAGUUAAUAGUAUUGAAAUAUAUGAAAUAGGAAAACACUUACUUGUGUAACUCUAUACUAGUCGAGGUCGCCUGUGGUGGCCAAAUCUGCCUCAUCCCAAAUUGACGUGCUACUCGAUGUGGCAGGUGGUACUCGACAGCAUAGAAGCAAAUAAGAGGGCACACCAUCCUAUAAAUAUCAUCGUCCGUCGCACACAUGAAGCUAAGGGGAAAAGGAAGUGGAUCGUCUCCGUCGUAAGGCUGCCAAUUUACCUGCAAAAUUUGAAUCAAAAACGUUAGUUGUUAUACUAAAAGAUUACAAAGCAUGUUUAAAAAAAAUUCACUUACACUAUGAGCAGUGAGCGCGUCUAUCUCGUUGAUGUAAUCCAGGUACGCGCGGUCCAACCUCGUAUGGCUAACCUUAACCUGAUCCCAAAUAUAUGCCCAUGUCGGCUGUCGUCUCGGCGGCUCACCUGGGAACCACGGUCGACGCGGCAUAAUCUCGGGCCGACCAACAGGAAGACGGGACCACAUCCAUAAUUGCAAUAGGUAGACACACCCACCAACUGACGGGGAGCCCGAAGUCCGACGGCACGCCUCGCACAGCUGCCGGUAUAGAAAGCACAACACAGCUGAUCCCCAGCUGUAAAAACCAGCCUGGUGCCAGUUAGUGAGGCAGUGGAUCCACAUCCAAGACGCAGUGUCACCUGUAGCAUCUGGGAAAAGAACGUAGGCAAAGAGGUGUAGUAUCCACGCCCUGCAGUAGUGUCCAACUGUCUCAGCAUCCGCGUCCUGGGGGCACUGGCCGAAGUGUUCCCGCAGCCAUGAGAUUAGCACUCCAGAUGUGCGAGUCCCCUGCUCCUCAACCUCUCGCCCCAGGAAGGCUGCGACUCGUGCUCUCCAACCCUCUGAGACGCACGACCCAGUGACUGGCUGGCCCCGAAUCGACAGACCCAGCAUCUUCUGACAGUCCUGUAGGGUCACUGUCAUCUCUCCGAACGAGAGGUGAAAGCUGUGAGUCUCGGGCCGCCACCUACAUUUCAUCGGAUUAUUAUUUGAUAACAUGUAAAGACAUAACAAAAUGAAUAUGAUUAGUGGUAAUAGUACCUGUCAACCAACGCCGUUAUAGCCGCUGAAUUGAACUUGGGCAUCCCACGACGAACCUGAUACGAGAUGACAUCUAGGCCAGCCAUCUGUAGCAAAGGAGUGUAGCGGUCGUCGUACUGCAGCGCCAAAAACCCAUCAUGGGCUCUAGAACGAAGGAGCGGAAGGACCUGCAUGCAAAUAAACCGAGUUAGAGAUUUCUUAGGACACAAGACGUGGACGCUUGCAAAGCUUUAAUCAUGAAUUGUAGAUUAUUACCUGCCCUGCCGCUAUGAGACGACCUCGGUGGGUCUGGUCGUACGCCUGGUCUAGAAGGUGGAAGUGCGCCAUCCUACAAAAAAGGCAAAAAGAAAUAAGAUUAGUAAACAAUAAAUCAUGAAGUUAGAGAUGUAGAAACACAACCUUUAUGAAUAAAACACAUAUCAAGUAACGAAAAGAGCUACUAGUCGCACCUCACUAAUCUGCCAACGGCAAGUGCGUGAAUUAUGACCCAAUCUGCCGCACUUGCCGCACUCGUUCUGUUCUGGAUCAGCAAGAAAUGGUGUUGCUCUACCACGCCUUGUUCUUCCGGAUACCUGAUCCAUAGUCAUGUUAUGCCUCGUCCGCUUCCUUGUUCCAUGUUUGUUCCAACGGUAUGCAGGAUCCGCAACAUAUUUUGGCCCAUCAUACGGAGGCCACUCUCUAGGAUCCCGGAAAGGCAUGAAGCGGGGGCUCCAUGUCCGCACAAGGGUGCCUACGCUGAACUCAUGUGGUAUCAUGCUCUCGAUAUCAAAAUUGCGAUGCCUAGCUGCUGCCACCAAAUGAGAACAUACAAAGUGGUACUGCCUUGGCCUACCACAAGUGCACUUGAAAUCUCGGAGAACUACCACAUGUAUCCUCGACUCUCGGAUCUCACCAUCGGACGUUGUACCGCCCCUAUGCUCGACCUGAUAAGUCCCUGAGCCGAGAUCAAAACAUUGCACCUCAUGUGUGGAAGCCCUUUCAUUUGCAAUGAUGAGAUGUCUCUUUGGUUUUUCAGCCCAUCUCUCCCCAGCAAUCUGCAACGCUUCUGCUUUUGCGUGUCUUUCAUUGAACCACGCAACAAGCCUGUAGAAGGUGAAUUCAAUGAUUGCGUUCACAGGCAUACCACGUAUCCCCAAUAACAACUUAUUGAAUGACUCGGCCAUGUUACUGCACUGAAACUCGUACCUCCAACCACCGGCGUCGUGAGAUCUAGUUCACUUAUCUAAAUCUCUCAUCAAACCAGCGAGCCAUUGUCUACCUUCUGCAUUUGUUGCGGUCCUUACCUGCUCCAAUUUGCGCUGAAAGUAAUAGUCCUCAAGCUGACGUGCUGCAACUUGAAACAGAUCAAAAUUAUCCUUAACACCAUCCUUCCGAAGUAGGUUCUCCGCAAGGUGCCGAGUGCACCAACGAUGAUGCAAAGGUGCAUAACCCUCUAUCUGUUCUUGCACAGCAUGAAGUAUGCCCUGAUGCCUAUCGGAUAUGACACCAACCUCCCUACCAGGACCAACCACAUGUAUCCGGACUAGUCUUAAGAACCACCCCCAACUGUCAUUGUUCUCCCUCUCAACCAAUGCAAAUGCCAAAGGAACCAACAUAUUGUUCGCGUCACAAGAUAUGGCUAUAAGAAGUGUGCCUCUAUAUUUACCAAUCAAAAACGUACCAUCAAUAGAGAAAACAGGAUGACAGUGCCUAAAGGCUUCCACAGACUGAGGGAAGCACCAGAACGCACGCCCAAAUAUCUACCUCUCGUCCUUCCAAGCAUUUGGCUUUGGGAUGUACUCAUAAUGCAUGCCUGGAUUCACCGCUUUAAUUGCAUUAAAAAGCACUGGCAGCUGCUCGUACCCAGACUCCCAAUCCCCAUAUAUCAUCCUCCACGCUCGCUGCUUAGCCCUCCAAGCUUUACCAUAAGUUAUUACAUAUCCUCCAUAAAUCUCCUCAACAGUUCUUAUAAUUGUUCUCACUUUCAUGUUGGGUUGUUCCUUCAAUAUUCCCAUCAACCGCUUCGCAAUGAGGGUAGAUGUUAGCUGCGGAUGUCUCACUGUAAGCUCAUGGUCAGCACAAUUGUGUGGACCGACAACUUUUGUGAUCUUCCACUUCCCGGUGAUAUUUUGCUUUCUUGCACAAACCCUCCAUGGACACCGUUCCUUGUCACACACAACUGUGUAACGGCGCUCCGCAUAUGAAUGCAACACUUUGUACGGUCUCUUCCGUAUCACCGCAAAAGCUUGCAACCAUCUCUUCAAUGCGGGAAGGUCCUUAAAUACCCUACCCUCCUCAAUAACCAUACUAGGACCAGCUUCAGGAGCUUCUAGGAGCUCAUCAUCACGUCCUUCUGCAAACGCCUGAUCGGAAAGAGUCAGAUCGCUAAACUCGUGAACUAUCGGAUCACGACGUCCAGGGAAUAUACACCUGAACAUCUCAAUAUCACUCUCUGUCAUCUCUCCAACAGGACGAUCAUCAUCAGAAUCAAGAUCCACUCCCAUCUCGUAUGCAUCUUCAUCAUUCAAAAUUUCAACACUAUUAGAGUCACGCAAUCCAUCUCCACAUUGCACUUGCGCAUCAACUAGAGGCACAUCCACAUUUUCUGGAACAUCUCCUGCGCCAUCAAGUACAAAUAUGAGUAAAGAAUAAGUGGAUGGAACGAAUGGAUUAUCUCUCAUCAAUAGAAACCGGUGAGACACUUACUCGGAUCAUUCUGAGUGAAAAGGAACUCAUUAGGAGAGUCCGCCACAUCAUCAACAAUCCGACAACCAUGUCCAACUACUUCAUUAGGGGCAGAUUCAGCAUCGGGAAUAGUAGGUGCAACAUCCACGUCCAUAACAGGUUUUGGGACGGGAGGAUCGAAAUGUGCCCGUUGACCCAUUGGUCGGGAAAACCGACGAGGAUUUCGAUCAACUCCCACCGGACGAACAACCACUUCAACACUUGGGGAAUGACCAUUCAUUACCGUCCUCACAUAUUUCUCCCACUGACCUGCACACCGAAUUGGGACCAUCUUCCUUUGAAUGUUGAGAGGGGAACCUAGGUGAAGUAUGCCCUCGACUGUGAUUUCAUCAUUUUCAUGACAAUGUAACUCCUCCCGAGCCCUUGCAACCAACUCACUAAACGAUGGUUUCUCAUCGAAUAUGACAACCUCGCACUGCAUGCCAACAAACUUAACACAUCCAUAUUUAUCCUUUUCCACAGUGCCUCCGUAAUAUAUGCUCACUACAUUCUCCAUCUAGUAUAUCAAUAUAACGACGCACAAUUCAUUUAGUCCAUAAUAAAUGAAACAUUCUAACUACAACAUCUCCAGUACGAAAUGAGAUAUUAUCAAUUGCCUACUAACUACCAAAUUCAUCUAACUAACUAUGUCAGACAAGCAACUUACUAUGCAACCUAAUAGUUAGUUAGGUACGUACCUAUACAACUGCUUAACUAAAUAACUAGUUUACUAUGUAACUAACUAUACAUCUAACUACGUAAAGAAAAUUGGACAUGCAUCUAGUUAUAUCGUUACAAUUCAUAAAGAUUAAUUUUCAUAUCUAACAAAUCUAUCUACCUAUUCUAAUUUACGUAUCUAACUAUUUCAUCUACCAAUUCUACCUACCUAUCUAAAUUCUACCUAACAAUAUAAUUCUAAUUCAUCUAUCUAACUAUUUUAUCUAGUUAACUAUAACUCUUCUUAGAGUUUUACCUCUCACUGGUGAACACUGGCGGCAAGGCGUGGAGGCGGGCACCGAGCGGGGGUCAGACGACCUCCGGUCGUGGAUGACGCGGGCGACGGGCCGUGGGCAACCGGCAGGGGCAGCCGCGGGCAAUGACGGGAGCGGCACAACCUUGAGAGCUCGGGCGGAGGGCGCCGGGCCGGCUGGCUCCGGGCGCCGGCGGCCGCGGGCAAGGUCCCACCGGACCGGGGGGGGCACGGCCGCGGGGGUCCGCGCGGGGGUGCCGGCCGGGGCGGCUCCGGCCGUCGGGCGGCCUUCGGCCGGCAACGGGGAGCUUCAGGUCGGCCGGGCGCGGACGCGGGGAGCUUCGGGCGGAUGGGCGCCAGCCGACGGGGCACGCGCCUUCGGGCGGCCGGGCGUUGGGCAAGGGCGGGUCGGCGGGCGCCGGGCGGGGGCGGCCGGCCUCCGGGUGGCGGCGGCGGCGGACUCCAAGCGGCGGCGGCGGGGAGCUUCGGGCGGACGGGCGCCGGCCGACGGGGCACGCGCCUUCGGGUGGCCGGGCCGGGGCGGCCGGCCUCCGAGCGGCGGCGGCGGCGGACUCCGAGCGGCGGCGGCGGGGAGCUUCGGGCGGACGGGCGCCGGCAGACGGGGCACGCGCCUUCGGGCGACCGGGCGGGCGCCGCGCGGGGGCGGCCGGCCUCCGAGCGGCGGCGGCGGACUCCGAGUGGCGGCGGCGGCGGACUCUGAGGCGGCGGCGGCGGUUUUCCUCGGGCGGCGGCGGCGCGAUUCGAAACAAUGCAAACAGACGCGCAAAAGGAAAGGGAUCCCGGUAUAGUGUUAAGAGGCUUGGCGCCAGGGAGGCUGGCGCCGAGCCUCGGCGCCAAGAUCUACGGCGCCAAGGCUUGGCGCCAGCGACGGUGGCGCCGAGCCUUGGCACCACAGAUCUUGGCACCGAGCCUUGGCGCCACAGAUCUUGGCGCCAAGCCUCAGCGCCACGUCAGCGGGCCGGCGCCACGUCGGUGGCGCGGUAGGGGGACUUUGGCGCCAGGAUGGCUGGCGCCAAGACGUUAUACCUUGGCGCCAGCCAUCAUGGCGCCAAGCUAAGGGUCCAUUUUCGGAAUUGGUUUCGCCAGGGGCCUAUUUGUGAGAUUUUUUUCGCGAAAAGGGCUAAAAUACAAAAAAGUCGAGGGGUGCCAUCAAGCGACUUUUUCGUUUUUUAACCCUUUUUGCGAAAGAUUCUCACAAAUAGGCCCCUGGCGGAACCAAUUCCAAAAAUGGACCCUUAGCUUGGCGCCAUCCACGCUGGCGCUAAGCUACAACGUCUCGGCGCCAGCCAUCCUGGCGCCAAGGUCUUUGCGCAGCUGCUUACGCGGAUGCCGACGUGGCGGGGGCUUGGCGCCAGCCAUGAUGGCGCCAAGCCUUGGCGCCAUGGAUCUUGGCGCCAAGCUUGGCGCCGUAGAUCUUGGCGCCGAGCUAUCUACGCCGUACCUCUUCUCGUUUCGAACUAAAGAAGUAUAAUUAUUCCGAGGAGUAUGCAACAAACUAACCUAUGGUUCAACUGGUUAGGAGGUGGGUUCCUUAUCCUGGAGACCCUGUACAACACUAGGGUUUGAACUCGGGUCUCCAGGAUAAGGAACCCACCUCCUAACCAGUUGAACCACAGCUUAGUUUGUUACACACUCCUCGGAAUAAUUAUACUUAUUUAGUUCGAAACGCGAAGAGGUACGGCGUAGAUAGCUCGGCGCCAAGAUCUACGGCGCCAAGCUUGGCACCAAGAUCCAUGGCGCCAAGGCUUGGCGCCAAGCCCCCUCCAUGUCGGCAUCCGCGUCAGCAGCUGCGCAAAGACCUUGGCGCCAGGAUGGCUGGCGCCGAGACGUUGUAGCUUGGCGCCAGCGUGGAUGGCGCCAAGCUAAGGAUCCAUUUUUGGAAUUGGUUCCGUCAGGGGUCUAUUUGUGAGAAUCUUUCAAAAAAGGGCUAAAAAAUAAAAAAGUCGGAGACCUGCCACAGGGUGCUUGCUUUGCAGAAAAAAAUCAGAAAAAAAAAGGCAGGCAGUCGCGUGCAUGCUCCCAGCAAGGAAAAUGAGGCAGAAAAAAAACAAAAAAAUGGCAGCUGCAUGCGCUGCAUGCAAAAAAAUAGCAGCUGCAUGCGCCCGCGCGAUCUGCAUGCGCCGGCCAGUCUGCACGCGUCAGGAGAAGAAGACCCACCUGCACACACCCUCCUUCCCACCCGGCCAGGCCCAGACGCAGGAGACAAGAGAUUAAAGAGGAUAGAUCGAAUCAAUAGCCAACUCCUCUCGUCGUCCUCCCCUCCAAAUCGAGGCAUACCCCAAACCCUAGCCAUCCCCAAUCCGGCCGCCGCGUCUACCGAUCCGUUAGAUUCAUGGCCGCCGCCGCUGCCGGCGACUCCGCUGUACCCAACUGGGUGAUGCUGGAGCGCUUGGUCUUCCGGAGGGACGACCCCGCCUCCUUCCGCGAGGACAGGAGGACCUUCGCUUCCGGCACCACCUCCGCCGGCACUCAAUUCGACGUCUCCUUCAUCCUCGCCGAGCCUCCCACCCCCUCGCGCCUCUACCUCUCGUGGCCGGAAGGGCCCAAGCAGGGGAGCCGGGGCCUGGUCAUGGCGGCCAACCGCAACCUCGUCCUCCUCAGGCUCGUCUCCCUCGUCGACGAAUCCGAGCCUUUCGGGGAGGUAGUGCAUGAUUACUUCAUCUACAUAGCUGAUCCCUCCUCACAGCGGACACCCCUGCUCAGACGGCUGCCCCCCUGCACCAAGUACAACAAUUAUUUUGAGAGGCAAGUUACUCGCGUUUUGCCGGCGCUGGCUGUUGGUCUGUUGUGCCAUGGCGAAGACGAGUUUGCCGUGGCGCAUCUGGACAUCAGGUCUCGCAAAAAAAAAUCAGGGUCUCGCAAAAAAAAAUCAGGUAUCCAAGCUGAGCUAUGCGUGCUACGCUCGUCAUUGUCCUGCAUUGAUGAUGCCAAAUGGGAGACCAAGAUCCUUCCGAUACAGUACCAAUACGAUGAUUUAUCCUAUGAUUUUCUGUACUGGGCAGUGGAUGGUGUAGUUCCCUUCAAGAAUGCCUUGUGCUUUGUUAACUACUGUAGAGGCAUCCUUUUCUGCGACGGCGUCUUUGAAGACAGCCCCAAGGUCUCCUACAUCCGCUUGCCUCUGGAUACUUAUAUCCGAGGGGCUGAUGGCGAAGCACGCAAGGGGAUGUACCAUGGCUUGUGUGUCACUGAAGGUGGCCAUCGGUUGGUAUUUGUUGAUGUUGCCCGUCAUGAUGGAAAAUGGUAUGGCCGGAGCAUGCCCAACACUGGUUUCACCCUCACCUACCGGACAUUGAAGAUGUCAGGGAAUUGCACCACGCUGUGGGAGUGGAAUGAGGAUGCUGUUGUCACUUCAGAUGAACUAUGGCAUGCAAACACCAUGGAGAGUCUCCCUCAUGACAUUGUGAUGCUCCCAUUGCUGAGUAUGGAUAAGGCCAAUGUUGCGCACCUUUCAUUGCUUGACUGGGAUGGUGGAUUCUCAUUAGUUUCCAUCGACUUGAGUAACAUGCAAGUGAUGGGCCCAGUCAUUACAUACCUCAAAGGGAAGGAUGAUACUGCUGAUGCUGACAUCGUCAAGGAAAAGAAAGGAUUAUGUGGACACUUUAUUCCAUCCGAAUUCCCCAAGUUCCUGGAUCUCAGGUAACUUCAGCGUUGCCUCCCACUUUUACUUGAGCACAAUUUUUUUUCAUGCAGCCUUUUGCUCUCUUUUUUUCAGCAGUUAAGGUUUCUUCCAUGCAUGUUAUUUUUGAAACCUUUGAGGAAUCAACAGAAUGUGCUGGUUGCUGGGAGUAAUAUGGAUCAAUGUUUUCAAAUAUUUAUGUUGAGUCUAGUCGCUGGGGUACCAACUAGAUGGCUAAUCGUGACUAGGCAACGAUUAAAUGGCGAUUAGCUCUAAGACCAGUCGAUCCACCCUUGCCUAUAGUAGAGAAUGAUAGAGUAUAACACAAAGGUGACGAACUGAUCUCUUGGUUUGAGCCCAACACAUAAUUUUUCUUUGUGGGUUCUUCAAUCUGAAAGUGCAUAAUAGCGUGCCAGCGUUGUGCUUUGUUUCCUUCACUAUUUUGAUUCUACAUGUCAAAUUAUUGAAAGGUUUUGUUCAGUUACCAACAACAUGGAUCCUUAGAAGUAGGUGGCACCCAGCGAAUCAGCAUCAUAUCGAAGAACCCCUAGGUCUUCUAAACAAACUGGCUGGAAUUGUGGAAAUCAAUUAAACUUAAUUAUAUCAUGUUUCAUUCAGCCAGUAGUAACCUCAACCUCAGCAACUUGACGGUCUUGGGAAAUUAGGCAAUGGUAGUCUGCCUGAGGUUAAUAUAAAUGUUUCACAGCUUAAUCUGUUGCCUAACUGUUGCUUGUCACGUUGAUUCCAAAAUCGACCAUAUGCUAAGUUAUUUUUUCUGUAUGAUGUCCGAGACAUGUGAGAAUCUUUUAUAAUUCUUGGUAACCAUGGAUACUGUCAAAAUAACUUCAGCAAUGGGUGAAUCUAAGACUAUGGGAAGCCUAAAUUUGAAUCUGUACAGAUUAUCUCUGCUGAAAAAUUGUUGCAAUCAUCAGCAUGUGUUGUAGCUGACAAUUAUUGUUUCCUAUUUGUAUUGAUGAAGUUCUUGCUACUGUAUUGCAGGAAUAGAGAGAACCAUCCAUAAGUCCUGUCACCAUAUCGGCUGGCCACCGUCGUCAUGUGUGUUGCUUCUUGAUUUUCCGGUUCUUAGAUGACGUUGUGCUGGAUUCUACUGCCGACUUUGUUGAUUGGCUACUUCAAUUCUGAGUUUAGUGCUCAGCUUUUGUGUGUUCCCUGCACUUGUGUACUAUAAAUAGCCAGGAAAAACACCUUUACCAGGCUCAUCCGUUGAACUAUAUGAUAAUGCUAGAUGAUGUGUCCAUGCCUUGCUAACGUCUUCUAAAUGCCAUGCGAGUUAAAAAUCCUGCAAUCAUGUUUCAUGGUAGCUUACCUUUGCACAAUGAAACUCCUCACUAAAAACACAGGUCAAUUUGAGGGACUAUUGUGUUAUUUUUACAGGGAUCUAAUGCCAUCAAUCAAAUUGUAAAAUACAGCAACCAUACUGACACUCAAAACAUCACUUAUUUGUAACAUAACGUUGCGGUAUUACAAUUGUUGUUCCGAUUCUCACGGGUUUGUUCAAAGGUUAUUUCAUUUUAUUUUAAUUUCUUUUCAAAUCCUAAUAAUUAAGACCUGCAAGAUUGGUCUACAAAACGUCCUUGUUUAACCACUAGUGAAAACUCUCUCUUUUUCUGCCCUUUCCAGAACGUGCCAACGCGUACAUGCUGCUGCGGUAUCUUUGUCGAGUCCGAUGGAAGAGUUUAAAACCGGUAUCAAUUUUUGAAUAUUUAAAACCAUACGAUCCCUUGAGGAUGUGUUAGGCCUAAUUUUGCUACUAGAAUAUUUAUUAUUUAUGUGUUCAGAUAUUAACAACCUGCAAUUUGUCACCUUUUUUUGCAGGAACUGUAAUCUGUCACUUCUCAUGGUUGGAUUGAAAUGUGAUGAUUGUUGAUAGGUUUGCUAAACAGAUGGAAGUUGGAGGUGUGACUACUUGAAUCAAUGGGUAAUAGCAAAAAAAAACAUUGAUCUACUUAAGCAGGAAAGAAAAUAAUAAUACUGACGCUAGUCACAAGCAAGUGAUGUUUUGAGUCAUGUGCAAUUAACCAUUACAUUUUUUUUUGCAAAUUACUACCUAAUGUUCUUUCAGAUACAAACACAUAUCAAGAUUAUUUAGCCUUCUUAAUUUAUGAUUAACAAUUUAUUCUAAAGAUUUGUGGAGCACUACUCAAUUUAUAUUACAGAAUACUUUUACAUCAUGCCAAUAUUAUUAUCAUGAGUAAUACAACUCAUGAUAUAUUGACGGUCAAAUUAUGAGUUUAGAGAUCGACCGCACUAUGUUUGUAUCAGAAAAUGGUUUUACAAAGCUGUAGUAUUGUAGUGUUUUACAAAACAAAGAAAUGUCAAAUUAUCUGUUAACGAUGAAUCAUGACCGGAGUCCUGCGCAAGCACUAAAACUAGAAUGGUCGUUCUGAUUCUCAUAGUUUUCUUAAAGGUUCAUUUGGUGUUUUGUUAAGUAAAAUAUACCGGCGGUCUCUAAACUUGUCUUACGGUGUCAUCUAGAUCAAUAAACUCUCAAAAUAUAUUUUCAGGUCGCCAAAUUAUCUCAAGGUGUCAUAUGGGUCCUAAACUCUCAAAGUACAUAUUUAGAUCCCAAACUUGUCCUCAGUUUUCAUCCAGGACCCUAAAUUCUCAAAAUACAGUUUUAAAUAUUAAAACUUGUCACCUAUGGCUGAUGGUAAUGAUUACUCCUCGCUUAUUGCCUUCGUAACCACCUUAUGCUAGUGAUCAUACUUGUGUUGCUUGGCGCUCGAUUGGGAGAUCUUAAAAUGUACUUUGAGAGUUUAAGAACUCGGAUGACACCCCGAGAUAAUUUUGGGUACCUGUGUUUUGAGAGUUUAGCUUGCCUGAACAUGUAUUUUGAGAGUUUAGGGACCUAGAUGACACCCAGUUCAGGAACCAUGCAAAUAUUUUACUUUUUUUUAACUCAAAUACGAAUAAUUAAUCCCCCCAAGAUUAUUGGACUAUAACACGUCCUUGUUUCAGUAGCGAAAAUAAUUAAGCUCCGCAAGAUUAUUGGACCAUAACACGUCCUUGUUUCAGUAGCAAAAUCUCUUUUUAAUUUGUUACCUUUCCGGAACGUGGCAGCGCGAGAAGUUGUACGAGUCAUGAGUGUGGCUUUCGUAGUUGUCGGUCGAGGUCUCCCUGGACGAACAGGUGGCGAGUACAUCCCUGGAAUAAUCCACACCAGACCGCCGGCCGGUGAGUCACGGAGGCCAUAACUGCGACGGCAGGCAAUGCAAUCCCACCGUGGUGACGCGCCCUCUCCGUCGGCGCGCCGGGCACGGAGGACGAGCCAGGCAACCGUCCCCGGUGGCCGGCGAUGAUGGCGGACGGCCGGGGUUAUCCUCCCGGCGAUGAUUCGUUGCGGAUUAUUGGCUUCGCGCGCCGCCUCUCGCUCUCAGCCGGAGAUCAAUCAGGCAAACACUAACGAACUGUGCUAAUCCUGAUCUCCUUCUUCCUAGUACGUGGACCUGCCUGUGAUCACGGGUGGUGCGCGCGGCGGAGGUACGGCGGUGGUUCACGCGUGGCCGUUGCACGCCCGGCGCGGCGCGGCUCUGACCGGCUUGACGGCCGCCGCUGGUGGGUCGAAAUGGCGCGGCCAGGUAGAGCUGGCAUCGGCGCAUGGCGGCGGCGGGGCUCGGACGCGGCGAGAGGGAACGUGCGGCGCCGCCAGCGCGCGCGUGGUGUUUCUCGCGGCUUGCUACGAGUACCGAGUGGCCGGGGAGUCAGCCUCUCUGUGCAAACGGAACAUGCUGUGUUUGGUUGGUGAACGCGGCUGGACGACGACGACGACGACGCGUGCAAGCACAGACGAAUUGGACGACGACGACCACUGGCUUUUGAGGUCACGUAACAGGCCGAAGAGGUCAUCUUCCACAUUUGGUGGCGAGGCUUAUCUCUUGCGGUAGUAUAUAUUUUUCGAAUGGCUUGUCAAAAAGAAAAAAAAAAGAAUAAUUAAAAAGAGAGAAGGGUGCCUACGCUGUGCAAUGGGCCCAGAAAGAUGUGAUAAGGGGCCCACCGCUUGAAAUGAGUAAUGAUGCCUUGCGCGCUCGAAAUGGAAUAGAAUCUUUUAGUCAACAAAAAUUAUAGGAUGGUUGAAAUUUUGAAAGAGUUUAUACUCUAUAAUUUGUAAAUUUUGAUUGAAGUAUCUCUUGAUGCCUACAGUCGAGGCUGCUGCAGAGAGAUUGCGUCCUGGUGCUUUUUCUAGGAUUAGAAGCUUUUAGUUUAAAUGCAUUUUCCUAUUCAUUUUGCAUGGUACAUGUUUUUGGCACCAGAUCAUCACCCAAGAUCACCAUUAUUUAACUCAAGGUCGAGCAUCUAUCCUUCUUUUUUUUUGGAUUUAACUUGGUUUGAAUCAUAUCGAUACUUCUUUUUUUGGAUUUUGCAGAUUCCAGCUCCAACCUGAGGUGCUGUUCUUCCUGGCCUGGUGUAUUACUUCAGGUGAUGUCCUAAAAGAACAAUGGAAUUGUCCCUCUGAUAACUAUUUUGGUAAGAUUUUCCAUUCCCUACCUUGGCCCUCUUAUUUCUCCGGCAGUCUAGCACGAUAGAUGACUUGAUUGAAGCAUUAAGUAAAGUGGUAAUUGAAUGGUUAUGUUACGGUUCAUACCAUGGACUUUAUCGUCUUGCUGCAGUUUUCCAGUGGUUGCAACUUAUUGAUAUGCCACUUUUUCAUAAACAUGAUUGUCAAGUGGUCACAUUGUGAAAGAUGAUUUUCUGAAGGGGACCCAAAAGCCUGAAUAACUUUCUAGGAUACUAACCUCCGGCCUAAACCGUGUUAGGCGCUCUUCUUUGAGCAGAGAUAUGCUGUGAAUCAAUUUUUUCUUGACUUUUAUGAAGGCUUGGUUCAUCUCGCAGAUGUAGGAUAAGAGCAAGAGGAUGACUCAACCUAUGGCCCCAAUUGAUCUGCUGCACAGAUAUACUUUGCUCUCUUAUGCGGUUAUUUAUUGGAUUUUUAGCUGGCCAAUAUUAGAAAAUCAUAUGCUUCUUAAUCUUAAAAGCUGAUCUCUUGCUCACUCUGAAUGACAGCAUUUGUACUCAAGUGUCGUUUGUGUUCCUGUGGCAGAGACCUUUUGAUCUCAGGUAUUCCUAUAAUUAUGUCUACAUAAGUAGCAUGUGGCAUCAGAGCCAAGAAACUUGACCGAUUCAGCAAAAUUAUAAGUAAAUUUUGUAUGCAGACUUUUGGUGCUGCUGCUUCCUUGGGCAUGUGUGGUUUCUGAAACAACUUAGAGACUUCAAGUAUGCCCUCUCAGUAUAGGUUUCACACAGCUUUCUUCUUCGGAUCAUAUUAAAAACUUUUCAUGUCUCUAUGAAUCCCUAUUUUUAUCUGCCACGCCACUUAUUCUUUUUUUCUAUCCUGCAUACAAUUGUGCACUUUUAUUGUGUAUACACACAUGAUAGUCAUUUUCAGUGCCAUUUUUAUUAUGUAUUUCCAGCAGAGCAGCAUAGUUGAUCACCUAAUUAAAAUACUCAUCACAGUAAGAAAGCAGAUUGCUCAUGGUAUGUUGCUAAUUUCUCAUGAGCUUAUAGGUGAAUGAUCAUAUGUUUCAAUAUUCUUCCUCUUAGACUACGCCACAUUUUUUUUUAGCUUGGUACAUCAAGCUGUGCACAGUAAACAUAUGAGAUACAUUCAUACCGAUUCCAUGUCAUUAUUGGCUUGUUAUGUAAUUCUUUUCCGUUGGUAUGAUUGUGAGCACACUUUUGUACAUAGUUCAUAUAUAUUCGCUGGCAGGAUUGAAACUGACAUUACUAUUCAACUUUAUAAAUUAUUUGAAGGUAAACAAAACCCAGAAAAAUCAAUUUCAUGAAUCAUUUGCAGGUAAACAAAAACCCAAAAAAAAAGUGUAUUCAUGAUGAUUUGUGCAUUACACUCCAUACAGCUUCCCUCUCCUGCUUCGUACUAUUCCACCCUAUUCUUCUUGCUGAUAUGAAUUUUCAUUGUUUAUAUUUUUUCAGAACCAAAAUGAAUGCCCUCUUUCAAUUGCUUGCGACCUUGCAGGGAACCAAUAUAAAGGGCAAGAGUUCCAAUUUUAACAGUAACCUUCGAGACUGCAUGGUAAAGAUAGCAUCAGCUAUCAGCCUAUCGCAGGUUAUCAGCUUCCUGGGUGGUACAAAUACUGAGAUAGUCAGACGGAUGCUAAACAGGGACCCCAAAGCAUGAAUUUUAAUUGCGGCGUGACGAUGCAUAACUUCUUUAUGCAACGUCUUGCAUAUGAUUAUUUCCUCGUAUGGUCCAACUGACAAUUCUAAUCACACAACUGAAGAAUGACUUGCAGUUUUAUAAGCAAGGGACAGUUAAGCAUAAUCAAGACAUGACCCACAUUUUAUAGAUGAGAACGUAUUUUUCCUUGACAUGAACUGCACCAACAAGAGCAUGGUCGAUAUGCACACUUCCCUAAUUUCAUUACGUUUACUAACAAAUCAUCUUACCAGCAUCUUUCCACCUCUCUACAGUGAAGCAAUCAACAUCACAUAGACAAGUAGUGUAAUGCCAACGUUGGUUUCCUCUAUGCUAUCAACUCAAUCAUUCCAAUGAUAAACCUGAACACCGACUUGAUAGUCAACAAUUAUGUUUGAUGGUAGUUAAUUAUGUUGUGAACUACAUCUCUAUAUUGUAAAUUGUUUGUGCCUGUUUCGGACGCAACUAGCGUCGAAUUAGUAAUUUUAAAAAUUAUUUGAACUUGUUUGUACACUACUGUCGAACUUGGUAGCCCCAAGUUACCUGAAAUAAUGUUAUAUGUAUUGUGGGUGCCAUGCUUGUUUUCAUUAUCAAUUUCUAUCGGUUUAUGCUAUCUUCUACUACAUGACAUACAUGAACAUGUAACCGUACAACAAUGUGCGCGCAUGUAACCUGUACAGAGAGAGCUGAAUGCUGUCGACUGCUAGGCCUGGCACGGACUGAAAUGUCACUGGUUCAAAAAGAAGCGCGCACAGCUCUCUGCAUGACUUUACACCCCUAGCAUCAUCAGCAACAAAUUGGUUACCAGCCAUGUCAACAUAUCAGGACUGCUGCUGCUUUUUCCUGCUGACAAUGAAACAGCAGAGCGACAGGUACAGUUAACGGCAGUGAACAGUGAUUAAGACCGACCAGGGACUGCGACCCAUCUAUCUGGUCUCACCAACUGAAUUGCAGAAUAAAUGGAUAAAAUUCCAGGUAAAUGGAUUGUCAAAAAAGGCUCAUCUCUUCUUGCAGCACUUUUCCCUUUUCAGGUCCCAUCACAGAAUGGCUUGUCAAUCAAAAAGAAAAAGAAAGAAAGAAAGAAAGAUGGAUGCUGUGCAAUGGGUCGAAGAAAGCUGUGAUGGGGGCCCAUCACUCAACGAGUGAAUGAUGCCUCGUGGGCUCGAAAUGGAAUAAAGCUUGCCUGCCCUUAAGCUUAAACCUAAUAGUUGAGAAAGAUGCUAAUCAGGAAUCACACUCAAAUUAAGGGCCCCUCGCCUGAAUGAAAAUAGAAUAAAGCACAAUUAUUAAAAAAAUAGAAUAAAGCAACAAAGUUCCUUCAUUCUCAAAUGAUGAGCGCCAAAAAGAGUUCCCUCCCGCUUCACGCAAGGGAAUAACCAUGGCCUCAGAUGAAGCACUGCCUUUUUAAUCCACAGUGUCAACGGUAGACAAGAGAUCCAUAAAGGAAGCAAUGGAUUUUUAAUCCUGGAUAUGCAGAGAGACAGAUUUGGGCGAUCGAGUGAAGAAUGCAUGACAGUGCGGUUUAUCCGUUGUUGUCCUUUCUGGGUCCCAAAAAUGGAUUGUCAACAGAAAGUGGCUAUAUGCAAUGCAAGGGGGCCAAGCUAGAAAGCUCCUCGCUGAAUGAACGAUUGAAUGAAAUGCCUUGUGGGCUAAAGAGGCCGUAAAGAGAGAGUACACAAUACUUAGUGGUAUAUUACUUAGUGGUAUAUAUGAUCCAACCGUCGCAAUUUAGUCAUAAUUAUCCAGAUCCAAUUUUUUCGGAUCAAAUUAGUCCCCCGUACCACUACGGCGCGUUACGGAGUUCUUCCCGGUGUUGCCACCGUCGCAGGGGCCGACCCUUCCGCCGCCGAGAUGACUCCUCGGCGGAGUCGCCAAUGUUGCGGGCUUGCUACGAACGGAGCUUUCCCGCCGGCGCCGCCACAGCCUCGUAUCCCCCGCGGCGCUGACUUGCCGCCACGCUGACGCCGCCAAAGCCUGGAGUCUCCGCCGUUCGGUGUCGUGAGCCAGUGACAUCUCCCCGUCGGUGUGCCACAAUCCCGGCCGGAGCGCAGCCCUGCAAGGGCCGAUUGACUUUUUGGCGUGCGUGGUUGUCAGCGGCGCCACCGGCACGGCUAGUCCUCGUAAGCACCGUGAGGCUUUCCCGACGAAUCGAGAACCGGCCAGUCGUGCAGCACCUCCUUGUCCUCAACGCAACCGCCCUGCUGUGCAGCGCCUACCCCUCGAUGCCGGCACUGGUCUGCAUCCUUUGGCAUCAUCAUCGGUACCCUGCGGGCAGUUUGUUCACAGUUCCGGGGCUGACGCAGGCGGCCUAGCAACUUGGAACAGCGACAACGGCAGUGUCGACUUGCCUUGCCUCUUUCAUGAAGGGAUUGUUCGGUUUCUCGAGCUAAAGUUUAGUCCGUGUCACAUCGAAUAUUCGGAGGCUAAUUAGGAGAAUUAAAUAUAAGUUAAUUACAAAACUAAUUGCACAUAUAGAGGCUAAACGGCGAGACAAAUCUAGACUAAUUAAUCCAUCAUUAGUAAAUGUUUACUGUAGCAACACAUUGUCAAAUCAUGGACUAAUUAGGCUUAAUAGAUUCGUCUCGCCGUUUAGCCUCCACUUAUGUAAUGGGUUUUGUAAAUAGUCUACGUUUAAUACUUCUAAUUAGCAUCUAAACAUUCGAUGUGACGGGUGCUAAAGUUUAGUUUAGGGGGAGGAACCAAACACCCCCUAAUUUUGAGAAACUAUAAAAUGGAAUAAUGGAUGUAGUGCAAAAUUACAAAUAAGUCAUGUGGGUGUGUAGUUUCAGUUCUUGUGGAUUUAACAGCAGCAUACCACAAAAGAUGAUGCAGUCAUUGCAUCUCUUGAUUGUCCGAAGGCAAAUAAAUGUUCAAAAAGGCACGGAUAAUAACAAGAGAUAUAUCACAUGCUUUACUUGUGUAUGCAGGCCAUGGUGGAGGUGAAGUUUAAGAUCUAUGUGAAUGCAAAUAAUUCCCUGUGCAGUAUACUCAAGGUCGCUUAGUUUCCCUUCUCUUAACACAGAGACGGUGGUUGCGGCCUGCAAUCACUAGAAUAUGUUAACUUGUAUUGGUUUCAAUUUUGAAAGUCCAAGGAGUGGAAUGCUCGGAAGUGAGCCACAUGAACCCAUGGAUACAGUGCCUGUUGUUUUAUUUCAGCUUUCAUUUUGAGAUGAAAUUUAAGGCAAGAGCCGAACUCCAGCAUGGAGGAUAGGAGCCGGUGUUGUAACAAUUCACUAUACUAGUGUCAAAUGUAACAUUUGAUUCCUUCAUUUGUUUAAUGAAUUUAGAGAUGGGGGAAUAAAAGAAAUAUGUUAGACGAACUGCAAAUGGGAUUGCUAGUUGUCUGUCCUGUGCUUUUCCUUGUAAGACUAAUGGUUGCUCUGUUUGGUAUUCUAAUAUUCAGUUAUAGCGCAAGCUCAAGUCACAACGCGCAAGUGUAGUGUGGUGCAGUUUGCAACCAUUAAUUAGCCAAGAGUUACUUCGCAUCAUGACAUGAUUAUCACCAACACCUUAUUUAGAAUGGCAACAAAUCAAAUCAACAUGAAUGUAAGAAAUAGUAGAUGUAGGCCUGAAGCUUGGGCGCAUUGACUAGUACUGCUUGCUGCUUUCGAUUGCGAAUGCAACACGGUGAAGUGAACAUGAUUAAAUCCCACACGGAUAAUACUACAAGUAAUUGACAACAUCUUGGGUUCUUGACAUCCCAUUCAUAGAGAUCCGAGCUCACGGCAGCUAAAUGAAAUAAAAUGGAAACAGAGUCUAGAAGCAGAUGUUGCAGCGAUGAAGAACGCCAAGGUGGCGAUGAGGAACUGAGAGAGGCAAAGCGGAUGGCCCCGCUUGGUGAGGUAGCCCACGAGCGGUUCCUGGUAGGGCACCUCGACGCCGGCUGUGGGCACAAUGUCCCUGCUUGACUUGUGCAUCUGCAGCCUAGCGGCAGUGCAAGUUUGGACUUACGGCCGCUGUGCUGGUAGCGCAAACCGAUAAGGCAGCGGAGGUGCGGCGCGACGGCCUGCGUGAGGGAAAGCAGCCUUGCGGAGGGUAGGGAGCCAGGGCGACGGCGGAGAGGACAUCAACAACAUCGCCGGCGGCGGUGGUCACCACCGAAAGAAGGUAGAGGAGAAAUCAAAUGAGAUUCCAACCGAUUUGUUAUAAUAAAUGAAAUGAUGUCUAAUUCUAACUUUCUGUAACUUCUAUUGUUGUGUCAAAAUAAAAUUACAAUGAUCCUAUUUAUGUUUGUUUACUAUAAUACACCUAAACUAUCUAUACCAAUCACUUGUACCACACUUAUCAUUAAUAAACUUUUUUAAAUAGUAUACAAUUAAUCUUUGUAUACCAGUUCGAUUCAAAUAUUAGUAUAGUCCUUUUCAAACACUAGCCUAUGGUAGACGGUGUAUCAUAAAAAAAAAGCUCUAUAAAGAUUGCCUGCCACUAGGAGUAUAUGCACUGCAACGCCAUAGAUGCUUAAACUUAAGUGUUAUGAAAACAAUCAGACCCUAAUCAUAGCAUGAUAUAUUGAUAUACUCGACAACAUGUCUUUAUUUGUGACAAAUAUUUUGUUCACAUCUAUUUCAUAUAUCGAUUGGGUGAUGAACAUCUGGGAACCAUUUUAUGGUUCGCUACUAUAGAGGGUUUCCCAGCAAAGAUGCAUUGAUUCGGCGCCAUCACAAGGUGUUUCCAUGGAAAUUUAUUUCUGUCAUUAGCCUAUAGGCCUGUGCUUGCUUGCACAAGAACCAUUCAUCGUUCAAGUACAUUUACCUUGCAUUGGAAGUAUGAGUGGUGUCCUAUAACUCUUAUUAAACGGAUGGUCCGUGUUCCAUGUAUGUCACUUAGCUAGAAAAUUUUAUUCAUAUAAGCAAAAAGAACUCAAAAGGUACUUAUUCGUUAUUAUUAAGAAGUAUAUGUGUAUAUUAGAAUGUAUUUAUCCUUUCCUUGUACACGAUGUAUUCCUUGUACUCCAAACCACAUUGGCAUAUAUAUAUAUAUAUAUACACACACACAUAUAUAUGUAUAUGUAUAUACAUAUACAUAUAUUCCCUGCGCCUCUCCCCUAAUCCAUGCAAACACUAGGCGACGUCUCCCCUAGGCGGCACCCCCUCCUGCUGCGCUGCUACCACCCACCCUCCGCUGCACCUCCCUGUUGUGCGCCAUGUCCUCCACCGACUCCUCUGUGUCUGGCGACACCACCGCUCUUGCUGCUGGUAUUGUGCCGCCUCCUGGACCGCCCCCUAAUACCGAUGGCGGCCCAUCUGUGCCGCCACCUGGCACCUGUAACGCCCGUAAAAAGCUACCAAAUUAAAUCACUCAUUAAAAAUGUAUUCCAAAAUUUUCCGACCGUUGAGCCCCGGCAAAUCCCUUCCUUCCCAUCGAACCCGUCGUUCCGGCCCCGACUCGUCAACCAUCUUUUUCUGCUCCCCGUAAAUUUCGCCGCGUGCCCGUCCAAUCCAUCACGCGUGCCAUCAAAUCUCGCAACUUUCGCCGAGCUGCCCCUCCCUUUUUCCUCCUCCUCCCUUUUUCCUCCUCCUUUUUCCUCUCCUCCUCCCCUUUUUCUUUUUCCUAUUUUUCCCUUCUUCUUCCUCCCUCCUCCUUUCUCUCUCUCCUUCCUUUUCUCCUGCCGCCCUCUUCUUUUCCCCUGGCACCCGCCCGUGCGCCCCAGGCCACGCCGGCCGUGCCCGGCCCCACCGGUGCAAGGGCCGCACUCCCAGCCGCCCGCUCCAGGCUGCCCGCUCGCGCCUGCCGCGCGUUGGCCGCCACCAUCCGCACGCCCCUACGCCUCGGGCCGCGCCGCGCCAAGCGCCCGGCCGCGCACGACCGCGCGCGCCUGGCCACCUCGCUCCACGCGCCGCGCGCCCAGCCGCGCCUAGCCGCUCUGCUCCGCUCGCCCGCACCCGCCCGUGCGCCCCAGCCGCACGUGUCGCGCCGGCGCCGCCGGCCGCGCCGGACCGUUCGCCGGCCGGUCUCCGCCCGUCCCCUCCCGGCGCGCUUCCCCACGAAGUCGCCGCCCCUGUGCCUCCUCGUCGACCACGCCGCCACGCCAUCCACGAGCAAGCCCGCCCCGGCACGCCACCGACCGAAAAAGUCCCGACCACCAUCAUCACCACCGGCCGCCCCCUCACCGGCCUAUAAAAGGGGCAACGCCCCGGCUCUCCGCACCUCCACCGCCACUAGCCGCACCGCCGCCCCUCCCCUGUUUCCCCCGUGCGCCCAACCGCCGCCUCCACCGUGUGCCGCCGCCCCUACCCAUUGCCGGCCACCCCUCCUCCCAUCUCCAACUCCCCAAGGUAAGGGGCAAAAUGCGACCCCCUUCACCUUCUCCACCUCCUCCGCCCCACGGCUCGCCGCCGGCGAGGUCCGGCCGGCCGGCCCCCUCAUCGGCCCCUUCCCUUCCUCCACUCCCAGGCACGGUUCAAGGAAGAAGCGGAAAAUCCCCUUCAAUUUCGAUCUGCCCCUCCCCUUCCUCCUAUUUGCAAACCGGCCCUUCCACCUCUCUCAGAAAAGUUUUGCGGAUAUGCCCUUCCACCCUUCAGAAAUAAUUACAAAUAGGUCCCUAGUUCUCGCGGUUUAGUCCUAAACCUUGUUUUAAAGCACCUAACCUCCCUUUAACCUGUCAUUUCAUGCGCCAAACUUCCUCUAAUCGAUCCCAAAUUCGACCACGACCUCCCCUCAUAUAUUUCCGCCAAGGCAUAUCCAAAUUUUAUGAAAAUACCCUUCCUACCUAUUUUCCGUUCACAUUUCCUGUUCGGAGCUCAACGGGUAAAAUCUUUUUCCUUUUUAUUUAUUGUGUGCUCGUUUGUGUGUGCCGUAGAUCGCGGAGUACCCGAGGAGGAGCGAGAGGAGGAGUUCGACCGCGAGCCCGAGCCCGAGGACCAGUACCGCGAGCAGGAGCUCCCGGAAGGCUUUGAGAACGGUAAGUCCAAUCUCACCCUUUGAUGCAUAUUUAAUACCCAGUUUUUCAGACACAACCUAUUGGCCUGUUUUAUAAAAUGCAUAUUGUUUUAUUGCAAGACAUGGUUGGAUAGCCACCCCUUGGUUGUUAUGAUUAUUCCGUGUUGUCCUAUAUUUAUCCCUAAAUAUGAGUUGCUCUGUUUAGAUGAUAAAUACUGCUAGAAUGUUUAGGAACUCGUUACUCAAAUUCAAUCAUGACUACAUCUGCCAUUUCGGAAAAUAAAUGUGUGAGUGUGUUCAACUCAGGAGUUGGGUUUUCGGGUGUAAAGAGAGGUGGUGCGUGGAUGAGAUGGAUGGGCGUUUCUUGUGUGGAAUGCCGGAUUGUUGAGCUCGUACCUUAGUGGUUGAGCAGAGUUGGGAGAUAUCCAUCUUGUCGUAGCUAAGGACCGAGUUGAUGUGUCAUCUUGCCUAAUUCCACUAUCGUGCAACCACUGGACCGUUGUAUGGGCAACGGCUUAGCAUAAACCCCACUAGCUAAACUGCUAGGCUUCAGGUGUGCUGGUGAGCGACGGAGCCCAUGGAAAAGGGACUAAGCUCUUGGUGACUUAGGUCCUGGUUUCAGCCUCGUGGAUGGGUUGCUAACCCCUUGGGUGCUUCCGUGUUGACUAGUCAGUGUUGGCUAAGGUGGGUAAUGGCUUUGUUAGGAUCCGCACCAUCAAUAAGGUGAUCGUGAUGCGGUACCCUACUUGUGGGGAAAGUGUCCAACCUCUGCAGAGUUAAAACCUAUCCGGGUAGGCGUGUCCACGGCAUUGGACGAGUUACGGCUUGGUCACACAACUAGCAUUUGGAGAUGGUUGGUUUUUAUGGUGUGUGUUGAAUUUUGGAAAUGUCCGGCAGUUGUGCCGUGCGCUACGGCGGACGGGGAGUCCGGUAGCGAUAAAACUUGGAUCCUUUGUGUAGGAUCAACCCCACUUAAUGUUUCGGUUACUAAAGAACAUGCUUUGUGAAAAUUCUUUGAAGUAAAACCUUGCAUGUGUCAAAAAUCUAGCUUUAUUGCAAAUAAACCUUAACCAUAUCCUUGUUGAAUCCUAUGCAUAUUCUUGCUAUAUCCCCCUCCGUGGAUGGGGUUGGACUUGUUGAGUACCUUUGUACUCACCCCUGUUUUGCUACUUCAGAGGAGGAUCCGGACUUCGUCGCCGAGGACUUCGAGUAGGAGGUUGCGUCUGCCCCCAAUGCUGCCUGCGGUGUUGGCCUUUUUGCAGGAUGCUUCCGCGGACGCAUAGUUUCGAUUGCAGCCCGGAGUCCAACUGGACUGCAACUUGGAUUUGUAUUGUUAUCGCUUUAGUUUUGCUUUGGGUGUGGCUUGCCCGCCCACUCCUUCGGGAGUUGUACGGUUUCUGAACUAUCUGCUGAAUAAAUGUGUUAUCAGCCUCCUGGGACUGAUAAUUGGAUCACAUUUAGUCUCUACUUAUAUGGGGACGCUUCAUACAUGUUCUUUUGAAUUAGUUCGAUGGACAGACUUAAAUGAAACUUAGAAAAAAGAUUGAAAUUAAAUUAAAUUCAGAAAGUUAACAAAUGAAUGCACAUGCUACAAUGUACAUACACCGUAGCAGGUAGAGCGCGGGGGGGGGAGGGGGGAGGGUGUUGGCGUGAUGGCAGGGUCCCGGGGCCGGCAAGGGGCCUGGCGCAGGGGGCGAGGGGAAGGGAGAGCUGGGGGGCGACGGCAGGGUCCUAGGGGCCGGCGAGGGGCCCGACAUAGGGAGAGCCGGGGGGAGACAUCGGGGUCCCGGGGCGGCGGUGGCUGGGGGCACGGGGCGGCGACGGGGAAAUGAAUGCCAACGGCGGCCGGGUGCGCUGGGCGGCGGUUUCUGUUCGUCAAUUUACUAAGGACAAUAACUGCACCAUAGAGUUUGACGCCUUUGGUUUUUCCGGAUUUUUUAACCAGACGCGUGAUUCUUCGCUGCAGUAGCGCCGGCGAUCUUUACACCAUGUCUCCAGCAGCCAGCUUUGCAACGCCUCACGCCAACCUCGCCAUCUCCUCCAGGUUAUGGCAUAUUCGUCUUGAUCAUCAUGGUCCUGCCACCAUCAUUACACUUAGACAGAAUUCAUCCAUUGCUUGUAAUAAAGACAGUUGCACUCUAUGUCAUUCAUGUUAGUUAGGAAAAAAUGUGCGGUUACUUUUCUCUCAUUCUAGCUCUCGCAGUUCUGCUUAGCUCACUGUGAUGUUUGGAUUUCUCCAGUAGCUAGCAUUUGUGGUUAUCGCUAUUACUUAAUUAUUUUGGACAACUUCUCUCAUCAACAGAAUGCGUACCGAGCCAAGUAUCUCCAGCGCCCUCUUCCCACUGUCCACGGCCGUGACUGCAUCAACAGAACCGCAGAUCUUUUUUUAGUUCAAUGGAAUUUGUAAAACGAAACACAAAAAGAAAGAAAAAACUGAAAACGUGGCACAUGGUAGUACGCCGCCUGCGGACCUCCGUACUUGGAGCGGAGGAGCAGCGCGGUGACGAUGGCGCGGUCGACGGAGCUGUCGUCCACGGCGAUGACGCACAGCUCCACAACAACCUCCUCCGCGUCGUCGUCGACGGGCACAACCCUGCCGCCGCCCUUGGCCGCACCGCUCCUCUCCUUCCUCUCCUCCCACCGCCCAUCGUCACUUCCGGCUUCGACGAGGCCUGUUCCAUCGGGUAUGACUUGUAUUAUGGCUGUGCGAGAUGACGAUGACUACCGGCAAACCCCGGACCAGGGCGGCGUUAUUUAUACGGGGCAGAGAAGGAUGGCGGAUCGGAGGCGACUAUGGCAACCGGAGAGAUCGCGAUGCGGGCGCGGAUCCGAUCCGAUUCCGCGCCGCGCCGUAUCCUCUCCUCCUCAGUGACUACGGCGCCGGGAUCGCGCGUUCCCCUCGUAUACGGCACGGACGGAUCAUGGCAGGAUCACGGCAGGAUGGCGAUCUCACGCGGCCGGGGCGGUCAGGGGUGGAUCGGUGAGUGUCGGUGCCAGCAGCGGCGUCCUCCUGUGCCUGUGCCCCCGGCCCCCGCGCACGGCCUGCGCCGUGAUCCGGGUGCGGGAUCGCGGCCGGCACUGGGGUUGCGCGGUGAUAGUGGGGGAUGGCAUCAUGUCCUGCCACGAUGGGAUCGAUCGCUAUCCCCGGCCAGGCGGGCGCGCGGCAGUACGCGGACCGUACUACCUCACGCUGCCACGUCAUGCCAGGUUCUGUUUCUUGCGAUGCGGGUGGGGCCGGCAGGAUCUUCAUGCCGGGCCCGGGCCCACGGCACCUGUUCCUGCUCGGCUCGGCGCUGAAUCCAUUGGUCUGAGGUUUUUGCAGGUUGAAAUAACGCCGAGGGCCCUGGCGCCUGGCAUUUUUGGGGUUGAGCUGUCGCGGUAGUAUGCAUGGUUAAAAGUUGUCGAGAUCGCGAUAUGGACCGUGGCGUCCGAUCAUUUGGCAAAUCCUAUGGAGUUGAUAUGAAAAUUCCAGAGUAGUAUCACACAGUCCUAAAGGUAGGAUGCCAUGAGAUUCUAAAAAAAUAUGCACGAUCCCGCUAAGGGUCAAGUGGACCAUUAUCCUAACCAAAAAUUAUGCCAGCGUAUAGAAUUUGGAUCGCAUUCUAUAAAUUUGUUGGCUUUUACUGGUGUAGUUUACUUGCGAUUAGAUCUUUAUUUUUUUUAAUAAACCAUUCAAGAUAAUGUAAGUUUUUAUUAAUAUAGCAGAAAAAGAUAUAAAACUAUGGAAGUAAUAAGUAGAAAAAAAGAAAAUAAAAUAGCUAGACUCGCCCAAUUUGACUCGUUGCAAAUAAUAUGUCCAAUUCAAAUGAAGGGUACUUUAUCCAAAAAUAAAUAUGUCCAAUUCGAUUUAUUCACCCAUGCAUAAGGGCUCCGCUGCUACAGGGUUCAUAUUGUAAGCGUGUGCACCAGUCACCAUUAAAAGAAGGAAAAAAGCAACCUUCAUAUAACAGCAUGCCCAGAAGCAUUAGCGUUACACUCACCGGGGUAACUUGUGCAGGCCUAGUGUUGGAAACUUUGAACUCAGGUAGAUCCCCAACAAGGACUUCUAUGCAUAUAUAUAUAUAAAAAUAGCACGAAUGUUAGAAAAACUAUGCAAAUUUAUCAAAAGAUCAUAUCAAAAUCUAGCUUUCAUGAUUUUUUUCACUAUUUCCAACAUUUAUGCAAAUUUCACCAGAGUGCACAAUGUAGCCCCCAUAGCGAGAUGUAUGGUUGAUAUACUGUAUAUAUAUUGUCACAUUUGUGUUGGGACUGAUUUGCACUUAGGCCUUGUUUAGUUCCCAAAGUUUGGAGGUGCCAAAUUACUCUUACAGCACUGUAGCACAUUGUAGCGUUUCGUUUGUAUUUGUGAAUUAUUAUCCAAACAUUGACUAAUUAGGCUCAAAAGAUUCGUCUCGCAAAGUACAACAAAACUGUGCAAUUAGUUUUUAAUUUCGUCUACAUUUAGUACUCCAUGCAUGUACCGCAAGUUUGAUGUGAUGGGGAAUCUUCUUUUUGCAUAGUGCCAAAGUUGGGAGUUGGAGGUGAACUAAACAAGGGCUUAUAUGCGUUGAUUUUAAUCUUGAUCUGAUAGCGUUUUAGAUCAUUAUGCAGGUAUGGAUUUUCACUUACGUCAACUUUUAUGAGCUUUGAACUCUUAAAAGACGAACGGUAACAGUAGAAAUUCAAAUUGUAUUUACUUGCUACUGUCACCAUUAUACUUGAUCAUUGAUAGACAAAUUGGACAUAAUUCGAACAUAGGCAUGCCAUGAUAAAAAAGAUUCCUUUUUUUUUCUCUAUCAUCAUCACUUUGCUCUAUUUCUAUCCAUGUGCACACUAUUGAGAUUGUGGCCUUUGACAUAUUACCAUGAACCAUUUUUGUCUAAACCCAUCAUGGAAUAAAAAAAUCCAUUUGCAGAGCGUAUAAACCAUUGCAUGAUCGUGAAUAGAUCCUUUAGAAAAUUAUUUACAAAGAUUGCAUAAUCAUGAAUUGUUUCUCUGAAAACUAUUUGCACCGCAUAUAAAAAUAGAAAAAAAACUAUUUGCGGAGCAUAUGAAAACAGAAAAACAAAAACUAUAUAAAAACCGAAAAUAAACAAAAAUCUCCCCAAGCAGGAUCGCGAACUACAGACCUUCAGUUUACAAGGCUGACGCUUUACCACUGAGCUAUAUGGGCAAAUUUCGACUUUCUUUUCAUCAAAAUUAUACGGACUGUUACCGCGGAAUGAUCAAUAAUUAUACCAGCUGGUUAACUAUUACUGCAUCAGCCAGAGAACGAUCUCAGAAUGCGAAAUCGUUGGGAUACUUUGAUUGCUCACUUAUUGUUGUGUCUAAUUGCCGUGGCUCAACUUUCAUGUGCGGCGGUGCACACGCGAGUGGUCACGCGCUGCCGACCCAAAGCCAUGCACGCGCAGGGACGACAUGGCGGACGGCACCUCCGUUCCCGGCCUCGCCCCGGUCGAGUGGCGGUGCCGCCGUCCACUCCCUGGCUUACUCUCGCAGCGUGCUCCACCUUAGAGUUGACCCUCUUCAGGCGCAGGGACUGCCGAAUCCUUCUCCUUCCUCUUCUCCCGCACCGACGAUGACUUCCCCCUCGACCUGCCGGCCGUCGUGACGCGCGCCCUCGCGGCGGUCAUCACCGUCGUAGUCGUCGUCGGAGGAGGAUGAGCCCCCGUGUCGUAGCUGCUCCUGCUCGUGCUGAGGUCCCCCAGCUCGACGUCCCGCCGCCGGCCGCGUCGUCGGCCACGGUAGACGCGCUUGGUGUCGCGCACCUUCCGCCAGAGGUGGCAGCACGCGCCGCCGAGCGCGCGGCAGCAUGCCGAGGGCUUCCACACCAUCUUGAAGGCGUUCUUGGCGACGCACUUGACGAGCCUGGCCAAGCUUGAGAAGCAAAGGUGCUCGAUGAAGCAGGGCAGGUCAAAUGUCCCCGAGCAAACGCACCUUUUGACAGACAAGAAAAGGGCCUUGUUUACUUGCCAAGUUGGGAGUUGCAAAAUUGUCAUUUUGUUGUUCGGAUGAUAAAAUCUCUAGUUUAUAAUCUUGGAUUAGUUUCAGCCAUCUCAUGCCAUAAAUGCGACACUGUAGCGUUUCGUUUGUAUUUAUGAAUUAUUGUCCAAAUAUUGACUAAUUAGGCUCAAAAGAUUCGUCUUGCAAAGUACAACAAAACUGUGUAAUUAGUUUUUAAUUUCGUCUACAUUUAGUACUCCAUGCAUGUACCGCAAGUUUGAUGUGAUGGGGAAUCUUCUUUUUAUAUAGUGUCAAAGUUGGGAGUUUGGAGGGAAUUAAACAAGGGCCAAGUGAAAACCGGCCAUCAACAAUCUAUUAACGAACAAUAGAGCGGCGUGCAUUUCACCGCUCCUCGCUGCUGUACUGCUAUACUCGCAGGACGCGCCGAAGAGAGCCCUGAACGGCGCCAAACCCCAAACCCUCCUCCGGUCCUCCCUUCUCCACGCACCAUCCCCGCCGCCGGAAACCCUAGAUCGCCCAACCCAUGGACCAGCAGCAACCGGAGCCCGUCAGCUACCUCUGCGGAGGUAAUCCUCUCACCCCCUAUCACCAUCCGCACCUUCGAUUCGACCUUUCUCUAGCGCAGCAGCAAGCAGGGGCCUCUCUAGGCUAGGAUUAUUCGAUCCCUCUCUGGAGCCGCGGCUUCGGUUUUUUGUGUCCCCCAAUCUUGUCAUCCGCUGCUGAAUUGAGGGUUUUGUUCUGUUUUCCUGUGACUUGUAGUGUUUAGUUUUGAAUUUCUCGUCGCUAUUUUCCUCAGUGAUUUUCUUUGGCGGAAUAAGGAUGAAGAGGAUUUCUCUUUCGUUUGUUUGAUUUGAAAAUUUAAUGUUCUGCUUCAGAUUGCGGAGUUGAGAACACCCUGAAGCCAGGAGAUGUCAUCCAGUGCCGUGAAUGUGCUCUACAAGAAGCGAACCCGCCGCAGUAAGGCUACAUCAUUCGUUCUCUUUUCAGCUCCAAUAUAUGAUUGCUUGUGUUCUCAUUGCAUAGAUUGAGGUAGAGCAAACAAUGCUAUCAGUAAAUCUAAAGACCAAAUUCUGUUUUGGGGGCUGAUGAUAAGCAACCUACAUACUUUAAAACAUCCUAUACUUUAGUGGUUUGUCUUGGCAUUUGUUGUCUGUCACAGUGUGAACCGGUUACUUGGGGCAGAUGAGUAUCAAGUGCUGAAUACAUGCUGACAGCAAUGUCACAGAAAUGGUUUUAAAAGUACUGUCGUAUAAUGGAAUAGAUGUUAGCUGAUUAACGAGCUUGGUUUACUCAAGUGUACAAGUUAAUUGUCGAAGACCCAAUUUCACUUCUAACAAAUUAGGCCACUAUUGACUGGCUAUUUACUCAGCUAGGCUUCUUUUUAGAACAUUACUUUCAAGUCUCUGUUAGCUGUAUCAUCGCACUUCUUACAUGGUGGUUGUAGAGCAUUGAUUCCAUUUAUGAUCUAGUUUUCUGAGUAUUAAUCUUUCUAGCUUUCCCGUGUCCAUUACAAUUUCAGAGGGUAUCUCAGUUUUGUCAUGUUAUGACUUCUCAUUUCAUUCUUUUAGAAACCAAGUAACUUAAAUGUCUUCAAGUCUAUAUGAAUUAAAAAAGAGAGGGCAUUAGCUGCUAGUUUGGAUGAGCAUAUAUGUACAUAGAAAAGAAAAUGUGGGGCACCAAUUAUUGUAUUCUUUCUACAAGGCAAGUUAACGUGAGUAUCGUGUGUCGAAUGCUGAACAUCCAUAUUCAAGGGCCAAUUGUUUCUCCCUUCUGUUGAUACAUCAGUUAGUUACCUUUCUUAUCCAUUUUUCAUAUUGGAAUAAGUGAAACAAGCUGAGGCAAUCAACCGCAGUGAGACCUUUGCAUAACUUGAUGUUAAUGGAUAUGAUAUGUGUUUGCUUCUGUUUAAAAGACACUGGCUAGUUUUCUAAAAGGGUCUUAGAUUUUCAUUAGUUAAUAUUGUGGUACUAGAGUAUACAAGUUCUGUAUGGUCUGAUCUUCUUGUGGACUGUGUGCUGCUUUAAUCCCCUCCCUUGACCCUCGUAUAUUCUGUAAGAUGUGAUGCAUUUGUUUUUUCUAUGCCUACCUUCUUAUGUAUCCUGAAGAAAGGGAAAUAUGGAUCUAACUUUAUUUGCCGCAUUCUUCACUGUUUUAGUUUCUGUUCUUCAAGAUUCAGAUUACAUUGCUAGCAUACUGUAUCUUUUUCUUGACCUUAGUAAGGCUUCUGAUAUACAAACUUAGUGAGUUAAACAUUUUACAGUCUGCAGUGCUACACUUUGACUCAAGUAGUAGAAUGAGGUUUCGUAGGACAUUGUGUGCUAAGGUUCUAAACAUUUCUGGUACCUUUGCACUAACAGAAAACUGUGGCUCUUUCUUCGUGUAAACCAAUUUAUCUUGUUACAAUCAUUACAGAAUGGGAAUGAAGUUGCCAUGCAGCUAGUAGCCUAGUAUGAUCUGAUGUUCAUUAUAGCUAUGUCUUACCCUUAUGUGUUUUUUUAAAAAAAAUAAGAAAUAAACUCACAAUGUGUGCAUUCAAAGUAAUGAUUGAUUUAGUUAUUGUCACAGUUGAUAAUGUUUGCUUAAUUGUGACCCAAGAGUCUAGUCAUCAACAAAAUGAAAUAUGACCAACUGUAAGCCCUUAUAAACAUAUAUAUGCAUUAUUUGACACAGUAGCUAUUGAUAUAUCUUAUAUGGUUCUCACCCAAUAAAAAAAUUCCUCCCCAAUCUUACAUAAUUGAAAGUUAGCCCAUAGCUGCAGCCUGCAAGUCCUUUGAAACAUAUAUUUGGGGCUAUGCCAUAGUUGCACCGUGAUACCUGAACCUAAUGGUUUAGAAGGGAUUACCCUUGUGAUAGGAAGAAGAUCGUAGCCUGUCUUCUUGUCAAAGCCAUAGAUCAAGUGGAUUGUAUGCAACUAUCUUUUUUAGUGGGGACAUAGGGUUAACAUAAAGAUGUGGUUGUGGUGUCAUGUGGCAAAAUGUUGGGACGAGCAGGACAUAGGGUUAACGUACUGAUGUUACUGCUGAAAUGCAGUGAAAUGUCGUUCACUAUCCAUGUUUAGCACAUGCAUCUGAUCUUUUAGACACUUUGUAAUGGUUAGGCUGCCUUGUUGAAUUUGGUGCUGCUAUAAAUACUGAAAUAUGGAAACGACAAUUCCUGUACUUCGUCCUUUAUGGUUUGACAAACUUAGAGCAAUAUUAGGAAAGGAAUAACUUACUCUGGAAAUUGUAGCUGAAUUGCGUGCAAAGUUUGAUCUGAUUGUUGAUAAGCUGAAUUUGAUUUGCAUUUCACUUUGUCUUUUUUCGCUUGUACAGUUUCUUACUAAAUGUUUUGUUUCUUGUGUAUAGUUGUCCAAUAUGAAGCGCGCUGAAGACAAUAAUGCAAUGCUUUUAGUGGCCCCUCUACCUAUAUGUAAUGAGCUUCCUGAGGAGGGAAAUGAAAAUGUAAUACACAAACACAAUGUUUGAGUGUCGUGUGCGUCCAUUGGACUGGAGAUGUUGCAUUAAUAAUACGAUUGAUGGGUGUUGGACCUCGAGUGGUGCCGACGAUCCAAAAAAUCAUUGGCGUGCAGCAGUUAUCUUCGUUUACAUGGCCGUAUCGUUGCCAGUGACCAACGUUGUGCAAUAAUUGUUCAUCCAAUCAUUCAGCUAAACCUGAUGAAAGCUGGCUGCGGCUCAUCUGUAUGCAUGUACUGUCACUUGGUAUUUUUGCCUACACAAGCGUUUGCCGUUGACAGGCAUUCGUGGCGAAACUGUCGGUUCCAAAACUGUCGUGCCUUAUCUGUUGUCUGGAGGAAAUGUGACGGCACAUACGGCAAGGAUUUCCAAAGCUGGCGAGCGUUGUCGGCGCCAUGUUUGUUGUGGAAUCUUGGAUCGGCUUGUAGAACAAGUAGUUAUAGAUUGUUGAUUGAAGCCUUGCGCAUUGGUAGGAGCAGGAGGAUGGUGAUUGGAAAUCACUUUUGUUUCUCGAGUACCAUAGCCCAUAGCACACUAGCAAUGCGUGGACCGGCACAGUACAACCAAAACAGAAGCAGUCCACUGCACGCCUAUCGCCCCGUGCGUCACGGCUUUUUAUCUCAUGUCUCCUCUCUCUAGCUGCAAAUAAAGCCCGAACGUCCUGACAUGAUGCGCGCGCACGCUCAGCUCCUCGGUCGCACGUCUGCCGGGCAGCGAGAGGAGAGCAGCUGCGCGGCGUGCCACUGGCCGGCGGCCAUGGUUGGCUGGAGAUGGCGUGCGGAGCUGCGGGCGAUCAGACCAUUGGCCGGGCGAGAUAGGGGGCGUGGAAGAUCAUUUUGCCUCGCGCGCGCGUUGGCCAAGCUGCGGGCUCGACUUGUCGCGUCAGUACAGCGGUUGGCGGGGGUGCUCCGGCGUGUUGCUCGCGGCGACGUGGAGCGCAAGACGUUCGCGGGCGGCAAGGGGCGGAGCGGGCACUGGCCAGCUGGGAUGUGGUGUCAGGGGGAAGGAUGUGCUCGAGCAGCGACUGGGCGAAGCGCCGUGCUGUCCUGUCCCGUCCUUGGCCAUCAUUGGGAGGCGGGGCUGCGCCGGUGCGGCGGAGCCGCGUGGCGCACCGCCACGCGCCGGGCGUGAUCCGGGAUCAGCGCGCACAUGGCAGCGCGAGGGGGCUGAAUUCAGGCGAGAUUUACUCAAAAAUUUUCAAAUGAAGUUGAAAAUAUCCCAAACUAGAAAGUGUAGUCCUAAUGUCAAACUUCAAAUCCUAGAAAUCCAACUCUCUAUGUGCCCGGGUGCUAAAAGGAAAAAACUACCUUCAUACUGAUUUUUUUGUCGCCAACUAGGAAGAAACAUGCCAGCUAUACUUGGUGUUCCAUCUUAGCUGGCAGAGAUGUUCUAAAAAAGGGCCUGAUUCGCCGAAUUGGCAGUGGUACUAAUGCAACAAAUAUAUGGCAGGAUAUAUGUACACCUUAUCAGUACAGAGGUUUGCCCAUCACUCCACCUGAAGGACAGCCAGUUCAUUUAGUUGCCGACUUAAUUACACGAAGUGGGAGGUGGAACACUGACCUAAUUAAACAAGUGUUCUGCAUGCUGGAUGUAGAUGCCAUCCUACACACUCCAGUUAACAAGUGUUCUGCAUGGUCGUCGAAGGAACGUAAUGGUCAAUAUUCAGUAAGAUCGGCUUAUCGCCUACUAGCCCAAGACCAACAACAAGAGGAGUUGAAUAAUAUGAGUUGCUCAUCGCAGAAAAAUUGGGAACUAAUUUGGAAGCUCCAUGUGCCACCCAAAGUAAAGGUGUUCUGGUGGCGGGUAAUUCAGGAAUUCCUUCCUACGCAUCAGAUUCUGAAGUGUAGGCUUGGACUGACGAUCCGUGCCGACUUCCGCGGAGGCUGCACGGCGAGGCGGUGGCCGGACCGAGUCACAGGAACGCCACGAGCUUGCCGCCGUCGCAGCAUGCGGCGCCGCGGGCGAGCGCGGCUGUUCGUCUCGCUGCUCCGUCUGGCAACCCCCCUCAGCAGCCUGCCGAUGUUCGAUCCGGCGGCCACCGGCGACAGGCUCCGGCAACGACGUCAGCGGCGAGCAAGAACCCGGCGCGAACACCCGUGCAGCUGACCCAGUCAACACGCCCGAGCGCCAGAGAAAAUUUUUGUGAGAAGGCGUUCCGAAAUGGGAUUCUGACACCACCACGCCGCGAUGGGACUGAGGCGUGCGUCGCGGCUCCCGAGCACUGUUCACGCCGCGCGGCGCAGCACUGUGCACCUGUCAACGCUACAGUGUACGCCGGCAAAGCUGCAAUGCGGGUCACGGGCACGCCGCGCCUGGGUGCCCGGAACAAGGAGAGGACCCAAUGAAGCUCGAAGCUUCCUGUACGCUGCCAUCCACCCAGGAUUCCAGGGAGUGUGAUGAUGCGCGUGAUACUUGUGCUUAUCCACCCAUCCUACUGCCUCUGCGAACCUACCAGCGAAGGCCCAGAAUUAGCGCAGAGCGACAGUCGCCUGCGUUCACGCCUACUGAGCCGUUGCGCCCCGCCGAAACACAGGGCGAGCCGUUGCCACCUUCGCCAGCGAAUGGCUCCGUGUUGGACGGACUACAGCUUCAAACUUGCCUCAGCGACAGCACCUCUCCGCCUUCUGAAACACCAGCAGCAGCUUGCGAACCUGGGUGCCCAGAAUCACCGCCAGCAAAAACUAGCCUCCCGGCCGAAGGUUUGCCGGACGCGCUACAGUCGCUAAGCGUUCGCGAAUCUGAAACUACCCCGCUAACUGAUGCACAAGAAACCGCUGCUGAAUCUGAUCCCGAUAACACAGCUGCGCCUGGUGCAGGUGCGCCGGUCACACCGACCACCAACCGGCGAGCCGGGGAACGAGGAGUAUCCCAACAGCCAACAUCACCGUCAUCACAACAGCAGAGUUGACAGUGGCAAAAGAAAAGGCAGCUGUGUUCCUGGACUCUGUCCGGCUGGCAUUUCAAAUGCCACUCGCCUCCAGAUCGACCUUGUGCUGCAGCAACACCUGCCCCGUCGACAGCAACUAGAAGGAGUGGCCAGCUGGCAAAACAGGCUCUCAACAUUGCAAUUAGACCCUCCAAAAAGGGUGAGGUUCUAGCUAUGAGAGCUGGGGAUAAUUCCCUCUGACGGCGACAUUGAACAUGCGAGAAACUUUGAUAAAUUCAUUGCAACAACCAUGCAGCCGGCUCAUUUUGCAGCUUUGCGCAAUGUUUUUCUGGCGGCCAGAGAAUUGACUGACAACGAUCUCUUGCUGGUCGCUGGACAAGCUGCCGGCGCCUGGCGGCCAACGCCGGGAGCAUCAUCACCAUGGGUUGCUGUCCAGCUUCAUGCAAGCUACAAAUCAGAAUGCACGAUGCCGAAGAGAUGUUCUGCGUGAUGUCACGCGUGAUGCUAGAGCCACUAUACCAUUGAAAGUGAAAUUCUUCAUCUAGCUGGCAAUUAAGGAACGGUUGUGGACGGUUGAUAGAAGGCACUGACAUGGCCUAAAAGGAAAUGCGGAGUGUUCAUUCUGUGAUCAGGAGUAGCAGCACAUUUGCUAACUGCUUGUCCUUAUGCAAAGGAGGUUUUGCACAUCACCACCAGGCUGCCUGAAACCUCCCUAACGGAUUGCUGGUUACUUAAUUGGCGACCCACCAGCAGAUCACUGAGAAAAGGGAUGGACUCCGUGUUUAUGUUGAUCUCCUGGACAAUUUGGAAGCCACGGAAUGAUAGAGUUUUUGCAAGAGCUCCAAACAGAACUCCAGUGCAACAGGCUGAAAUAGUCCGAGAAGAAGCUGCUGUCCGGUGCGCGGCAGGUGCCAAACUUUUAGCGCUGUUCCAAUGGUCGCAACAGCAGCAGGACACCACUGAUGCAACGGUUGUCUAGUGGGUUUUUGUUUGUCUCCCCCGUGUGUAAUUGGAGGUCAUUACUUUGCCAUGUAAGCUAAAAUUACCUCUCAAAUUGUGUGUGUGAGCCCGGUAGGCCCAUGUUGCAAAAUUUGUUUUUCCCUCUUUUUAAUACAAAGAUACGUAGCUCUCUUGCGUAUACUUGAAAAAAGAGUAAUGAAGCUCGUGUACUGAUUCUGCCAUUCCGGUUCGAGAACUUCUGAAAUGUCCCCCACCAGCACUACAAAAAUAUUAGACUCUGCCAGCGCUGCAACAAUAUUACAGACUUUCAUCAUGUCUAGGCGUUUUCCUGGAUAUUUCAGCCCAUUCGGUACCUGAACGCUCCAUGGCUACUCAGAACGCUCAUUGCAUUUGCCAUUUGACAACAUCAAAGUCCGUUUACACUACUGGCCAAGAUGCAAGUCCCAUUAUACACCAACACUUACGUUUUUCUGCACGAGCACACCACAGCAGCACUAUGAAAAAAAAGACCCCAAGGCAUCAGUUCUCUUCUUUUCAUGGGUGAAAGGGGAAAAGCGUACUGUAUAGCCAGUGGACAACAUAUUGGACAAUAGUUCGCCAACACAUUUCUCACGUCACUGUUCACGAAUAAAUAGACAGAUAAUAAAAAAGGGCUAGUCAGGCAGGCAAAUUUGCAUGUCACGUAGACAGUAUCAGGUCUAUCCAGACUUUAGAGGUCACCAAAUAUUAAAAAACACCAUGUCCAAACAUUAACUGAGGCCUCUAAACGAGUACCAGGUCCAAACAUUAAAGAAACAUAGUCCAAAAUGACACAAAAGCAGGUACAUGACUCCAGCUGCUGCAUUGAAUCACGCCUCCUGCUGUGGUGAUGAUACCAUAGGAAUUGUUCCCAGCUCAAUGACCACUUCUAGUUUCUGAAAUUUCAGAACGUACACAUGUAAGAGAGAGUGAUAGCAUAUUCCAUUUGUUAUAUAAUGGGAAGAAUUUCCAGCAUCCGCAUAACAUAGGUACAAAGAACAUAGCUCGGUACAAAGAACAAUGAUAUAGCAAGUGCAAAACAUUACCUGACUUCAAUAGAGUUCCCCAUCAUUCAAAUCUCCUGAAGUUUUGCAUUUGUGAAGCUCAUAUUGCAGCGUUACAAGUGCCAUAGGCCAUCUCACAAGAGCUGCAAGCUCAGACCCCUGUGCUGUAUAUGAUACUCCUAAUUUGUAAGCAUCCAUUCUAUGAGCUACUCUGUUUCGUAAAUAAUCUGUGAAUAACUUCCCCUCACUGUAUUCCAUGGCCUUCUGACCUUGGAUAUUUUUCUUGGCAUAUUGUGGCUUCUUGGAGUUGUAUAUUCUCGCCAGCAAAUCAUUCGUCCGGACAAGUGUUCGCCAAUCAAUUUUAUACUUCAUGCGCCCCAUCACACACAUGAUCUGAUACACUUGAGGUACUGAUAGGACCUUCAGAUGCUCAUGCAUCCUCAUGUACAUGCCUCCCCUAUCGGACAAAGACCAAAGAGAAGCAUGGACACGGAAAAGAGAUCGUUUAUCAAACUCAUUCUCCAUCAAGUCAAGCAGGUGCUCGAUAUCAUCCGGAAUGGGUCCAGCCUUAGAAAAUGCAUCAUGGAUGAUUUUCUUCGCACACUUGUAAUUUGCCUUAAGCUGUAAAAGGUCCAGUUUCCGGCGCUCCACGUUGUAUAACACAGACAUUUUAUCUCUGAACCGGAUGUUUUGUUCACUGAAAGUGCCCAAGCAUUCAUUGUUUUGCUCAAGCACCCAGAGGUUCUGAAGAAGUGACUGGGCAAAUAUUCUACCGUCUUCGGUAGCCACCUGUCCUGAAAAUCUCCCUCUCUCACCAGGUAUAUGACUACAUGUUCCACUAGAACGUAGCCUUCCAUUACCGGCAGCUAUACUCAUCUGAAUAUUAGAAUUCAGGUAUUCAAAGAAGGGGAUUGAUCCAUCAUCUGUGUAUUCACCUUGCUGAUCCUUGUAGUAAUCAUACCUUAUGAAAGGCAGUGCUGCAAAGAGUGAAGGAAUUAGUGCUGAGCUAAAUGUCAUUUAAGUUUGUGCAAGAAAAUUCGAAAACAAAUUACCUUUGAGCAUAACUUUUCUUUCCACGAUCUGCAGAGAACUGGUGGCUGCCUCAUAAGUGCCGAACUGAAUUGUGUGAUCCAUGAUCAGAGGAUUGGCUCUUUCGAAUAAGCUGCAUGCACGCCAUGAUAACUCAGAAAUGUGUGCCAAUUCACAGUUACAAGGUACAACAGUUUCAGUUAUCUCAUAAUGAAAAUGGAGAAUCCAGGCAAAUGUGAUAGACAAAUCUUAAAGCAAUUUACAAUUUUAGAGGUAUCUAUGCUGAGCAAGAGUGCUCAGAACUCAGAAGCUAUGAAAGUGCAAGCUACAUAACUUUCGCCUGCUUUUGUCCCCACUCCCCAAUAAUCCCAGCCUGGAACUGCUGUAAAACUCUUUUGUUUGCUUUCAAUAUAAAACAAGACUAUUUUUUCCUACAUAAGAAACAUUAGUGUGAUACUCCCUCCGUCCCAAAUUACUAUUCAUUUUGGCUUUUCUAGGUACAUGAUUUUUGCUACGUAUCUAGACAUCGUAUAUCUAGGUGCAUAGCAAAAGCUAUGGAAGUAGAAAAGCCAAAUCGAAUAGUAAUUUGGGACGUAUGGAGUAACUGAUAACUAGUGGAACACAAGAUCUAGAUAUCACAGCAAACAACUGCAAUUCAAUUUACACUCAAAUAAUCCAUGGAUGCAUAAAACUUGGGAUACAUCAAGUGUGAACAUCUUCAACUCCUUACACUGUAGUAUCACAUCCUCAAUUCGUCAAAAUCAUUAGCACUUAGAACAUAAACUCAAUUCUAUCCUCACAUUAGAAUUAGCACACACUAUCAAAAUAAUAGGUCAACAAGUGAUUUAGCACACGUGCAGUUCAACGUCCACAUAAGCAGCAAAAGUAGAAGUAUAAGAUAUUAAUUGAAACGGGAUAGUUCAAGAACAUUCCAAUAAUACGACGCCGAGGUGAUUGCGGCAAGGAGUAUAGAAGAAGCGAAGAUACCUCCGCGUACCGUUAGCGUGGUUGCGUGGCACCGAACGUAGAGAGAGGUGCGCGGAGGACGGCGGCGCGGUCCCGGUCGCCGGAUUCGCGAUGCCGAGCGGCGGCGGCGGCGGCGGCGGCGGCGGCGGCGGCGGCGGCGGCUCGAGCAAGAAGAAGCGGACGGCGCGGUCGUCGGAACGCCAGGCGGCGACAGUGGAGACGCCCAGGAGGACGGUGGCUAGCCCCCUCAACCACCGGGCUCCCUCCGCCGCCCUCCUCGCAGAAUCGCCCGAUCGCCGUCGAACCCUAGGACACUAGGGUUUUUCUUCGGCGUGCGAGUGGGGAGAAGUGGGUUUUUCUUCUGGCGGCGUGCGAGUGGGGGAGAAGUGGGUUUUUCUUCUGGCGGCGUGCGAGUGGGGGAGAAGUGAAGGUUUGGGCCCUUUACGGUUGGCUUAUGUGGUUGGUGACCGGAAAUUUUAUCCAUCGCCCGACUAGCACCGGUCAUGUGGGAUGUUGACGCGAAUUAGAACAUAAUUUUUAUUACAAAACUAAUUAUAAAGACGGAGUCUAAUUACUGAGAUGAAUCUUUAAGCCUAAUUAAUCCAUCAUUAGCAAAUGGUUAGAGAUUCAUCUCGCUCGGGUUCUGCAAUUAGUUUUAUAAUUAGCUCAUAUUUAGUCCUAAUUAGUAUCCGAACAUCCGAUAUGACACUGCUAAAAUUUAACGCGUAGUAUCCAAACCCCCAUCUACUAGGAAUUUAGCCCUGUUAAUUGGGUUGGGUUUAUUAGUUUUAAUGGUUUGGUUUAUAUAAUAAGUUCAUUUGAAUUGGUUUAUAAUGAGUUGGCCUGCUAGAUGGUUUGGUUUGGUUUGGGUUUUACAAAUAAAUAGUUUGGAAGGUGUUUGGGGUGUGUGGUAUUAUUUUUGGAUCUAAAAGACUCUCAACCCGUGGGUUGAGACCCAUUAAGAACCCAAAAGCCUGGAGCCUCAUCUAUCAAGAGUCGGAUCCUAAAAAUAAAACCUCGCGUUCACACCUUAAAAUUUUGGAUAAAUUGAUCGAAACUUGUUACAGAUGAAUUAGUUUAACAGUCCGCUACUGUAUGCAAAGCAGUACGGCUGGACUUACAUGUGGGGCCCGCGUCAAGAGUCGGACCCUAAAACUAAAACCUCGUGUUCACACCUUAAAAUUUUGGAUGAAUUGACCGAAACUUGUUGCAGAUGAAUUAGCUUGACAGUCCGCUACUUUGUGCAAAGUAGUAUGGCUAGACUUACAUGUGGGCCCCACGUUGAGAGUCACAUACAAACUCAAAAAAAAAGUUAACUAAUGGGUUUUUAUUGGGUACCUAAUGGGUUCUUAUUGGAUUGUAACCAUAUUUGGCAAGUAAUUUGUAUAACUUAUGCAAUGGUAAGUUUGGGGUGGUGUGGUGUGUGAUAGUGGAGGUUUGGUUUAGGGUGGAUUAUAUUUAUUUUCUUAUGAGAAUAGAUUGGUGUGGUUACAACAUGGGUUACAACCCAAUUAACAGGGCUUAGGAUCGUGACCGCAUGUUGCUAAGGGCAACAAAAUAUUUAUAUGGUAGUGCAAUGAUGAAUCAGUAAAACAAUAAUAAUACGAAGAUAAUAAUAAAUAUUUAAUCUAAAAACAUUCAAAAAAAUAAUAAGGUGAAAAUAAUUGAAAUAUUAAAUAAAUAUUUAAUUCACAAAUGUAGUUCCUAAAUUAAACAGAGUUAGGUACGUCACUAUAUUUUACAUUGGUAGCCGGAAUAUGUCUUCGAUACCCAUUCGUUUCGAGCGCCAAACGAUGACGAAGAAGUUCCGUGGCAUUAUCUUCCCAACAUGUACAUAAGUUGAGUUUUUAUGUAAAUAUCAUGCCAAGUCUGAUUAGCUUUACAUAGGACAUCCCGCCCAUCAUGUAAAAUUGAUGGUGUUCGACUUGAACAAUUCCACGACACUUUUUUUUAGUAAUGUUUCCUUCCGUUGGAUAGUCAUUUGAGCAUAUUAGUCCCUAUCCUGGUGCCCCCUCCAUUCUCUGAGAUCUACUGAUAGUAGAUGUGCAUUGGAUGUGGGUGGUCCUCUAAAAUUGCUAUUCGUGGCAUCACCUAAAAUGAAAACAAUACAUUAAAAUUCUAAAAAUUUCAAAAUUUAUUGUUAAAUCAGCCUUAAACUCAUUAAAAUUAUGAGAAAUAAUCCUAUUCACAAUGUGAAAAUAUCAUUUUUUCUAAAUGAGCAACAAACUUAAUUGCAAUUAGGGCUGGAUGUAGAGACAGAACACUAGUAGAAAACUGACUUUCGAUCCUCCCCUUUUGUCCCGGUUUAAAGUAGGCUUGGGAGAAAAGGGGUGCGCCACUCUUUACUUCCGGUUGUUAAUUGCAAGUGUCUAAAGGUGACCUUUAGUCCCGUGUGGCGGAACUGUCCAACUUAAACUGGUUUAAAUGCACCUAAUCGCUGCCGAUGCAGCAAUUAUCCGAAACGCACUUAAAACAGUAUAAGUCCGGUCGUCCGUCGAGUGUCCCUAGGACUCCUCGAAGAUCCACGUCAUGUCUCAUAGCGAUACAUCAGGAUUGUAUCCGCGAUGGGAUAGCAUCAACAAAUAUUACAUUUUUACAUACAUACACGAGGUACGAGUUAAUACAAGACAUAGUUUGAAGCAAACUUAACAGUGCAGUGUUAGACAGAGUUCUAGGAUUUAAAACGUAAACGGUUCGGGUGGAGAUGAGCAUUUAAGAUUGCUUCCAAGGGUAUUGUGAGACUCAUAACAAUACCCUAGGGUUUCAGGGCUUCCUCCUCGGUGGAUUCCUGCGGUGUUUCUGAAAAUAGCGACAAGGGAUAACCCUGAGUACGAGGUACUCAGCAAGGCUUACCCGACUAACCAAUAUAAUUGUUUUUCUUGGAAGUACAUGAUAGCUUUUUCGGUGUACUUGGCUGACAUACUUGCCAAAAAGCUUACUAAAAGUGAGACCUUAGCUUUAUCUUUUAUUUUGAUUAAGUCAUUACCUAACCAUUCUAGGUGGUGAUAAAGACUAUUUGUAAUCAACAAGGUAUUAAGUCAUACACCAAACAUUAGUAGAAAGAUAUAGCAUUCAUGAAUAUAUGCUACGAUGCUCAACAGUGAUCAAGUGCAUUCAUAACCGAGAAUUGCGGCGAUCCGGAUCAAUUUACAUCCUGCAGGAGAGCACCCUGAUCACCAGCUAUAUACGACUGUCCAGGUCGUACGUAAUGACUUUUCGAUUAGCAAAUCCAAUGAUUGGGAAUAAGACUACCCGGACCCACGGACGCACCCCCACAUGGGACCCCACGUCCGGCCCGAUCACCAUGUGAGUUUCAGGCUACGCCCCUGCCAAUCUCCAGCACGUCAAGUGCGGGUACGAAGUAUUCCCGAUCAGAGGGUUUACUAACCUACUGGGCUUUACUGGUCCCAUACCCAGUAAGUGAUCAGAUGUCUUUCACUUGAUCAAAGGUUAAGACAAUGAAUCGGGCCUUAACCAGAUUAAUCUAGCAGACAGAACUACAUCCUUAGCUUCUGUACGCUUCUUAAUUUCCAAGUGAUCUUUUCACAAUUAACAUGCAUGACUCAGAAUUUACCUUAAGGUUUGGUAAAGCAAGUAAUUAAGCAACUAAGCAAUUCUAGACUUGGGUUAUCUACUAAAGGUUUGAACAAGUGGCAAAGAUGUCCUUAAAACAAGGUAUGAUAAUGCACAAGCAUGGGUUUCAAGCAACUCCUAGACUUAGUGCAUACAUAUAGCAAAUAACCAAUAAUUGGACACAUGAAAUAUCGACUCCAAAAUAAUAGGUAUAAUGCACCGGGGCUUGCCUUGUUCGCUAAAAAAGUUAGCAUUGUCCGAGGGGUUGGCUUCGUAGGGGACCAAUUCAAAGACUUCCUCAAAUUCCGGAGAUCCUUCUGAAUAUUCCGAGAAAUCUCCUUCUAGUGCUUCGGUGUCUAUAACACAACAUAUGCAGGGGUUAGGAAUGCAAAUUUUUGAAUAAAAGACUAUACAACUUUCCUUCAUGAUAGAGUUGCAAGCCAACAAGGACUAUACAAUUUAUCAUGAUAAGUUGCAAGCCAACACACGGAAACCCGAAAAGAUUAACCCAACAAUUUUAUUUCCUUGACUAACCUUACCUAGGGCUUUUUCUUUUAUUUUAGAAAAUGUUACAAUUAUUUUCUAGCUUUUAAACCUAAUUUCUUAUGAGUUAACAAUAAUUUGGGAUUAUGAAAAUGUUAUUCCAUAUUUUAUGCAUUUAAUAAAGAUUAAGUAUUUAUUUAAAUACCUUAAAAGAAAGGCAUUAAAUAAAUACCCAAAUUUUUAUUAUUUUUCUAGGGUAUAAAAAUUUUAAUGCAUAAAGGAAAAUAAAAUAAGCCUAACAAAAUUGGUUUCACUAAUUUUGGACACUCCUAGAAAUUUCUGUGAUUUAAAUGGUGAGAUUUGGAUUUAAACUAAUUACUCUAUAAAGGAAAUCUAAUUUUUCCCGAAAAACACCCCGGGCAACUUUUCUCACGUGACCCUACUCUACCCCCUCUCUCUUACGCUGGGCCCGUGGCUCGGACCCACCCCUCUCCUAUUCAUCCUACCCGCCGACCACUUCUCCUCGGCCGGGCCCUACUGGGCCGGUUCCUUUCCUCCAUAUCAAACCGUAACCCAGCAUCGGCCCAACGGCCCGUUCUUUCCUUUCAUUUCUUCCCGCGAAACCUGGCCUGCUGAUUGCCUGGGCCUCUGGCCUUUCUUCUAACGGCCGACCGCACCGGCUCCUUGGGCCUCCGGAGCGCUGGCCCAACUGACGCCCGCGCCCGACCGGCCUGCCUCCUUUUCUCCCCUUCUCCCCACUGACGCGCGGGCCCGGCUCCAGCGCAUUCUUCUUCCUCCCGCCAAAAUCCCGAGCAGAACAGGGGGCGGCGCAGCUCGCCGGCCGGCGCCCCACCGGCGACGGGGCUAGGCCGGGGAAGAAUCCCCAUGCCCUAACGCACCCGUGCGCGGUGAUAGCUCCCCGGGAGACGGCCGGAACUACUUCCUCCACGGCGGCGGGCGGCGGCGCUUACGGCCGGUGGUGGCUAGACACAACGACGGCGCAACCUACUCUGACAACUACGGCUACAGCUUCCUUGUACCCUGAGGACUCACCUACGACUACUCACACGGACAGAGAGGAGCGGCAAGAGGGUGCUCACCGUGAGCAGGAGGUGCGGCAAUGGCGGACGAAGACGACGGCGAUGUAGGGUAUUCCGGCAAGGAUGUUGGACAACAAGUUGCUAGGGUUGUCGGUGGGGCGUGUAUGGAGGUGUGGAUGGAGGGAAUCGACAGGAGCUGCGGUGUGGUGGGGGAAUUUUACCUGGCGGCGGCGGCUUGGACAGAAAGAGCGGCGGCGGUGAAAAGGAACGGCGGUAAAAGGGCGGCGCGGGAGCAGUAGUUAUUCGAAGCUUUCACCGCGCGCAUGGUUGACACCGUGGCCUACUAGUAGGCUUGCGUGGUGAAGAGGUGGCCUAGCUAUCUUGAGCUGGAUAGCGGCAGACGCACCGGUGGCGACACGUCCUGCUUUCUCUGUCGCCCCCCCUUUCUUAUUUUUUGACGCCCAAAGUUCAGAGCUCCACCACGGCUGAUUUCGAAUCCGACGGUCCCCAAGUCACUUAAGCAAAGGUGUAGAUAAACUCGAGCUCCACAAUUCAUAUUUAAACUCUUGCCCGAGAUUUUCAUUCAUUUGUUGGCAAUUUCAAAAUGUUUGGCCUCAGGUGACUGAAUUCCAUUGAAUUUCGAUUCAGUUCAUCAGUUACAUGACAGGGUCAUUUACCCCACUUUGUAAAUGAUUUCAGUGAUCCAACUCCUUUCCUUGUAGUCCAACUUCUUCCCAUUUGUGUUCUACAACCUUCAAGGAUUCCAUUUUGCCCAUAAACACUUACACCUUUUGAUCUACAUUUCUCUGAAAUCAGCUCCAAACUCGGCCACAUAUUGUUGUUUUCAGACUUAGUCGAAUUCAGUAGUGCAGUCUACCGUGGCAAGGUGCUGACUUUGAGCUUAAAUUUGAAUUUGUCCCCCUUACUGUUCCUGAUCAACAACACCCAAACCUUUUUGUCCAAAGCCCAUACUUCAUCACUGUGUAGUUGUCUUGGUCCACUUAAUUGGAAAAUUGGUCGGAAAUUAAUUUCCAAAAUGGACUCUGCUGCUGUUUUUCUGAACUUCUAUUGUCGGAUGGUGAACAGUAAUUUCGGUUUUAAUUUUCUUUCUUUGAUUUUCUUGAAGCAUUUAGGACCAGAUCUUGUCCCAAAUCUUGAUCUUCAGGUUCUAAUCACUCUUCUACUUCCAUUCCACAUUUUUGAAAUUUUUUUCUGAAUCUCGAAUUCAAAAUUCAAAUUUCGGUCAAGUUUGACCCGAAUUUGAUUUUUAGCCAAUUUCUUUUCCUUUUCUUCAUGAAUUGCUUCUAUUUCUUCAGAGAUACUUUGAUGUCCAAAAAUGGCAGGUAUUACAGCCUCUCCCCCUUAACAGAAUCUCGUCCCGAGAUUCCCGGGGUUAAAUCCUCGGCUUUGGGAAUGGAAAGGAAACUGCCUCAGACAUACUAUCUUUUUCUUUUCUGUAUAAGGUAGGUGGGGUGGUGGCUUUUAUUCAUUUGACGCUGAUAGUUUCAAAUAGUUCAGAAUAUUUAGACUCUAGGUCUUCAGCCUGUUCCCAAGUAGCUUCAUCCGGAGUAUGAUUUUUCCAUUGUACCUUGUAAAACGUAAUACUCCGAGUUUGGGUAUCUCUUGUCUUUUGAUCCAGAAUUUUAAUAGGCCUUUCUUCGUAGGUUAGGUUUGGUUCGAGCUCAACUUCUGGAUCUUCUAGAAUCUCUUCUGGAACUCUUAAGCACUUCUUAAGUUGGGAUACAUGAAACACAUCAUGUAUAGAAGUAAGUUGGUUUGGUAAUGACAGCUUAUAUGCUACCGGACCCUUUCGUGCCAGAAUUUCAUAAGGACCAAUAUACCUCGGGGCUAAUUUACCCUUUAUUCCAAAUCGUUGUACUCCUUUCAUCGGGGAUACCUUUAAGUAUAAAAAAUCUCUGAUAUGAAAUUCCAAGGACCGUCUUCUUUUAUCUGAAUAACUCUUUUGUCGAGACUGGGCUAUUUCCAAAUGUUUACGAAUUUUCCGGACCUUUUACUCGGUCUCCAUAACCAAAUCUGAUCCCAAGUGUGUCCUUUCUCCUAUUCUCGACCAAUUCAAGGGGGUUCGGCAUCUUCGACCAUAUAAGGCUUCGAAAGGUGCCAUCUUGAUACUAGCUUGAUAACUAUUAUUAUAGGAGAACUCAGCUAGGGGCAAACACUCGUCCCAUAGCUUAGAGAAGGUAAGGACACAUGCUCUUAACAUGUCUUCCAAGAUUUGGUUGACCCUUUCCGUUUGUCCUCCAAUCUGGGGAUGAUAGGCAAAGCUUCUGAUCAGAGUAGUGCCCAUGUCUUUUUGUAGUUGUUCCCAAAAUCUGGAAACAAACUGGGAGCCUCGAUCGAAGAUAAUUGUCUUUGGUACUCCGUGCAAGGAUACAAUCCGGGUUAUAUAGAGUUUUGCAUAUGUCAACACUGGGUAGGUAGUCUUGACGGGGAUGAAAUGGGCUGACUUAGUGAGUCGGUCGACAAUAACCCAUAUGGAAUCAUAUCCUUUUGAAGUGGUAGGCAAUCCAACUAUAAAGUCCAUGGAAAUAUCCUCCCAUUGCCAGACAGGGAUUUCUGAAGGUUGAAGCAAACCCGCCGACUUUUGUAGUAUGGGUUUAACUCUCCGGCAGGUAUCGCAUUCGGCUAUAUAUCUUGCAAUUUCAGGUUUCAUCUUGGCCCACCAGAAUCUUUGCCUUAAAUCUUGGUACAUUUUAUUGCUUCCGGGAUGAAUGGCGAGCUUAGAUAGAUGUGCCUCAUCUAAGAUUAAUGACUACUAUCCUUUUUCUGAAAUAUAGUCCUCCAUCUUCUUCUUGAGUGAGUUCAGGAAUCUUUCCUUCUGUUCUUCGUUGAUAGAGCACCUUAAUCCAAGGAUCUUCUUUUUGGGUUGUUAUGAUUCUCACUUUCAAGGUGUCUUGUACAAUAAUGUUCUGGAGGGCACCUUGUUUUACUAUUUCCAAGUUUAAAUUCUCUAAUUCUUCACAUAAGGUCUUAAGAUUAGGCUGAACAGUGGUACAAUGGCACUGGGCCUUUCUGCUCAAAGCAACAGCCACCACAUUAGCCUUACCAGGAUGGUAGUGGAUCUCUAGCUUAUAAUCUUUUAUUAGCUCCAACCACCGUCUUUGCCUCAUGUUCAAGUCCAUUUGAGUGAAGAUGUACUUUAAGCUUUUGUGGUCAGUAAAGAUACGACAUUCACUACCUAGAAGAUAGUGUCGCCAUAUUUUUAAUGCAUGGACUACAGCAGCAAGUUCUAAAUCAUGAGUAGGGUAAUGCUCUUCAUGACGCUUCAGUUGACGAGAAGCAUAAGCAAUAACUCUGCCUUCUUGCAUAAGAACACACCCUAUCCCUGUUCCUGAGGCAUCACAGUACACGUCAAAGGGCUUCUCAAUGUCAGGUUGAGCUAGUACUGGGGCUGUAGUCAAUAGCUUCUUUAAGGUCUGAAACGAUUCUUCACAUUCGGAGUUCCACCCAAAUUUCACUUCUUUCUUUAAUAACUCUGUCAUUGGUUGGAAAUUUUUGAGAAAUUGGGGAUGAACCUACGGUAAUACCCGGCCAUUCCCAAGAAACUUCUUACUUCGUGUACCGAAGUUGGUGAUUUCCAAUCCAAUAUGUCCUUGACUUUUCCGGGAUCUACUUCAAUUCCUUUUUCGGACAGUAUAUGCCCAAGGAAUGGAACUUUCUUUAACCAGAAUUCACAUUUGCUGAACUUGGCAUAUAACUGGUGUUCCCGGAGUCUACUUAGAACAAUACGCAGGUGUUGCGCAUGUUCCUCUUCAUUUUUAGAAAAGACAAGGAUAUCAUCUAUAAAGACGACCACAAAUUUAUCUAAUUUUGGCAUGAACACCGAAUUCAUGAGGUACAUAAAAUGCGCUGGGGCAUUUGUCAGUCCGAAAGACAUAACCAAGUAUUCAUAUAAUCCAUAUCAGGUUGAGAAGGCUGUUUUUGGUAUGUCUUCGGGUUUUAUCUUAAUCUGAUGAUAUCCUGACCGAAGGUCGAUUUUUGAAAAGACCUUGGCUCCAGCUAGUUGAUCAAAUAACAAGUCAAUCCGUGGCAACGGAUACUUGUUUUUAAUGGUUACCGCAUUCAAAGGGCGGUAAUCCACACAAAACCUUAAUGUGCCAUCUUUCUUUUUAACAAAUAGAGCAGGGCAGCCCCAUGGUGAAGUGCUAGGUCGGACAAAACCUUUCUCUAGCAAUUCUUGGAGUUGUACUUUUAAUUCUGCUAACUCCUUAGGUGGCAGCCGAUACGGCCUUCUCGAGAUAGGAGCAGUACCCGGUUCUAACUUAAUGGUAAACUCUACCGCUCUAUCAGGCGGUAGUCCAGGUAGAUCUUCUGGGAACACAUCUAUAAACUCAUUAACCACAGGAAUAGAUUCUAGAGUCACUGCUCUAGUCUUUUUGACCAUCUGGUCCAGACAGGGAUGAGCGGGUAAUUGGAGCUCAAAAGGAUGGCCUUGGUCAUCUCUCAUACUAACGACCCGGUUUUUCAUAUCGAUUUGAACUUUAUGUUCCUUCAUCCAAUUUACCCCCAAAAUAAUAUCUAUUCCUUGAUCUUCCAAAAUUAAAGGAUAAGCACCCACCUUAUUUCCUUCUAAGAUCAAAAUCACAUUGCGAGCUACCUGAUUUGUAUUUUGAGUAGCUCCAGUAGCUUGAAUAGCAUAUUUGACAUUUAAGGUGUGCACUUCUAGUUGGUGUUGCGUAACAAACUUUUGACUUAUAAAAGUAUGUGAUGCACCCGAAUCAAAUAAAAUCAUGGCAGGAUAAUCAUUGACAAGGUACAUACCUGCCAAAAUAGGCUUUCCUUUCGGAAUCUCCUCCACAUUCAUAUAAUGAGCCUGCCCCGUCUUGGUGUUCAGAAAUUUACGACGAACAAACUUCUGUCCGGUGCCCUGACCAGAGGUUUGAGCCCUUAAAUUCGCGUUUCCCCUGACCUUGGGAAAACGGCAGUCCCGGGCAAAGUGUCCCGGCUUCCCACAGUUAAAACAAACAUGUGGAUUCCCUGGAGGAGUAGGGUUACGAAACCCAAGAGAUGGUGCAUUUCCAGGACGAGGAGCAUUAAUAGGAGCUCUGACAUUCCAGGGCUGAAAGGGCCUCUGCUGAAAAGAAGGCCGAUAUGCGGGUCGAGGAGGACCUCGGUAUACCACCUUCAUUCUCUGUGGGGCACUCUCGAAGGUUCCAAAAGGAAUAUUCUUCCUCUUCAAGGAUUCCACUUUCUUUAAAGUUUCAUCUAAGAUUCUCAUCUUUUCUUCUGCAGUAAUGGCUGUGCUUACCGCAGAGCUAUAGUCAGCAAAGGUGCAGGUAGACAGCUUCUCCUGCAUCCGUGCAUUAAGCCCACGAGGAUAACAGUCUCUUUUUCUGGACUCUGUAUUGACAUGUUCCGGUGCAUACUGGGCCAAGUGAUCAAAUUCAUUGGUGUAUUCCAGAAUGCUACGGGUCCCUUGCUGCAGCCCUAAGAAUUGCUCCAGCUUCAUACGCAUGAUACCUUCUGGCACAAACUGUGUCCGGAAGGCUUCCUUGAAGUUCUCCCAUGUAACUUCCCUUCCAACUGGUUACCUUGCCAGAUAACUGGUCCACCGACCUUGGAACUGGAGUCCAACAAACUCCGCCUUCUGGGUGGUGGUGCACUUGGGAAUCACCCGAAAUUUCUGCUCCAUCGUCUGAAGCCAUUCAUUAGCUUCCAGUGGGUGCUCAGCUUUCAAGAAUAUUGGAGGACGAGUUUCCAAAAACUGGGUGUAGGAUACACCCCGUUCUGGGUCCCGUCGGUUUCCACCAUUGCCGGUGUUUUGUACAAUCAUUCCUACUCCAGCUGAUGGCUUCUUUCCUGAAAGCAUCCAAGUAUGGUGUGAUAAGCUUCAAGCCUCACGACUACUCGGGUCAUACAACAAAAUCAACAAGGAAAUCUACUUGGAAGCUUCGGAAAACAUCGAUGGCUCUCUGGAACUCCAAAUCAGAAGGCGGGCUAAGUACUGAUCUGUGGGUACUCUCCACAAGAUGAGGAACCGUACCCAGAGUAGCACCUACAACAUUCAUCGCAUCAGCUACCAACCAUGACUACAAUAAACAGACUACAGCAAAAUACCUGGAGCAGUCGUUUGUUUGGUUUUCUCAACAUCUACUAUGGCCAGCAAUCCUCCAGUAGAUGACGAUAAAGCAGCGCUCCCCGAGCCUGAUGCAGCAGCAGGAACCUCCACCGAGCGAAUCACGUCUUGAAGCAUUGACAUAGUAGCUCCAAGACAGCCGGCGUCAACCUCGGGUACCUCUUCAACAGUUAAGUCCUCCAAAGGAACAGAUGUUGUAGUCGGGGGAUCUGGCACUACCCCUGCCUCUACAGGGAUAGUCUCCUCUGCAUCUCUGCACCACAGAAGUGUCACUACAUGAUUUCUAGACAAUUCAAAGUCAUUCAAGAGAACAAGGAAGUUCACCGGGUUGAACGUGGUGGUAGUUGCACACGCUUCUUCUCGGCGAUAGGCGGCCGAGUACUAGGCGUCGCGGGCGCUGUCUUCUCGCCAAGGCCUACAAACCUGAAGUUAAGACUACAAUACUACUCAAACGUAUACAAUCGGAGGGAACAACGCUCACCAUUGGCGAUCACAUUAGACAGCAAGGUACCAGUAGCAAGUACCAGUGACACCUCCUUUGCUGUACCCGCUACUCCAGCAGGCAGCCCCAGGACCGCCUGAUCAGCAAUGGGCGACAUGGCAGCCGAUGGAGUUGGCGCGGUUAACUCGGGGGCUACCCCAGUUUCUGUUGAUGGCACCCUCUCUGGCAUUGCGUCAACAGCCACAUCACCGGCUUCUGGGUUGGACACGGCCAUUUCUUCAGAAAUAGCCUCGUCUUCACCAAGCGCCGUAUCCACAGCCUUCACGAACCAAGACAAAAUUCGGCACAUCAAUAAUGAGUUCAAAUUCAUCAGUAACAGAUAUGUUACCGACUACAUACCUUGGUACCCCGAGACUUCUCAGGGGUUGAAGCAGACUUAGCCGCAGACAUCUUGCGGACUACUCUGCGUCUUUUAACGGGAGGAGAAGGCUCGUCCUCCGACUCCUCGACGACAGCUUCCGACCUUUCUUUCGACUGCGCCAAGUAGCCGGCAAGAACUCGGGACUUCAAAACAACAAAUUGGUAUCAGCACCAAGAAUCACGAGUCAAAGAAGAACAACUCGGGAGGAAAACACUUACCACUUCUGGCUCGUACCAGGCGUCAUACUGACGAAGGGCUGCAGGGAUUACUGGUACUCCCUGAUAGUUCCUAAAAAACUUAGCCAGCAGCGCCUCUACGUCAUCAUCAGAUAUGUCCUCAUCGGACAUACGCGAUGAAUCCUUCAAACCUACGUACUCACUUCCCGAGUGAGCAUGUUGUUGGAGCGGCUGGACCCUUCUCUUCAGGAAGCAGGCCGCCACGUUGAUACCAGUCAGACCGAGUGCCUUCAACUCGGUGAUCUGCUGCAGUAGGUGAUCGAGCUCAGGGGUGUCCACGGGCUCGCUCACCCAGUUCUCUGCAUGCUUGGGCACGUGACCAGUCACCACAGGCAAGCGGGGUUCAUGGUUCCCGAUGUAGAACCACCUCUUCUUCCACUCCCCAUGAGAGUCGGUCAGAUUAUACUCAAUAUACGCGCCCGAGUUCCUAAGCUGGAACCCGGCGCCUCCAAAGACUUCCGUCCGCUGAGCACUUGGCUGAGGCUUACAACGGAACAGCUUCCUAAACAACUCGAGACUUGGAGAUACUCCCAGGUAAACUUCGCACAGAUGUACAAAUAUAGACAUGUGCAGUACACCAUUGGGAUUCAAGUGGAUGAGCUGAAGAUUGUAAUACUCGAGAAUACCUUUAAAGAAGUCAGAGGUGGGCACAGCCAAUCCCCUUUCCACAAAAUGCGCAAGCAUCACCGUCUCGGAAGGAUGCUCCUCAAACUGCCAUGCAUUGGGAAACGUGGGGCACCACUCAAGAAUCUCCUUCGGCUGAACGAGCUUUGCAUCAACCAGCGCUUGGACAGCUUCCUCCUUCAUCACCGAGUGUUGCCAAGUCACCCCAAGCGGCGGCGGUGCAGUUUGGUUCGUUGGCCCCACCUUCAGCGCUGGCAGCACCAACUCUUUCCCCUUCUUGGAUUUGACCUUGCCUGUCACCGGAGCCUUACCCUGGAUCUUCUCGAGUUUCUUGCCCAUCUUCUUGGUGCGCAUUCGACGGACUAAAACCUCAAGAGCGGAGGCGCGGAGGAGGAAGGAAAAGGGAUCUGAUUACCGUACAGCGUAAAAGGGGCCUUCCAGUUUUAUCUCCGCCGGAUCCGGUUUUCCAUGCUUCAGUUGCGCAACGGAUAGAUUAAUCACGUAUCAAUCGCCUUAAACAUCCAACGGCUACUCUAUUCAACGGACUGUUGACCACUUCAGCGACAGAAAUCGCCUAAGUGCUCGGGGGCUACGGGUACCGUACCCGUUGGUCAGUUUUUUCUUUUCAAGAUCUCCAAGGGUAAAAUGGACAAAAGCUGGUUUGACCCUCAGCCUGACUCUUCGACUCAACCUAAGGCUCGGGGCCUACUCCAUAUGGAGUGCGAUUGACAUCGCACUGCCAUAUAAAACUACUCAGGAACGGAGACAACCCGAAGAAAGAGUACCUUCCAGCCACGCGACAGUACUCGAGCACUUCAAUCUGAAAUGUCUACGACCAAGCUACUCGGAUGGCGCCUGCAGUGCCCAAGACUGUGGCGCACGACUACAAAGUACUCGGGGGCUUGUCGGGCAUACACCCCAGGUCCACGAGUAGGCCUUGGACGGCCCACCAAGGGACGUACUCGGACAAGAUCAGAACAAGGAUGGGUGUAUCCUUCUCGGACUAGUCUUAACUGUUUAUGGAAAACUACUCGGGCCAUUACCGAGUAGAACUCUGUGAUACUACCCAACUAGGACUCAGACUUGUAACCCUGCCCUCCCGUGUAUAUAAGGCCGAGCAGGGACCCCCCUCAAAGAAUCAUCCCUCAAGAUCAAUACAAACCAACACACAGGACGUAGGGUAUUACGCGAUCUAACGGCCUGAACCUGUCUAAAUCGUGUUCCUUGCGUCACCAUUGAUUCCUUGAUUCUCGAUGACUCUUACCGCACAAAAGACCACCUAGGGUACCCCCUAGGCGGGUUGCCGGUCUAAAACACCGACACCUAUCAAGCUAGGUAAAAUUCUUUUUAAGGAAAACAUCAUCAUUCUUGACCUAGAAGGGAUAGACAUCAUCUUGGUUAUAGACUGGAUGACCCGACACCAGGUGAUGCUAGAUAUCUCUGCUCGAGCUAUCCACAUAAACUCACCUCUACACGGCAGCUCUACCUUACACUUGCCCUACCCAGAGUGUGUAAAUUCUUGUGCCUAUCCAGUGAUGGAAACCCAGGUAGAAGAUAUUCCUGUUGUCUGUGAGUAUCCUGAUGUAUUUUCGGAUGACCUGCUAGGCAUGCCACCAGACACGGAUAUUGAGUUUGCUAUUGAGUUAUAGCCAGGCAUAGCACCGAUAUCAAAAAGGCCCUAUCGGAUGCCACCCGCAGAGCUGGCAGUACUGAAAACCCAACUGCAUGAAAUCUUUGAAAAGGGUUUUAUUCGCUCAGUACCUCACCAUGGGGUUGUCUAGCGUUGUUCGUGAAGAAAAAGGAUGAGAGUCUACGUAUGUGUGUGGACUACCGACCCCUCAAUGCGGUCACUAUCAAAAAUAAGUACCCUCUUCCCCGCAUUGGUGUACUGUUUGAUCAAUUGGUUGGAGCCAGAGUAUUCUCAAAGAUAGAUCUUCGCUCUGGUUAUCAUCAGAUCAAGAUCCGACCGUGUGAUAUUCCCAAAAUACUACCUUCUCUACACGGUAUGGACUCUAUGAGUACCUAGUUAUGUCUUUUGGGCUCACUAAUGCACUUGCUUAUUUAAUGUACCUCAUGAAUUCGGUGUUCAUGCCCGAGUUGGACAAAUUCAUCAUGGUAUUCAUUGAUGAUAUCCUGGUAUAUUUGAAGAGUGAAGAACAUGCCGAGCAUCUUCAUGUGGUUCUUCAGCACUUAAGGGAUCAUCAGCUAUAUGCCAAAUUCUCCAAGUGUGAGUUCUGGUUGGAGAGUGUUAAAUUCUUGGGACACACUAUCUCUCGAGAUGGCAUUGCAAUCGACCCCAGCAAAGUGCAAGAGGUCAUGGACUGGAAGCCACCUACUUCGAUUCAUUACAUCCGAAGCUUUCUUGGUCUAGCCAGCUACUAUCGGCGCUUCAUUCCGGAUUUCUCAAAGAUAGCUAAGCCUAUGACUAAGUUAUUGAAGAAAGGAGUCAAAUUCACAUGGAGUGAAAAAUGUGAAGAAGCUUUCCACACCCUGAGAAGACUUUUAACCUCUGCCCCAGUCCUAGCUCAACCUGACACUACUAAGCCGUUCGAUGUGUAUUGUGACGCCUCCAGCACUAGACUUGGAUGUGUUCUUAUGCAAGACAACCGAGUCAUGGCCUAUGCCUCACGAGCAUUACAGCCACACAAACUAAACUACCCUACACAUGAUCUUGAAUUGGUAGCAGUGAUCCAGGCUCUAAAGAUAUGGAGUCACUAUCUUAUGGGCACUCACUGCAAUAUCUAUACUGAUCACAAGAGCCUCAAAUACAUCUUUACUCAAGCAGACCUUAACAUGCGUCAAAGGAGAUGGUUGAAAUUAAUCAAAGAUUAUGAUUUGGAAGUGCAUUAUCACCCAGGCAAAGCCAAUGUAGUAGCGGAUGCUCUUAGCUGCAAGACCCAUUGUAAUUGUUUAUCGGCAACCAACUUCACAGAAACCAUAUGUCAAGAGAUGGGAAAAAUCAGUUUGGAAAUUAUUCCGCACGGUACCUUAGGUCACAUUUCCAUUGAAUCUACCUUAAAAGACCAAAUUGGAAUGGCACAAUUAGAAGAUGAGGAAAUAAAGCUCAUUAAGGAGAAGAUUGCACGGAGAGAUGAGGGGUACAAGCAUUUCCGACAAGAUGAAAAGGGAACCAUGUACUAUGAGGAUCGACUCGUUGUUCCAUCUAACCCUGAUAUUAGAAAGCAAAUUCUGGAUGAAGCACAUCUCUCCAAGUUCUCGAUUCAUCCCGGUAGCAAUAAGAUGUAUCAUGACCUCCGUCAAACUUUCUGGUGGAGUGGAAUGAAACCGGAAAUUGCGCGCUAGGUCUCGGAGUGCGACACAUGUCAACGUGUCAAGGCAAGCCACUUGAAGGUAGCAGGCACCUUGCAACCGCUACCUAUCCCAUCCUGAAAAUGGGAGGAUAUCAACAUGGAUUUAAUUGUGGGAUUACCCGUUACCUCUCAGCGCCAUGAUUCUAUUUGGGCUAUAGUGGAUCGCCUAACCAAGACCACGCAUUUUAUUCCUAUCCACACCACCUAUACAGCCCGGAAAUAUGCAGAGUUAUACCUUCACCGUAUUGUUUCCUUACAUGGUAUUCCGAAGACGAUCAUCUCUGAUCGAGGUGCUCAGUUUGUGGCAUGCUUUUGGGAACAACUACAGUCAUCGCUUGGCAACAAAUUAGUUCGUAGCUCCACUUACCACCCUUAGACUGAUGGCCAAACAGAAAGGGUAAAUCAAAUUCUAGAAGACAUGCUACGCUCUUGCGUCAUACAUUUUGACAAAAAUUGGGACAAAUGCUUGCCGUUAGAAGAAUUUUCUUACAACAAUAGCUACCAGUCUAGCUUGAAAAUAGCACCAUUUGAAACCUUGUAUGGCCGAAGGUGUUAAACACCAUUGAGAUGGUCACAAGCAGGAGAAAGAAGGACUUACGGACCCGAUCUAGUGAUUGAAGCUGAAGAACAAGUAAAAGUAAUUCAGGCACAUCUCAAGGCCGCUCAAUCACGGCAGAAAAGUUACUCCGACAAACGGAGGAGACCCUUGAAGUUUGAUAUUGGUGAUCAUGUAUACCUCCAAGUCUCCCCAACUAAGGGUGUACAGUGAUUUGGGAUAAAAGGGAAAUUAGCUCCCCGUUACAUUGGCCCCUAUGAAAUUGUGGAGAUAUGCGGACCCGUUGCAUACCGGAUCAAACUUCCUGAAUGGCUUUCAGCCAUUCAUGACAUUUUCCAUGUCUCUCAACUGAAGAAAUGUGUUCGAGUCCAGAUCGAAAUUUUGGAGUAGGAACAACUCGAAAUCGAGCUCGAUUUAUCCUAUGCAGAGUAUCCUACCAAAGUCCUCGAUCAUAAGGAAAGAUACACCCGAAGGCAAGUUGUGAAGAUGUAUAAAAUUCAGUGGAGUAACCACACGGAAGAUUAAGCAACAUGGGAAACAGAGGAAUACCUGAAUAAGCACUUCCGCGGUUUUCUUUUCGAUCAAGGAGGUAAGACGUGCAAACCACACUAGUUCAUCCUUGCACUCGAAUCUCGGGACGAGAUUCCUUUUAAGGGGGUAGGCUGUAACAACCUAGCUUAAUUAAGCCAUGUUUAAAUCUUAAACAAGUCAUUAGUGCAUAAAUAAGAACUUUGGCAGUGGUGAAGGCAAGUGAAAGGACACUUUUGCCCCUCACAAGCUAAAACUUGUUUGAACAGCAACUUAAAUUUUUUGCUUAAUAACUUAACAAUCAGUCCAAAUUAGAAUUGUAGAACUCAACUUUCCUAACAACUUUUAUUUUUGGUGUUUUGCUUGAAUAUGAGCAGAAGCCCUUCAAAAACUCAAAGUACAAAUCUGUGUUAAUUUUAAGAUCAGACAAAGUCCCAACUUUGGGGCUUUUUAUUUCGAAAUUUCUAAUAUAAACUCAAGCUGAGCUCUAUACAAAAUUUUUAGACCUUUAAGCCCUUACCAACUUUGGUUAAAGAAGCAAGGGUGAAAUCUGCACACAAGGCUUUCGAAAUCCAGGUCAAAAUCACCUAGUUUGCUUAACCCAGUCUCUUUUUGGCAAUCCAGGCUAAGUCUAGAAAACAGCCCAACCUGGCACAUUAGUGUGGGUUUAUCUCUUAAAAGUUGAGCAGAAUAUCAGAAAAACCUUUUACAAGAGUUUGAGAACUAAGUUUAUACAACAACUUUGUCAAUUGGACUCUAGUCCAAUUUGCCUCUGAAGCUUUUCAAAAUCGAAGCUCAAGUCAGCCAAACACCUUGAAAAUAGCCAAACACCUUGAAAACAGCCAAACACCUUGAAAAGAGCCCGUCGGUUGCCCAUGAAGAGCGCCACCGCCGCCGGAACACCGCCGGACUCCACUGCCACCCAAAGCUCCCCGCCCUUACACCGUUCCGCCCCGACCGAGCCUCCCCGUCGCCCCCAACCACUUCAAACCAGCCCAAGGUGAGCCCGUAAGCCCUCCCGGCCACCCACCGUCCCAAGGCCGCCGGCACACCGCCGGGAUUUGGCCGCCCGCCUCCGUGCGCCGCCAAGGACCCAAUUGCGAUUGGGAAAGUUGAAUCAGGGGCCUUAGUGCUAAAACCAAGAACCUUUGCGCGUUUAAACCCUAGACCAAGGGGCUAGACUAUAAGUUUGCAUGGUUUAUCUUAUUAAAUCGACAGAAUAUAUGUUUAACUUUGGAAAUUCAUCAAAAUUUGUAAAAAAUUCAGAAAAAUAUCAAACCAAUUUUGCUAGGCUCAGAAUAAAUAGUAAUUUUUAAUAAAAAUACUUUUGGCACAUGUCACUGCUAGAAUUAAUGUUGUGUGUUUUAAUUCUUGUUUAAGCUAUUUAAAUCAUAACAAAUCACAGAAAAAUGAUAAAACAUUAAAUCCAACUCUCAAGUGUUUGUUUCAGAGAGUAUGAGGACCAAUGGUGGUCACCCUGGGAUGAUGAGUGAUUGACAACAUUGGGUUGGUUUGAUGUUGUUCUUAGCUUGUGAUGUGCAGAUGUAGGAUGUAGUGUGACGGCCGACGGCGUGCGGUGAAGGUCAAGCGAAAGGUUCAUGCCGAUGGACCAAGGGCGGUGAAGGAUGAACUCGAGUAGGCUUGGACCGAUGGACCUGAGGAGUCCGGGCAGAGUCAUGGUGGUCCACAUGGUGCACGGAACUGCAAGACAACAUGACGGUGAUGGAGACGGCGUCGGUCGAGUCAAGUAGGACGGAGGCAAGUCAAGUAGGCGGCCCGGGAGCCGGGAGCGAACAACUUGGAGGCGUCAAAUCCUUGGUGAAAACUGGACACGCGUCGACAUCAAGGAGGUCGCAUGCGGCCAAGCGAAGAUGGACGGUUUGGGUGGUUUGGGCCUCAAAACCACUGCGCUGGCAGAUUUCCUAGUUUGGGCCUUAAAACCGGGAGCGAGUCCGGUGUGGCCGGAGCUUCGAGAAGGAGGGAACGUGGCAUCAUCAUGAAGCUUGCGUCGAGGCGAAGAAAAGUCGUGAAGGUGGCGUGUCCGUCUGAUGAGCGCACAAAAACUUGGACCAAAAUACCCCUACUUGGGUAGUUAUCUUAGUAGUAGCUAUAGGGGUAGUUUAGUCUUUUGUCCGUAUUUAUAGAUAGAGAUGGGGGGCUGAAGUUUUCAGGACCUCUUCUACCUCUCUACCACUACCUCUCUCUCUAGGGUUUCAUUUGGUUUUUCCUCUCUCUCUCUACUCUCUCCCUAGAGGUCCUCGGAUGUUUUGAGCAUCGAAUUCAUGUAUUGAACCGAGUUUUUGUUGCGGGAAUGGAGGCCCUAACCUCCUCGUGUCCUCCGAGUGUUGGGGGAUGACAGUUUUGUGAAACUCUCACUUGUGUUCUUCGCGUACCCUCCUCAGGCACCACAACGACCCCAUCGUGGGCUUGUCGACGUCAUCCUCGUCGAAACCCCCAGGGUAGGAGGACAUGUCCACACGAGGUCACCCUAUCAGGAACCACUCGUAGGCCUAAAGUUGAAGCAUCAGUAGGCAGCCAAGGAAGAUUGGCUCCGCAGAAGUCACCUUCACGCAGCCCAUGCAAAGACCCCUGUACGUGGCCGCCAACACAGCUGAACCCCAGCUAUACUGUGGAACCUCAGCGAGCGGGGCCUCCGCAAUGGCCCUCGCAUAAGGAAGAAGGUGCUUAGGCACCGAGUUCCCCUGCGACGUGCAGAAGAGGGUCCAGCCGAAGAGCCACAACAAGUACGCCUCCAAGUGACACGCUACUGUGGCCUCGUCUGCAUCCUCUCCCAUGUACUCGGCCUGCAAAACAAUUUUAGACUUGUGUCACCAAUAAGAAAAAUUGACAAAAAUUAUUUGGGCUUGCUGCUAAUUAAAUACUCACACUGAACUACUGGAGCCAUGCCUUCAUCGGGCCGUGGGAGUUGCUAAAAGUGCGGUACUGCGAGGCACCGUCUACGCGGGGAACGUCCGCAAACCGACCCAGCAGCUCGUCGCGCCAAGCAGGUGGGACGUCCAUCACGGCUACGGCGGCCCCUGCACAGGGAAGGCCCAGUAGCAUCGAGACGUCCUCUAGUGUGGGGGUCAACUCACCGACCGGGAGGUGGAAGGUGUGCAUCUCCCGCCGCCACCAGUCCAGCAGAGCUGCUAGCAGUGACAUGUCGAACUGCAACCAUGUGGGUCUCUCGCCGCCACGUCAUGCUGAACUGUCGACCAUGUUGCCCUCCACAAGCCUAGCCAUAGGGAGAAGGCCCACCGCACUCAACCUGUACCACGAAAAAAAUUAAUUAGUUUACACAAAUUAAUCGUUGAACUUAACACGCAAGUAUUACUAAGUAUGAUGUACCUCGGGAUCUAACAUCGGUCGAUUGGCAUGGUCGCAAGCGGGAUACAAGCCCGAAACGUGCCUAGGGGGGUACCAACUACGGCUGACUGGAACGACCUGUGCUGGACGUCUAAGGUAGGGUCAAGCAACUCAGGGGUCUAGUACCCAUGUGAACCUGGGUGUGCCGCCAUACCUGCAACACAAGUAUUGAAAGAAAUAAAGAACUGAACACGUAAAGGAAAUAUAACAUUGCAUUACGUUACUGUCGUUGUCAAGAUUAGCGGGUCAAGACUUACACUAGUAAAUUUCUUUUAUGCGUGUAAGGCUUCGGAUGGUGGCGUGGGAGACACGGGGUUUAGACUGGUUCGGGCAAGGGAAUACCCUAUGUCCAGUAUCGGGAGCUGCUCGUGUUGCCCACGGGGGGUUCUGUAGUAGGGGUUACAGGAGUGUGAGAGAGGGAGCUGAUCCCAGGUCUCUUGGGUGUGCACUAAUGCUCUAAGUGAGUGUGAGUGUGUUCUGUUGGCCUGGAAGCCUCUUCCUUGUCUCAGGCCCCCGAUUCCUCUUUUAUAGCGUAAGGAGGCCACCGGAGUUACAGGUGAGACCGAGUGUGGGGAGCGGUAAAGAGAUAAAUAUGGCUAGGUAAAAAAUACAACGCGAAGGGGGGAGCAAGUUCCCAGGUCACCGACGUCCUCGCCGGCCUUCGGGUUCCACCGGCGCGUUUGCCGGAAGAGGGUGGCGGCCGCUGCAUCCUGUCGAUGGCUUCCUCGGUGACUGUAGCCACCGGACAUGAUGAUGGUGUUUCGUCGUGACCCCCGUGUCUGUUGGGGGAGGCGGCAGAUCUUGCCAUCCUGCUGACGGCCCGCGGAGAGCGGACAUCGCAUCUCUGCCGCCGGGCGCGCGGGGCAUGAGAGCGGGCGAGGCUUCCUCCUGCUCUGGGCGGUGCAGAUCAUGAGUGCCCUGUGGCCAAUCGGAGAACGCCGCAGCUACUGUAGCAAGUACUGUGCGGCCGCGCAUGGGUACUUGCGAUGGGUUGCGUGGGGGCGCGGAUAUCCUUCCUUCUGACAGCUUUGCGGUGCAUUUAUGGUGGAAUCGACAGGGGGACCCACGAGAUCCGCGCCCGAGGCGGAUACUUAUCUGGUGGGCCCAGGUCAGCCCGACCUCCUAUGCUUGGGGUCGGGCGAAGCGGAGGCCUGCGGCGGGGGGUCGGACGCUCCCGACCCCGGACCUACGGUCGAGCGAGGCGGAUCUUGGUCUCACAGGGGUUGGGGAUGCCUAACCCCAGGAUACCGGGUCGGGCGAGGCGGAGCGUGAUUCUCGUCCCCCGUGUUGGGCCGACGGCAGUCGUUAUUCCCUCAGGCGGGCCCAGGGCUUUGCGUCUUUGUUGUUUCCAUGGGCUACGAAGGGUCGUUAAUAUUUUCCCCCGACAGUUACAUUGCAAAUAAACAACAUAACUUUACAGCACAUACGAGUCAUUACAAAUAGAAGGGUCCACGAUAAAUAUUACAAUACGUUAUGUCCUUGUCCACAACGACAAAUAAACAUUACAUUACAGUACCUAAGGACCACAACUCAAGUUACAAUAACACAACUCAAGAUAGGCAGUACAUUACAUUACUAGUUAUUAGAUGCAGCUUGAGUGCUCGCACUUCCAUACGUCGUUGCCGAGCAGUUCUUGUAGGUGUGACCGGCUUCAUGGCACUUGGAGCAUAGACGGACAUCAGGACCUGCUUCAGAUUGAUCCAUGUUGUUACGGAUAUGCCUAUUCCCGCAUCGCCCCACUCCUUGGCACAUUUCUGGAUCAGGAUCAGGAAUGUAGCAGGCGGCAUUCCUAGGAUUAUUGAUAAAGUCUGCCAGUAAAUGAUAUCCAUAAACCUCGUUCCUCCAAGUUUGCCAUAUGGUUUCUUUGAGAAAAUAGUCCGGCACAAAACGAUGGGGUUGGAGGCCCCUCGCCUCGAAGCAUGCAGCAAUGACAUGGGUGCAAGGCCUGUGAAGCAACCUUGGAUUCUAGCAAGAGCAAACACACCCUUCAUUCCUGAGGAUGCAUUCAUGUGUGUGUCUCUCGCGCCUCUCGCCCAUUUGAACUUUGUGCCUGCAAAAAACUUCGAACCGGCGUUCCACGGCUCCCACUUCUUUCACACGAUGCAAAUGAGCUUUCUUAAUUGCUUCCUCCAUGUACUCUGUCAUCUUGUACCUAAAUAUUAUGUGGUUGUCGCGCCCAAUUGGUACCUUUCCUUGAAAUACUUCAUGGUGCGGUAAAAGUAAAAUUCCACAAUACCAACAAAGGGCAGGCCACGAACACCACGCAGGACCCAAUUGUAAACCUCAACCAGGUUUGUCGUCAUUAUACCCCACUGUGCACCUCUGUCAUCAAAGAGUAAUGCCCACUUUUCCUUCGGUUCAUUCUCAAUCCACUGUGAGAAGGUCUUGAUAGAUCUUCCCCGUCUUCGCCUGACAUUUGGACCGUCGAGCCCGGCAUCCUCCAGAGACACAGGUUGGUCGGCCUCACUAUUGACCGCCCUCUUCGCUAGUUCCUCGUAUUGCUUCUUUGUGAGGUCCUCAAGUUUCUUCCACAACAGGUUGAACUUCCUCUCCUGAUUCUGGCUGUACAGGCGCUUGAACAAUUUCAUAAGGGUCUUAUUUUUGAAUUGGUUGUGAAAGUUCGCACCCAGAUGCCUCAUGCACCACCUACUCUUCAAGUCCGGCCAUAUCGGUGCCCUGAAACGCUAUUGACUUCCAUUCUGUAGGUCGUCGAUUGCUUGUAUAAUGUCUUUGUGCCAAUCAUGAAUGAGACAGACCCCCUCGACGUCCAACACAAUCAUGUUCUUCACCCUCUCGAGGAACCAGUACUAGCUAUCUCCAGACUCCUUCUCCACAAAAGCGAUCGCAAGCGGCAACACCUGAUUGUUGCCAUCAGUCCCAAUAGCUGUCAAUAUUGUCCCUUUGUACCUUCCAGUCAGAAAUGUGCCAUCAAUGCAAAUGACCGGUCGAUAAAGUCGGAAAGCCUGAAUGCAAGGACCCAAUGCAAGGAAUGACCGCUGUAAGAUCUGUUUGCCUGGAAACUAAAGAACAGGAUAUGCUUUCAAGUCGUAGAAGCUUCCAGGAUUUCUCUGACAAAUGGUGUGCAACAAGGCAGGGAGGUUGUCGUAGGAUGCUCCAAACGUACCCCACUUCAUCUCAAGCGCCUUCUGCUUAGCACGGUAAACUUUGUUGUAGCUGAUCUUGUACUUGAAUUUCUCCUCUAUGGCACAGAUAAUGGACUUAGGCUCAAAGUUUGGAUUCUCCACUAUCUGAGGGUACUUGUAUUGAGCAACAAAUUCAGCAGUGAGGUUGCAGUGUGUUACUUCCAAUUCAGCCAACAAGCAUUGGUGCUCAACCACUAUAGUCACCUCCCAGUAAUCCUUCCAUUUGCCCUUGUAUGCAUGCACCCUGAAUGGGCAAUCACUUCGCACACACCGGACAUCAUACACCUUCGGGCUACUCUUUUCCACCCUGAACUGACGCUGCAAACACAAAGUGGACCAUCUCUUAGCCACCUUCACUUCAUCCCCACUUUGGUAUACAGUCCCCACGCAUACCUCAUUCUCCCUGUACUCCCAAGGAAUAUUUUUCCAACAUUGACCUGUAGGGCGGAAUGGUCAUAAUUUGACCAAUUUCGCGGUACAGGAUAAUCGUCUUCCUCAUCGGACGAGUCCUCAUCCACGGCACCAUUGGCCUCUCCUCCUUCCAUAUCCAUCUGCUCUACUAACUCAGAAAUUCCUUCCCUCUUCCCCCUCCUCCUCCUCCUCUCUUCCCUCCUCCUCCUCCUCCUUUCUUUCUUUUUUUUCUUCCCUCCUCCUCCUCUCCUCUCUUUCUUUUUUUUUCUUCCUUCCUUUCCUCUUUCUCUUCUCUAGCUCGCGCUGCCUGGCGCUCGCUCUGGUACGGGGGAGGGGAGGGACGCGGGCGGCUUUUGUAGGGGCGACUGUCGCCGGCCCUUACCGCCGCCUGGGCCGGCGACAGUACCUCGAAUCGCGCGCGGCAGUUACGACGCCUGCUGACCAUUAGGCGGGACGGCCCCGCCACCGGCGGUAAGGCCUUAUCGCCGGCCCAACCAACGGCAAUAGCCUAGAUUUGUAAUUUUUGACUAUAUAUUUUUGCAAAAUUGAAAAAAAAUAUAAAAAUAAAAAAAUUCUAUAAGUAUGGGCUGCGGAAGCGACCAUUCAAUUCAUUAGCAGAUCCUUUAUAAAAAAAUCAUUAGCAGACAAUCAUGCGGCCCAGCCCAACUGGUAAGGGAAGGAAGACACCCUGGUGGGCCUGGCAUUCCCCUUCUCUCUCUUCACCAGCCUUCAAUUCAAAGAGGCCUGCUAAACAUACAUGCAAUCCUGCAAAUCUCCUUUUUUUUUUCUGGAAGGGCAGUUAGACGGACGGGGCCGUGCAUUCAAAGCGCUGGCCCAGCCCAUUGCCUUCCAGUCAUAUGUCGCCCAGCCCAAUCUAAGAGAAGGAAGACUCCUGCCUGGGCCUGCCGUUCCACUUCUCUAUCACCAGCAGACUGCUAAAAUUUAAUGCAUUCCUCUGAAUUCUGAAUUACUCACUGUUUCAAUUUGUAGAUCGUUUUAAUUUUUUUAAAUCACUAGGAUCGUGCCCGUGCGUUGCUACGGGCAGCAAAAAAAAAUUAUUACAAUACACGAAGAAAUCACCAAGAUAACAAUAGUUUGAAAAUAAGCACGAACAUUUAAAAUAUAUUUAAUCCAAGAACUUAGUUACUGAAUUUAACAUAGCUAGGUAGAGCAUGGUAUCAAAGGUCGACCAACUCUACUGUAUAUUUUUUCCUAUGAUAUGACUAAGAUAAUGUUUUAUAUAAGUAGGAAGAUGUCUCUGCUAUCCAUUAAUUUCGUGUGCAAGUAAAUCCCGAAGAAAUUCCGCCGCAUUAUCCUCCCAUCAUGUACUAUAACAUGUGAUAACAUGUGAGGUUGUUAACAAAAAUAUUGAGUCAUUGGUCUUCCGAGGAAGUCUCCAAGCAGGAAAGAUUCUAGGUGUAGCCCCAUGGGUUGCUACGGGAGAAAAAAUUCAAUGCAAAAAAGAGUUAACUUGCCAAUGAAACAAGCAAUCUUGAACCAUGUAAAUUUGCAUCGAGGAAACAAAAAAUUUGCUCCUCAAAUAUUAUUUUCUCUAUACAUCAGAUCGGGGCGAAUCAUUGAAAUGUUGAUAGCUGAUGGGAAAUUUACAUUCUUUGAUUUUGAAACAUAAUUAAUUUAGAAGUAGCUUGGGUAUAAGAGAAUGGCUUAUAACUCAUUACAUAUUUAUGUUCUACAGUUUAACAAAAGAUUGAAGUAUUAACAUAGCAAUAUCUCGUAAGGUACUCAUGUGGUACAUAAAUUCUAUUCUACGUACGUGCAUGUGGGUGUGGGUGUGUGUGUGUGUGUGUUUCCAUGCCAAGUAUCUUGAGGGCCGGCGAGGGGGUAGAAAUUCAUCUUCCUCUCGCAUUCCUUGCAUAGGCAAAGAUACUGUCACUGCAACAAGAGUAUGCAUGCCUCACUUGACUUACAGAACCUGCAGGGCGUCAAAUCUUUGGGUUACCUGUUACCCUUCAGCAUCAGUUGCAAAUUGGCAAGACCGUUGUUGCAACAGGACGUUGUGUGUCUACCUUGCUAUCACCACAACCUUCCUUAAAAUUCUUGCUCCGAUGAGUACAUACAUCCUUCACUCCAAGUUGUACUUGGCCCUUUGCUGCCAAGCACGAACCUCCUCUGCUUAAUCAGAGCAAAAUGUCAACCUGUUAAAGAAAAAGUCACAAAUGUUCAUUAGGCUGAUGUAUAAUCUCCUCUGCUUAAUCUCCUCGCAGAAGUAUAAUAAGUAAGGAAAUAUCAACAAGUUCAGUAAGGGUGUAUCAUCGGAAAUCAGUAAGAGUAGCCACAUGAUGUCAAAAGCUAGGGGGUACAUCUUAAUUCAAGCUCAAAUGACAAUUAGAAAACUGAAAUAACAACAUGCAAUUCUGCAAAUCAUACCAGCAUGGAUAACGCUCAACAAUGGCCUGCAUUUGGCUAACCACCCAUAACAAGUUUCGUUUACUCAUCUCUGGUGUGGAGCCGAAUCCAUCAUCUAGCAGCCCAGCAGUCUUCACAUGAUUAAGUGCAGUUUCCUGCAUCAAAUCCAGACUGUUUCAUUGACCGAUACUAAUUCACAACAAUCACGCCUGAAAAGUAACAAAUUCUCACCUGCAAAUGGUUCAUCAGUGUCUCUAUAGACGUUGUCCUAUCUGCCACAAUCUCAUAGGACCUAAUGGAGAAGUUCUGCCUGAACAUGAGCCCAUCAUGUAUGAUCCGGCCGAAGCCAAACGCCAAAGCCAACAUGAGCCCAAUGGUGUUGCCGGCGGCGGACUGGCUUGGUCGGAGGCGGCUGUCCUCUUUGCUGGUUCCCAUUUGCUUAGGGACCUCUGCUGGCCAUCGUCCCGAGCAGUGAGGAGGGGAAGUACGGGCCGCCACACAGGGGACGUCGUCCAGGUGGAGAUGUCGAGGUGCUGCCGCCAUGAUCCAUGGGGAGCGCCCCUGAUUUGUUGCCGGAGAUGGAUGGGGCCGUCGCCGAUCUUUGCUGUAGAUGGCCGUCGCCGCUAAAGCUGCCCAGGCGGCUGGCCGCCCUCCGCGCCGCGCCGAGCUGCCGCCCCGCUCGGCCCCCCCUCGCGCCGCAGCCGUCGCCGAAGCAGCUGUCCCCGGGGCGCCCCUCACCAGACACCGGUGGACGUGGUCGGUGAGAAGUGAGGGGCGGCGGCGGAGGAUGCGAGCGGCGGGUGCGGUGGGGAAGUAGAGAGAGGCGAUGAUGAUGACACCGCGGCUCCUGCCGGCUCCGCAGCGACGACUUCAUUUCACCGUCGUCGCCCUCCUCCUUCCGGCGGCCGGAGCCCCCAACCGGCCCAGAUCUGGCGCGCACGCCCAGCCGCCGCUCCCAAAGCGGCCUCCUUUGGUCGCCCCCUCGAGGGUCGAGGCGUAGCGGCAGUCGCGACCGUCCCACGCGCCGCGAACCGCGAGCGCCCAAGUGCGGGGGAGGGCAAGCGGUGCGACAGCAGGGGCGGCGAGCAAGCGGUUUGGGUGGAGAUUGGAGAAGGGGAGGCUGCAGGGGCGGGGCUGGUGGGGAUGCGGCAGGGGUGGCGAGAGUCGGGGAUCGUUCGGCGUGGACGGCGCGGAGGGAAGCUGACGCCGGAUUGGACGGAGGGAAGCGGACGGGCGGAAAAAAGGAAUCGGAGGGCGCCGAUUCAUUUUAGCGCAGGACGAAGCGAGCGGAGGAAAAGACAGUACGACAAAAAGUCACCCUUUUGCUUUUUUCCAAGUAGAGACAGGUAUUAUUACGUAUCUUAUGUCUAUAAAUUUAAAAGGUUAAGACUACCUGCAAUUUAGAAUAGAGGGAGUCCCAGGCAAAUUUCUGUCAAAAACUAAACGAAGAAAAGGGCUACACUUCGGAUGAUUAAAAAAAUAAAUAAAAUAUUUAUUUUCAAUAAAACUGAAACGGCUUACAGGCACGCGAGGACGCGCGUGAACGAACAGACGGGGACGUAUCUGAAUCUGAUGACUCCGUGGUGCAUUCCUUGGGAACCCCUUUUCCUUGAACCGCUUCUCAUCCACAUAGUAGUCGUAUCAUGUGCUUCUCCUGCGCUUCCUUGUCCAGCCGCCACUCGAACCAUGCCGAUUCCGGCCGCUCGUCGCCGCACCAUGCCACGUUGGGCGACGACGGCACGCACGGCGUCACGCGGAGGUCCCGGUAGUAGGCGUAGAAGAGCGCCUGCGUCCAGUCCGUCUUGACGCGGCCGCCCAGUGUCGCUAACUCGUCGGCAUUCAACGCAGUAGAGAACUGACUUUCGAUCCCUUUAGUCCCAGUUAAUCCCCUUUAGUUCCAGUUUAAUGUAGGUUUGCUGAGUGUUUUUAGGUUUGCCGAGUAUUUUUUUGACACUCGGCAAAUAAGCUCUUUGUCGAGUGUCUAUCUAACAACACUCGGCAAGGAAAAAAUACUCCGCAAACAAGGGGCUUUGCCGAGUCUAAAAAAACACUCGGCAAAGAGGGGUUUGCCGAGUGUUUUUUGGCACUCGGCAAAUCAAUAAGUUUUUUUUUCUUCUCACCUUGAAAAUUUUUCUACUCCCCACAUACAACAUGUGGUACUCCAUGUUAAAAUUUGGUAUAAUUUUAGAUUUGUUCGCUAUAUUUAAUUAAUUAACUGCAUUUCAAGAAAAUUUUUGGUAUAAGUCAAAUUUGAACUGCAAGUGAUUCAAAUUAUAGAAUAAAAUGAGUAGAAAAAUGAUAUUCAUGUUAUUUAGUCCAGUGUCAGGCUUUACCCGGGAAAUGAAAAGAAAUUUCGAACAUUUUGUUCAGAAAAUACGACCACGAACGUGUGACCGAAUGGUUUUCUAAAUUGUAAAAAAAAGCAAACGAAGUCUGAAAAAUUUUGAGAUUUAUCAUGAUGUGAUGAUAUCAUACGUGGAGGUUAUGGUAAAAAAUUGAGAAGGUUACGCACAUUUCAUCACGUACGAUGUUUACAAACCGAAGCAUCUAAGAAGAAGAUUCGUAGAGUUAAGAAGGAUUCGAUAAGAAUUGGAGUCAGAGUGACGGCUGAGUUUUGGUUUGACUACAAAACUUUUUGUAUAGGUAAUAGAGAACAUAUAUUUUUUCAUGUGAAAUUUUGAUAAUUUUUUGGAACCGUUGGAUAAUUUUAAUAUAUUAAGUGCAAUUAUACAAUUUUAAUUGAUAUAAAUUUAAUUUGAGCUAUAACCACAUAAAAUAAUGGAAUAAUAUGAGUAGAACAAUUAAAUAUAUAUUGUUGAGUGAAUUUGAUGAAUUAUUUUCAAAGUGUAUCCAAGAAAAUGUAGAAGAAAGUGUUAUGGAAAAGAAGGAAAAAUCAAAGAAAAAAAAGCUAUAUGCACAAUAAUCUUUACUCGUACAUAUUUUCUGUACAGCCAUGUACAAAGUUCAGCUCACUGUCAAGAGGUACACCAUACGACUGCAAGCUCAAAGAAUAGAAGAUUAUUACACACCACCCAAACUCUACCUUUUGUACAUCAGGUGCUCGAGAAACAUACAUUGGACGAGUAGAAUAAAAGUUAUAAAUCAUAUCAACAAUCCCAGUUAAAUACGGUGUUUCCGAAACAACCAACCGUUCUUGGGCGUAAUCUUCCUGACACUAUCCUGGAGAAACUAGAGCGUGCCUGGAGACAUGUGAGCCCUGUCCAUUGUGUUAACCUUCGCCGCCUUUCGAGGGGACAAGGCACACUGCAUUGCCCAGAUUGCAAGGGGGCGCAUGUAUAUCAAUGACCUAUAGUGGCCAUCCACUGUCCAUGCUUCUGGAGUUUGAAACCAGUACCUGAAUUUGUCAAGGAAAUUGAUUAUUAAUUAUUAGCAUAAAUAGGUCCAAUAAUGUGACUCCAUUUCUGUUACGAAACAAAUCGAUGAAUGCGCUGAAUCCAAGAUAGUGCGAUCAUAAAAGAACUAUAUCCAUUGCCAGUAACAAUAAAUAAUCUUAGCAGUCUUAAGCAGCAUUAAGUUCGCAUACAGCAGGAAAAUGUACAGUAAUAUCUAAACCCUUUAUGACUUUAUCUCAUACUAUUACUUAACCAUUGUCAUCUCAAAGGACGAACUAGUAUAUGAGAACUACUCACAUUACUAUGCAUAUCAUGUACCGGGAAAAUGAUGCUAGGACUGGAACUUCUAUAUAGCGAAACAAAACAAGAUGCAUACUCAUAGCCCUCUUCAGACCAUCCUGAAAUAUAAAUGCCUUCUGCAGCAGUGAAGGCCUGAUGCUCCAUUCCAUGAAGCAGCAUCGUUGCAGCUAAACUAUAUGUUACUCCUGUCCAUAUUUCCGUUGACUGCAUACAGGUUUCAUCUACCUUCCCGUUCGGAUGCAUACCGUUCACGGCUCCCAUACGUCCUCCUUUCACCCUCAUCACAUUAUAGUCAAAUAUUUUCUGAAGCGUGCAUUUUAUCCUAUCCUCAUCAAAUAGAGGAUGAUGCAGUAUACCAUUGUCCAGCCAGCUGGUCUGCCUGGAUAGAACGGCUACUGUAACUUGUUCCACCGUCAUAAUUGAAGUAUGAACAAUUCCAGAAUCUGGCUUCAAAUACGGAUUUAGCUUUUGCAAAUCUUACCAUGCACCUCUCAGCAUAGUCAUCAUGUCCAAGGCUGCGGGCCAGUGCGGCUGCAGCUUGCAGUGCAGUUCGAAGGCAAAGGCAACCAGUACGCACUUACUCCUUGAACUAUCCAAGCAUCAUAAGUUUGAUCAGGAAAUCCAUCAUUUUCAAUCAUACCAUCACUAUCAUGAUCAAAUUGUUCCAUAUAUUCCGUAGCAGUACAAACUGCAGGCCAGACGUCCUUGCCAAAUGACAUAUCACCUGUUGCAGAAAAAUCUCUGUAAAUCUGAAGCACGAACUUGUGUCAUGGAUGUUGUAAGCAUUCAAUUCACGCCAUUGAUCAUGUGCUCCAAGGUCACGGGCGACAGCACCAAUUACUUUACGAAUCCCCCAGGUACCAUCAGCAAGAAAUCUGACUCUACUGUUAUCUUCCCGCAAAACAGCUCUUGCAAAAUCACGUUGAAUGCUUAAUUCAAUCUUAGGAAACAGAUCCAAAAGAGCAAAAGAGGCAUAGCAAUGUACAUUGUAAGUGCACCACAUGAAGUACUCUAUUCCUUCCAGGUACAAAAACUUCCCAACGUUUUCUUUGUCAUCGAUCUCAUGUGGGUCAAAACCGAUUAGGGGAGCUGUAGAAUUGCAACUGCUAUCACGAAGUGAUGAAUCACUGUCCUCAAGGAGACUUGAAUUUGACUUGUUAUCAGCAUCAACCACCAAAGAUUCACUAUCUGUCAUGUUCGGAAAUAAAAAGGUUUCACUAUCUCAGAGUAAAAACAAUACAACAUACAGAUACCGAAAGUUGCAAAUGAUCAUCAGAUUAGUAGUUGUAAAAAUUAAAGUAUCAUUUUUGUAUUGUCACCUUCUAUGAGAGAAGGUAAUCAGACCAAUAAAUUGACAGCCCAGAAGAUCAGAACAUUGGGAUUUGUAUCUAGAGAUAUUCUGCUCUUGAAUCAAUCUAGUAUUAUGUUUCUCUUUACUUUAUUCCAAAAUAAUUUGAUCAUUAAAAAUAGAAUCUACAUAUCAACAACAUGCACAUCACAAAUUUUUCAAGCAAUGCUUUCAUAGUAACAUGGUCAAAGCAGUACUCCAUAAAGAAUUUAUAGUGAAUAUGGAUCAUUGAAGGACAGAAGAAGAAAACUUAAUGUGCAUAUUGCCUAUUUAUUUUAUACUGCUUCCCAGAAGAGAACACUCAAAUGGAAGCUAAACGCAGGAUAAUCUCUUAGAAAAUGCUAAGUUAAUUGCUGAAUUCCAGUAAUGUAUAUAUCCAAAAUCAUCAAGCUCUUUGUGUUACUUGCAGGCUAAAUACGACUGAGAGUAGAAAAUUGGAGAAAGGAAAAAGAGUAACAAUACAUGCAGAGAUUAGUACCAAUCCAAACAGUUCCUCCAGCAACUAAGAAGUACAGCUCAUUGAAGAGAGUAAUCAGUCAAACAGGUUAGCAUAUAGUUAUGAGACAUUGGUUAUAUGCAGAUGAAGGAAAACGUUAACAUGCAUUGUCCAACAACUCUUCAAGGUUUCUACUAAAGGAAUCAAGAAGUAUUUUUUUUAACAACUGACUUGAGUUGUCUCAAUCCCAAUUUGGUUUUGUCAUGAUUGUCACCAAGUUAGGAAUAAAGAAUUUACCUGUAGUAUGCACUUCCUUUUUUAAAUUUAACCUUAGGAGAAGACCAAGCUAAUGCGGAUACGACUGUACAUCUUCCAUGUGGUUCAACCCAGGUGGAAGCAGAAACUGCUGCACAAACUGUAUCACCCAGUGAAGAAAGCAUGCUGGCACCAGCAUUGAAAUUAUCUCGCUCAAAGGAACCAUACUUUACACAUUGAAACUUCAAUCAUUUCAUUAUUUCAAAAAGGAAAGUAGUUCCACACAAGAUUUGCCUUUGAUGCGCUAGAAUACAAUAAUCUCAGAAACAAGAUUGUUUGGGUUUGGGCACAUUUUGGUCAAUACCCCAGGUUUCAGCACGCCCGUGGGCCGUGGUAACAGCAAUGAAUGGGCCAUCGUGGCCACCUGACUCGCCCGCCUUCAUAUUGUCACCCAUGAACACAAUGCCAGAUGCAUUAAAUGGAGGAAAUUCAGAGCGUGUAGACAUUGCUUCAGGUUCAACUUCAAUCCAUUGUCCAGUUUCAUGCUUCUGCUUCCACAGUUCAACAAAAUGGGAACAUGCCUUCCUAUUCAAUCAGCCAAAUUGAGGAAGUUAGCAUGAAAGAUGUCUGAUAAGAUGUACGUUAUAGUUUGAUGAAAUGACUAAACUUGUGUCGUUGUACAAAUUGAUGAACAAGUUCAAGAGAAGUAUUAAGACGGGAGCAUGGAAUAGUACAGUUUUCCACAGCUCAUGUUUCUCGUCUGAAUAAACCUUAUAAAACAUCUGAGGUAUCCACACUAUCCUGACAUGCUAAAGCAGAUGAUACAAGCGACAUGGGUAGGAGCCUCAAGAUCAAGCUAAAAGUACGAAAGAUAUUACGAUAACUAGCUCAGUCUAGCAUACAAAAACACUUGAGUAGUCUCAUUAUUCUUUGUUGCUCAGGAAAUUUGGAAGCACAGAAAUAGCCCGAUCUUCCGAUAGGUAUGGAUAAUUCGAUUGGUGGAGAACUCGAUGCUGAUAAUCCGAGCUUCUAAUCAGACACGAUUCGAACCCCUGCAACCGCUACACUGUUGCUCCGUUGGUUAUCAACCAAACACAACUCGAUUGACCUCGCCAAGAAGUUUUUCCCUGCAAGCGAAUCGAAAAACAUAAGAAAAAAGUAUAAACACGCAAUCUAAGAUUGCAGAUGUAUAUAAUAGAUCUAAGUAAAAGGUUCAAGCCCUCGAUUCAAAAGGACCAAUCGACACUAUCGAGGAGAUCGAGAACAGGAGCCUUGAAUCACAGUGAAAGGGCUUGUCGCCACAGUUACAAUAUAUUAAUCUCAGUUUCUCAAAGGAGAACUAGAACUAAACAAAACCCGAGUCUCUUAGGUGGGGGAGGCUACUAAGUUUAUAUGAAAAAGGGGCAAGCUAGGGUUGGGGACGACCAGGAGAGGGACGCCUACAACAUGGGCUUAAAGCCCGACUCAACUUGGCCCAAGUAACAUAUAUAUAAAUUAACAAGUAGAGAUACUAUACGAAUUAACCAAACUAAAACUAUAUAUAGUAAAUGGGCACGGGCUAAAAGUAAUAUAUGAUUUUGAGCUAAAUAAAUAUAGGGUUGGGUUGUGAAGGAGAUAUGGAUCUCGUAGCCACGAGUGAACCUGAGAGCUUAAAAAAACAGAGAGCGCCACACAUCGAUUAAAAGGUGGGCCGAAACAGAUAAAAGAUAAAAAAAGAAUCAUAUCGGCCCACAAUGAAAUGUUAAACAGAAGAACGCAAAUCUUGAAAACAUAUGGGUCGUUCAAAACCGACGGGCUAAUCUUUCUACGUGCUGGGCUGAUCCCAUGUGGGCCGAUACAGACACGUCAGGACAAGAAGACCCACCCGGCCAGGCCCAGACGCAGGAGACAAGAGAUUGAAGAGGAUAGAUCGAAUCAAUAGCCAACUCCUCUCGUCGUCCUCGUCUCCAAAUCGAGGCAUACCCCAACCCUAGCCAUCCCCAAUCCGGCCGCCGCGUCUACCGAUCCGUUAGAUCCAUGGCCGCCGCCGCCGCCGCCGCUGCCGGCGACUCCGCUGUACCCAACUGGGUGAUGCUGGAGCGCUGGGCCUUCCGGAGGGACGACCCCGCCUCCUUCCGCGAGGACAGGAGGACCUUCGCUUCCGGCACCACCUCCGCCGGCACUCAAUUCGACGUCUCCUUCAUCCUCGCCGAGCCUCCCACCCCCUCGCGCCUCUACCUCUCGUGGCCGGAAGGGCCCAAGAAGGGGGGCCAGGGCCUGGUCAUGGCGGCCAACCGCAACCUCGUCCUCUUCAGGCUCGACUCCCUCGUCGACGAAUCCGAGCCUUUCGGGGAGGUAGUGCAUGAUUACUUCAUCUACAUAGCUGAUCCCUCCUCACAGCAGACACCCCUGCUCAGACUGCUGCCCCCCUGCACCGAGUACAACGUUUAUUUUGAGAUGCAAGAUACUCGCGCGUUUCCGGUGCUGGCUGUUGGUCUGUUGUGCCAUGGCGAAGACGAGUUUGCCGUGGCGCAUCUGACCAUCAGGUCUCGCAAAAAAAAAUCAGGGUCUCGCAUAAAAAAAUCAGCUAUGCAAGCUGAGCUAUGCGUGCUACGCUCGUCAUUGUCCUGCAGUGAUGAUGCCAAAUGGGAGACCAAGGUCGUUCCGCUACAGUACCAAUACGAUGAUUUAUACUAUGAUUUUCUGAACUGGGAAGUGGAUGGUGUAGUUCCCUUCAAGAAUGCCUUGUGCUGGGUUAACUACUGUAGAGGCAUCCUUUUCUGCGACGGCGUCUUUGAAGACAGACCCAAGGUCUCCUACAUCCGCUUGCCUCUGGAUACUUCUUUCCGAGGGACUGGGACUGAUGCCGAUGCACUCAAGGGGAUGUACCGUGGCUUGUGUGUCACUGAAGGUGGCCAUCGGUUGGUAUUUGUUGAUGUUGCCCGUCAUGAUGGAAAAUGUUAUGGCCCGAGGAUGCCCAACACUGGUUUCACCCUCACCUCCCGGACAUUGAAGAUGACAGGGAAUUGCACCAUGCCGUGGGAGUGGAAUGAGGAUGCUGUUGUCACUUCAGAUGAACUAUGGCAUGCAAACACCAUGGAGAGUCUCCCUCAUGACAUUGUGAUGCUCCCAUUGCUGAGUAUGGAUAAGGCCAAUGUUGCGCACCUUUCAUUGCUUGACUGGGAUGGUGGCAGAUUCUCAUUAGUUUCCAUCGACUUGAGUAACAUGCAAGUGAUGGGCUCAGUCAUUACAUACCUCGAAGGGGAGGAUGAUCCUGCUGAUGCUGACAUCGUCAAGGCAAAGAAAGAAUUAUGUGCACACUUUAUUCCAUCCGAAUUCCCCAAGUUCCUGGGUCUCAGGUAACUUCAGCGUUGCCUCCCACUUUUACUUGAGCACAAUUUUUUUUCAUGCAGCCUUUUGCUCUCUUUUUUUCAGCAGUUAAGGUUUCUGCCAUGUUAUUCUUGAAACCUUUGAGGAAUCAACAGAAUGUGCUGGUUGCUGGGAGUAAUAUGGAUCAAUGUUUUCAAAUCUUUAUGUUGAGUCUAGUCGCUGGGGCACCAACUAGAUGGCUAAUCGUGACUAGGCAACGAUUAAAUUGCGAUUAGCUCUGAGACCAGUCGAUCCACCCUUGCCUAUAGUAGAGAAUGAUAGAGUAUAACACAAAGGUGACGAACUGAUCUCUUGGUUUGAGCCAACACAUAAUUGUUCUUUGUGGGUUCUUCAAUCUGAAAGUGCAUAAUAGCGUGCCAGCGUUGUGCUCUGUUUCCUUCACUAUUUUGAUUCUACAUGUCAAAUUAUUGAAAGGUUUUGUUCGGUUACCAACAACAUGGAUCCUUAGAAGUAGGUGGCACCCAGCGAAUCAGCAUCAUAUCGAAGAACCCCUAGGUCUUCUAAACAAACUGGCUGGAAUUGUGGAAAUCAAUUGAACUUAAUUAUAUCCAUAGUGCCUUCCUUGUAUAUCAUGUUUCAUUCAGCCAGUAGUAACCUCAGCAACUUGACGGUCUUGGGAAAUUAGGCAAUGGUAGUCUGCCCGAGGUUAAUAUAAAUGUUUCACAGCUUAAUCUGUUGCCUAACUGUUGCUUGUCACGUUGAUUCCAAAAUCGACCAUAUGCUAAGUUAUUUUUUCUGUAUGAUGUCCGAGACACCUGAGAAUCUUUUAUAAUUCUUGGUAACCAUGGAUACUGUCAAAAUAACUUCAGCAAUGGGUGAAUCUAAGACUAUGGGAAGCCUAAAUUUCAAUUUGUACAGAUUAUCUCUGCUGAAAAAUUGUUGAAAUCAUCAGCAUGUGCUGUAGCUGACAAUUAUUGUUUCCUAUUUGUAUUGAUGAAGUUCUUGCUACUGUAUUGCAGGGAGAGAGAGAACCAUCCAUAAGUCCUGUCACCAUAUCGGCUGGCCACCGUCGUCAUGUGUGUUGCUUCUUCAUUUUCCGGUUCUUAGAUGACGUUGUGCUGGAUUCUACUGCCGACUUUGUUGAUUGGCUACUUCAAUUCUGAGUUUAGUGCUCAGCCUUUGUGUGUUCCCUGCACUUGUGUACUAUAAAUAGCCAGGAAAAACACCUUUACCAGGCUCAUCCGUUGAACUAUAUGAUAAUGCUAGAUGAUGUGUCCAUGCCUUGCUAACGUCUUCUAAAUGCCAUGCGAGUUAAAAAUCCUGCAAUCAUGUUUCAUGGUAGCUUACCUUUGCACAAUGAAACUCCUCACUAAAAACACAGGUCAAUUUGAGGGACUAUUGUGUUAUUUUUACAGGGAUCUAAUGCCAUCAAUCAAAUUGUAAAAUACAGACAGGUGCGCGUGGAAUGGACACUUGUGUUCAUUCAGAUUUUUGUGAUAUUUCAUACCUAAUGAUUACCAGGUUGUCACGCCCCUACAUGCAAAAUUGGUCUACGAGAUGGGAUAUGAGCUCAAAAGGACGUGAGAGCUGUAUUAUCAUGUAGCUCAUGACCUGGCAGAAGUGAAUAGUUGCACGAAAUACAACAUUGCAAACAAGGUUUUAUUCAUUCUCUCUGCCGAUGGCACACGGUAGCAGAAGCAGUGCCACCAAUUGGUGAAAGAUUUUCAGUAAACUGAGUGUUUGACAGAACAAUAUGAUGCCACCAAAGCAAUCUGCAUGAGUUCUCUACCUCCGGAAGUCCAGAUGCUUGCUCUGUUUCAUUGCUGUAGCUCAUGGCAACUCUGGCAGCACCAUGGUCAUUUGCUGCACCAUUUUUCAGAAUAUGUAAAAUUCAAGUCAUACCAUGCAGUUGAUGGAGAUAAAGAUAUGCUCCAAAUGAAAUGAUUAAAAAAACAAUCAUAUUUAUUCUUCAGGCACCACUGGAACUCAUUCCCGAUGUCACUUGUCUCUGCCUGUGCCUACAUCGAGGAAGUAGCAUGCGAAUGAGAAAGAUGAAGAUAAGUACCAAGAGGUAAAUGUAUUCACUUGUCUCUGCAUGUGCCUACAUCGAGGAAGUAGCAUGCGAAUGAGAAAGACGAAGAUAAGUACCAAGAGGUAAAUACAUUCUUGAGAUAAAUAGAUAAAUAAAACCAAGGACCAGCGCGUGAAAAUAAGUACUCCGUUUAAGAUACUAUAUGCACAAUAAUCUUUACUCGUACAUAUUUUCUGUACAGCCAUGUACAAAGUUCAGCUCACUGUCAAGAGGUACACCAUACGACUGCAAGCUCAAAGAAUAGAAGAUUAUUACACACCACCCAAACUCUACCUUUUGUACAUCAGGUGCUCGAGAAACAUACAUUGGACGAGUAGAAUAAAAGUUAUGAAUCAUAUCAACAAUUCCAGUUAAAUACGGUGUUUCCGAAACAACCAACCGUUCUUGGGCGUAAUCUUCCUGACACUAUCCUGGAGAAACUGGAGCGUGCCUGGAGACAUGUGAGCCCUGUCCAUUGUGUUAACCUUCGCCGCCUUUCGAGGGGACAAGGCACACUGCAUUGCCCAGAUUGCAAGGGGGCGCAUAUAUAUCAAUGACCUAUAGUGGCCAUCCACUGUCCAUGCUUCUGGAGUUUGAAACCAGUACCUGAAUUUGUCAAGGAAAUUGAUUAUUAAUUAUUAGCAUAAAUAGGUCCAAUAAUGUGACUCCAUUUCUGUUACGAAACAAAUCGAUGAAUGCGCUGAAUCCAAGAUAGUGCGAUCAUAAAAGAACUAUAUCCAUUGCCAGUAACAAUAAAUAAUCUUAGCAGUCUUAAGCAGCAUUAACUUCGCAUACUGCAGGAAAAUGCACAGUAAUAUCUAAACCCUUUAUGACUUUAUCUCAUACUAUUACUUAACCAUUGUCAUCUCAAAGGACGAACUAGUAUAUGAGAACUACUCACAUUACUAUGCAUAUCAUGUACCGGGAAAAUGAUGCUAGGACUGGAACUUCUAUAUAGCGAAACAAAACAAGAAGCAUACUCAUAGCCCUCUUCAGACCAUCCUGAAAUAUAAAUGCCUUCUGCAGCAGUGAAGGCCUGAUGCUCCAUUCCAUGAAGCAGCAUCGUUGCAGCUAAACUAUAUGUUACUCCUGUCCAUAUUUCCGUUGACUGCAUACAGGUUUCAUCUACCUUCCCGUUCGGAUGCAUACCGUUCACGGCUCCCAUACGUCCUCCUUUCACCCUCAUCACAUUAUAGUCAAAUAUUUUCUGAAGCGUGCAUUUUAUCCUAUCCUCAUCAAAUAGAGGAUGAUGCAGUAUACCAUUGUCCAGCCAGCUGGUCUGCCUGGAUAGAACGGCUACUGUAACUUGUUCCACCGUCAUAAUUGAAGUAUGAACAAUUCCAGAAUCUGGCUUCAAAUACGGAUUUAGCUUUUGCAAAUCUUACCAUGCACCUCUCAGCAUAGUCAUCAUGUCCAAGGCUGCGGGCCAGUGCGGCUGCAGCUUGCAGUGCAGUUCGAAGGCAAAGGCAACCAGUACGCACUUACUCCUUGAACUAUCCAAGCAUCAUAAGUUUGAUCAGGAAAUCCAUCAUUUUCAAUCAUACCAUCACUAUCAUGAUCAAAUUGUUCCAUAUAUUCCGUAGCAGUACAAACUGCAGGCCAGACAUCCUUGCCAAAUGACAUAUCACCUGUUGCAGAAAAAUCUCUGUAAAUCUGAAGCACGAACUUGUGUCAUGGAUGUUGUAAGCAUUCAAUUCAUGCCAUUGAUCAUGUGCUCCAAGGUCACGGGCGACAGCACCAAUUACUUUACGAAUCCCCCAGGUACCAUCAGCAAGAAAUCUGACUCUACUGUUAUCUUCCCGCAAAACAGCUCUUGCAAAAUCACGUUGAAUGCUUUAUUCAAUCUUAGGAAACAGAUCCAAAAGAGCAAAAGAGGCAUAGCAAUGUACAUUGUAAGUGCACCACAUGAAGUACUCUAUUCCUUCCAGGUACAAAAACUUCCCAACGUUUUCUUUGUCAUCGAUCUCAUGUGGGUCAAAACCGAUUAGGGGAGCUGUAGAAUUGCAACUGCUAUCACGAAGUGAUGAAUCACUGUCCUCAAGGAGACUUGAAUUUGACUUGUUAUCAGCAUCAACCACCAAAGAUUCACUAUCUGUCAUGUUCGGAAAUAAAAAGGUUUCACUAUCUCAGAGUAAAAACAAUACAACAUAUAGAUACCGAAAGUUGCAAAUGAUCAUCAGAUUAGUAGUUGUAAAAAUUAAAGUAUCAUUUUUGUAUUGUCACCUUCUAUGAGAGAAGGUAAUCAGACCAAUAAAUUGACAGCCCAGAAGAUCAGAACAUUGGGAUUUGUAUCUAGAGAUAUUCUGCUCUUGAAUCAAUCUAGUAUUAUGUUUCUCUUUACUUUAUUCCAAAAUAAUUUGAUCAUUAAAAAUAGAAUCUACAUAUCAACAACAUGCACAUCACAAAUUUUUCAAGCAAUGCUUUCAUAGUAACAUGGUCAAAGCAGUACUCCAUAAAGAAUUUAUAGUGAAUAUGGAUCAUUGAAGGACAGAAGAAGAAAACUUAAUGUGCAUAUUGCCUAUUUAUUUUAUACUGCUUCCCAGAAGAGAACACUCAAAUGGAAGCUAAACGCAGGAUAAUCUCUUAGAAAAUGCUAAGUUAAUUGCUGAAUUCCAGUAAUGUAUAUAUCCAAAAUCAUCAAGCUCUUUGUGUUACUUGCAGGCUAAAUACGACUGAGAGUAGAAAAUUGGAGAAAGGAAAAAGAGUAACAAUACAUGCAGAGAUUAGUACCAAUCCAAACAGUUCCUCCAGCAACUAGGAAGUACAGCUCAUUGAAGAGAGUAAUCAGUCAAACAGGUUAGCAUAUAGUUAUGAGACAUUGGUUAUAUGCAGAUGAAGGAAAACGUUAACAUGCAUUGUCCAACAACUCUUCAAGGUUUCUACUAAAGGAAUCAAGAAGUAUUUUUUUUAACAACUGACUUGAGUUGUCUCAAUCCCAAUUUGGUUUUGUCAUGAUUGUCACCAAGUUAGGAAUAAAGAAUUUACCUGUAGUAUGCACUUCCUUUUUUAAAUUUAACCUUAGGAGAAGACCAAGCUAAUGCGGAUACGACUGUACAUCUUCCAUGUGGUUCAACCCAGGUGGAAGCAGAAACUGCUGCACAAACUGUAUCACCCAGUGAAGAAAGCAUGCUGGCACCAGCAUUGAAAUUAUCUCGCUCAAAGGAACCAUACUUUACACAUUGAAACUUCAAUCAUUUCAUUAUUUCAAAAAGGAAAGUAGUUCCACACAAGAUUUGCCUUUGAUGCGCUAGAAUACAAUAAUCUCAGAAACAAGAUUGUUUGGGUUUGGGCACAUUUUGGUCAAUACCCCAGGUUUCAGCACGCCCGUGGGCCGUGGUAACAGCAAUGAAUGGGCCAUCGUGGCCACCUGACUCGCCCGCCUUCAUAUUGUCACCCAUGAACACAAUGCCAGAUGCAUUAAAUGGAGGAAAUUCAGAGCGUGUAGACAUUGCUUCAGGUUCAACUUCAAUCCAUUGUCCAGUUUCAUGCUUCUGCUUCCACAGUUCAACAAAAUGGGAACAUGCCUUCCUAUUCAAUCAGCCAAAUUGAGGAAGUUAGCAUGAAAGAUGUCUGAUAAGAUGUACGUUAUAGUUUGAUGAAAUGACUAAACUUGUGUCGUUGUACAAAUUGAUGAACAAGUUCAAGAGAAGUAUUAAGACGGGAGCAUGGAAUAGUACAGUUUUCCACAGCUCAUGUUUCUCGUCUGAAUAAACCUUAUAAAACAUCUGAGGUAUCCACACUAUCCUGACAUGCUAAAGCAGAUGAUACAAGCGACAUGGGUAGGAGCCUCAAGAUCAAGCUAAAAGUACGAAAGAUAUUACGAUAACUAGCUCAGUCUAGCAUACAAAAACACUUGAGUAGUCUCAUUAUUCUUUGUUGCUCAGGAAAUUUGGAAGCACAGAAAUAGCCCGAUCUUCCGAUAGGUAUGGAUAAUUCGAUUGGUGGAGAACUCGAUGCUGAUAAUCCGAGCUUCUAAUCAGACACGAUUCGAACCCCUGCAACCGCUACACUGUUGCUCCGUUGGUUAUCAACCAAACACAACUCGAUUGACCUCGCCAAGAAGUUUUUCCCUGCAAGCGAAUCGAAAAACAUAAGAAAAAAGUAUAAACACGCAAUCUAAGAUUGCAGAUGUAUAUAAUAGAUCUAAGUAAAAGGUUCAAGCCCUCGAUUCAAAAGGACCAAUCGACACUAUCGAGGAGAUCGAGAACAGGAGCCUUGAAUCACAGUGAAAGGGCUUGUCGCCACAGUUACAAUAUAUUAAUCUCAGUUUCUCAAAGGAGAACUAGAACUAAACAAAACCCGAGUCUCUUAGGUGGGGGAGGCUACUAAGUUUAUAUGAAAAAGGGGCAAGCUAGGGUUGGGGACGACCAGGAGAGGGACGCCUACAACAUGGGCUUAAAGCCCGACUCAACUUGGCCCAAGUAACAUAUAUAUAAAUUAACAAGUAGAGAUACUAUACGAAUUAACCAAACUAAAACUAUAUAUAGUAAAUGGGCACGGGCUAAAAGUAAUAUAUGAUUUUGAGCUAAAUAAAUAUAGGGUUGGGUUGUGAAGGAGAUAUGGAUCUCGUAGCCACGAGUGAACCUGAGAGCUUAAAAAAACAGAGAGCGCCACACAUCGAUUAAAAGGUGGGCCGAAACAGAUAAAAGAUAAAAAAAGAAUCAUAUCGGCCCACAAUGAAAUGUUAAACAGAAGAACGCAAAUCUUGAAAACAUAUGGGUCGUUCAAAACCGACGGGCUAAUCUUUCUACGUGCUGGGCUGAUCCCAUGUGGGCCGAUACAGACACGUCAGGACAAGAAGACCCACCCGGCCAGGCCCAGACGCAGGAGACAAGAGAUUGAAGAGGAUAGAUCGAAUCAAUAGCCAACUCCUCUCGUCGUCCUCGUCUCCAAAUCGAGGCAUACCCCAACCCUAGCCAUCCCCAAUCCGGCCGCCGCGUCUACCGAUCCGUUAGAUCCAUGGCCGCCGCCGCCGCCGCCGCUGCCGGCGACUCCGCUGUACCCAACUGGGUGAUGCUGGAGCGCUGGGCCUUCCGGAGGGACGACCCCGCCUCCUUCCGCGAGGACAGGAGGACCUUCGCUUCCGGCACCACCUCCGCCGGCACUCAAUUCGACGUCUCCUUCAUCCUCGCCGAGCCUCCCACCCCCUCGCGCCUCUACCUCUCGUGGCCGGAAGGGCCCAAGAAGGGGGGCCAGGGCCUGGUCAUGGCGGCCAACCGCAACCUCGUCCUCUUCAGGCUCGACUCCCUCGUCGACGAAUCCGAGCCUUUCGGGGAGGUAGUGCAUGAUUACUUCAUCUACAUAGCUGAUCCCUCCUCACAGCAGACACCCCUGCUCAGACUGCUGCCCCCCUGCACCGAGUACAACGUUUAUUUUGAGAUGCAAGAUACUCGCGCGUUUCCGGUGCUGGCUGUUGGUCUGUUGUGCCAUGGCGAAGACGAGUUUGCCGUGGCGCAUCUGACCAUCAGGUCUCGCAAAAAAAAAUCAGGGUCUCGCAUAAAAAAAUCAGCUAUGCAAGCUGAGCUAUGCGUGCUACGCUCGUCAUUGUCCUGCAGUGAUGAUGCCAAAUGGGAGACCAAGGUCGUUCCGCUACAGUACCAAUACGAUGAUUUAUACUAUGAUUUUCUGAACUGGGAAGUGGAUGGUGUAGUUCCCUUCAAGAAUGCCUUGUGCUGGGUUAACUACUGUAGAGGCAUCCUUUUCUGCGACGGCGUCUUUGAAGACAGACCCAAGGUCUCCUACAUCCGCUUGCCUCUGGAUACUUCUUUCCGAGGGACUGGGACUGAUGCCGAUGCACUCAAGGGGAUGUACCGUGGCUUGUGUGUCACUGAAGGUGGCCAUCGGUUGGUAUUUGUUGAUGUUGCCCGUCAUGAUGGAAAAUGUUAUGGCCCGAGGAUGCCCAACACUGGUUUCACCCUCACCUCCCGGACAUUGAAGAUGACAGGGAAUUGCACCAUGCCGUGGGAGUGGAAUGAGGAUGCUGUUGUCACUUCAGAUGAACUAUGGCAUGCAAACACCAUGGAGAGUCUCCCUCAUGACAUUGUGAUGCUCCCAUUGCUGAGUAUGGAUAAGGCCAAUGUUGCGCACCUUUCAUUGCUUGACUGGGAUGGUGGCAGAUUCUCAUUAGUUUCCAUCGACUUGAGUAACAUGCAAGUGAUGGGCUCAGUCAUUACAUACCUCGAAGGGGAGGAUGAUCCUGCUGAUGCUGACAUCGUCAAGGCAAAGAAAGAAUUAUGUGCACACUUUAUUCCAUCCGAAUUCCCCAAGUUCCUGGGUCUCAGGUAACUUCAGCGUUGCCUCCCACUUUUACUUGAGCACAAUUUUUUUUCAUGCAGCCUUUUGCUCUCUUUUUUUCAGCAGUUAAGGUUUCUGCCAUGUUAUUCUUGAAACCUUUGAGGAAUCAACAGAAUGUGCUGGUUGCUGGGAGUAAUAUGGAUCAAUGUUUUCAAAUCUUUAUGUUGAGUCUAGUCGCUGGGGCACCAACUAGAUGGCUAAUCGUGACUAGGCAACGAUUAAAUUGCGAUUAGCUCUGAGACCAGUCGAUCCACCCUUGCCUAUAGUAGAGAAUGAUAGAGUAUAACACAAAGGUGACGAACUGAUCUCUUGGUUUGAGCCAACACAUAAUUGUUCUUUGUGGGUUCUUCAAUCUGAAAGUGCAUAAUAGCGUGCCAGCGUUGUGCUCUGUUUCCUUCACUAUUUUGAUUCUACAUGUCAAAUUAUUGAAAGGUUUUGUUCGGUUACCAACAACAUGGAUCCUUAGAAGUAGGUGGCACCCAGCGAAUCAGCAUCAUAUCGAAGAACCCCUAGGUCUUCUAAACAAACUGGCUGGAAUUGUGGAAAUCAAUUGAACUUAAUUAUAUCCAUAGUGCCUUCCUUGUAUAUCAUGUUUCAUUCAGCCAGUAGUAACCUCAGCAACUUGACGGUCUUGGGAAAUUAGGCAAUGGUAGUCUGCCCGAGGUUAAUAUAAAUGUUUCACAGCUUAAUCUGUUGCCUAACUGUUGCUUGUCACGUUGAUUCCAAAAUCGACCAUAUGCUAAGUUAUUUUUUCUGUAUGAUGUCCGAGACACCUGAGAAUCUUUUAUAAUUCUUGGUAACCAUGGAUACUGUCAAAAUAACUUCAGCAAUGGGUGAAUCUAAGACUAUGGGAAGCCUAAAUUUCAAUUUGUACAGAUUAUCUCUGCUGAAAAAUUGUUGAAAUCAUCAGCAUGUGCUGUAGCUGACAAUUAUUGUUUCCUAUUUGUAUUGAUGAAGUUCUUGCUACUGUAUUGCAGGGAGAGAGAGAACCAUCCAUAAGUCCUGUCACCAUAUCGGCUGGCCACCGUCGUCAUGUGUGUUGCUUCUUCAUUUUCCGGUUCUUAGAUGACGUUGUGCUGGAUUCUACUGCCGACUUUGUUGAUUGGCUACUUCAAUUCUGAGUUUAGUGCUCAGCCUUUGUGUGUUCCCUGCACUUGUGUACUAUAAAUAGCCAGGAAAAACACCUUUACCAGGCUCAUCCGUUGAACUAUAUGAUAAUGCUAGAUGAUGUGUCCAUGCCUUGCUAACGUCUUCUAAAUGCCAUGCGAGUUAAAAAUCCUGCAAUCAUGUUUCAUGGUAGCUUACCUUUGCACAAUGAAACUCCUCACUAAAAACACAGGUCAAUUUGAGGGACUAUUGUGUUAUUUUUACAGGGAUCUAAUGCCAUCAAUCAAAUUGUAAAAUACAGACAGGUGCGCGUGGAAUGGACACUUGUGUUCAUUCAGAUUUUUGUGAUAUUUCAUACCUAAUGAUUACCAGGUUGUCACGCCCCUACAUGCAAAAUUGGUCUACGAGAUGGGAUAUGAGCUCAAAAGGACGUGAGAGCUGUAUUAUCAUGUAGCUCAUGACCUGGCAGAAGUGAAUAGUUGCACGAAAUACAACAUUGCAAACAAGGUUUUAUUCAUUCUCUCUGCCGAUGGCACACGGUAGCAGAAGCAGUGCCACCAAUUGGUGAAAGAUUUUCAGUAAACUGAGUGUUUGACAGAACAAUAUGAUGCCACCAAAGCAAUCUGCAUGAGUUCUCUACCUCCGGAAGUCCAGAUGCUUGCUCUGUUUCAUUGCUGUAGCUCAUGGCAACUCUGGCAGCACCAUGGUCAUUUGCUGCACCAUUUUUCAGAAUAUGUAAAAUUCAAGUCAUACCAUGCAGUUGAUGGAGAUAAAGAUAUGCUCCAAAUGAAAUGAUUAAAAAAACAAUCAUAUUUAUUCUCCAGGCACCACUGGAACUCAUUCCCGAUGUCACUUGUCUCUGCCUGUGCCUACAUCGAGGAAGUAGCAUGCGAAUGAGAAAGAUGAAGAUAAGUACCAAGAGGUAAAUGUAUUCACUUGUCUCUGCAUGUGCCUACAUCGAGGAAGUAGCAUGCGAAUGAGAAAGACGAAGAUAAGUACCAAGAGGUAAAUACAUUCUUGAGAUAAAUAGAUAAAUAAAACCAAGGACCAGCGCGUGAAAAUAAGUACUCCGUUUAAGAUACUAUAUGCACAAUAAUCUUUACUCGUACAUAUUUUCUGUACAGCCAUGUACAAAGUUCAGCUCACUGUCAAGAGGUACACCAUACGACUGCAAGCUCAAAGAAUAGAAGAUUAUUACACACCACCCAAACUCUACCUUUUGUACAUCAGGUGCUCGAGAAACAUACAUUGGACAAGUAGAAUAAAAGUUAUAAAUCAUAUCAACAAUUCCAGUUAAAUACGGUGUUUCCGAAACAACCAACCGUUCUUGGGCGUAAUCUUCCUGACACUAUCCUGGAGAAACUGGAGCGUGCCUGGAGACAUGUGAGCCCUGUCCAUUGUGUUAACCUUCGCCGCCUUUCGAGGGGACAAGGCACACUGCAUUGCCCAGAUUGCAAGGGGGCGCAUGUAUAUCAAUGACCUAUAGUGGCCAUCCACUGUCCAUGCUUCUGGAGUUUGAAACCAGUACCUGAAUUUGUCAAGGAAAUUGAUUAUUAAUUAUUAGCAUAAAUAGGUCCAAUAAUGUGACUCCAUUUCUGUUACGAAACAAAUCGAUGAAUGCGCUGAAUCCAAGAUAGUGCGAUCAUAAAAGAACUAUAUCCAUUGCCAGUAACAAUAAAUAAUCUUAGCAGUCUUAAGCAGCAUUAACUUCGCAUACUGCAGGAAAAUGCACAGUAAUAUCUAAACCCUUUAUGACUUUAUCUCAUACUAUUACUUAACCAUUGUCAUCUCAAAGGACGAACUAGUAUAUGAGAACUACUCACAUUACUAUGCAUAUCAUGUACCGGGAAAAUGAUGCUAGGACUGGAACUUCUAUAUAGCGAAACAAAACAAGAAGCAUACUCAUAGCCCUCUUCAGACCAUCCUGAAAUAUAAAUGCCUUCUGCAGCAGUGAAGGCCUGAUGCUCCAUUCCAUGAAGCAGCAUCGUUGCAGCUAAACUAUAUGUUACUCCUGUCCAUAUUUCCGUUGACUGCAUACAGGUUUCAUCUACCUUCCCGUUCGGAUGCAUACCGUUCACGGCUCCCAUACGUCCUCCUUUCACCCUCAUCACAUUAUAGUCAAAUAUUUUCUGAAGCGUGCAUUUUAUCCUAUCCUCAUCAAAUAGAGGAUGAUGCAGUAUACCAUUGUCCAGCCAGCUGGUCUGCCUGGAUAGAACGGCUACUGUAACUUGUUCCACCGUCAUAAUUGAAGUAUGAACAAUUCCAGAAUCUGGCUUCAAAUACGGAUUUAGCUUUUGCAAAUCUUACCAUGCACCUCUCAGCAUAGUCAUCAUGUCCAAGGCUGCGGGCCAGUGCGGCUGCAGCUUGCAGUGCAGUUCGAAGGCAAAGGCAACCAGUACGCACUUACUCCUUGAACUAUCCAAGCAUCAUAAGUUUGAUCAGGAAAUCCAUCAUUUUCAAUCAUACCAUCACUAUCAUGAUCAAAUUGUUCCAUAUAUUCCGUAGCAGUACAAACUGCAGGCCAGACAUCCUUGCCAAAUGACAUAUCACCUGUUGCAGAAAAAUCUCUGUAAAUCUGAAGCACGAACUUGUGUCAUGGAUGUUGUAAGCAUUCAAUUCAUGCCAUUGAUCAUGUGCUCCAAGGUCACGGGCGACAGCACCAAUUACUUUACGAAUCCCCCAGGUACCAUCAGCAAGAAAUCUGACUCUACUGUUAUCUUCCCGCAAAACAGCUCUUGCAAAAUCACGUUGAAUGCUUUAUUCAAUCUUAGGAAACAGAUCCAAAAGAGCAAAAGAGGCAUAGCAAUGUACAUUGUAAGUGCACCACAUGAAGUACUCUAUUCCUUCCAGGUACAAAAACUUCCCAACGUUUUCUUUGUCAUCGAUCUCAUGUGGGUCAAAACCGAUUAGGGGAGCUGUAGAAUUGCAACUGCUAUCACGAAGUGAUGAAUCACUGUCCUCAAGGAGACUUGAAUUUGACUUGUUAUCAGCAUCAACCACCAAAGAUUCACUAUCUGUCAUGUUCGGAAAUAAAAAGGUUUCACUAUCUCAGAGUAAAAACAAUACAACAUAUAGAUACCGAAAGUUGCAAAUGAUCAUCAGAUUAGUAGUUGUAAAAAUUAAAGUAUCAUUUUUGUAUUGUCACCUUCUAUGAGAGAAGGUAAUCAGACCAAUAAAUUGACAGCCCAGAAGAUCAGAACAUUGGGAUUUGUAUCUAGAGAUAUUCUGCUCUUGAAUCAAUCUAGUAUUAUGUUUCUCUUUACUUUAUUCCAAAAUAAUUUGAUCAUUAAAAAUAGAAUCUACAUAUCAACAACAUGCACAUCACAAAUUUUUCAAGCAAUGCUUUCAUAGUAACAUGGUCAAAGCAGUACUCCAUAAAGAAUUUAUAGUGAAUAUGGAUCAUUGAAGGACAGAAGAAGAAAACUUAAUGUGCAUAUUGCCUAUUUAUUUUAUACUGCUUCCCAGAAGAGAACACUCAAAUGGAAGCUAAACGCAGGAUAAUCUCUUAGAAAAUGCUAAGUUAAUUGCUGAAUUCCAGUAAUGUAUAUAUCCAAAAUCAUCAAGCUCUUUGUGUUACUUGCAGGCUAAAUACGACUGAGAGUAGAAAAUUGGAGAAAGGAAAAAGAGUAACAAUACAUGCAGAGAUUAGUACCAAUCCAAACAGUUCCUCCAGCAACUAGGAAGUACAGCUCAUUGAAGAGAGUAAUCAGUCAAACAGGUUAGCAUAUAGUUAUGAGACAUUGGUUAUAUGCAGAUGAAGGAAAACGUUAACAUGCAUUGUCCAACAACUCUUCAAGGUUUCUACUAAAGGAAUCAAGAAGUAUUUUUUUUAACAACUGACUUGAGUUGUCUCAAUCCCAAUUUGGUUUUGUCAUGAUUGUCACCAAGUUAGGAAUAAAGAAUUUACCUGUAGUAUGCACUUCCUUUUUUAAAUUUAACCUUAGGAGAAGACCAAGCUAAUGCGGAUACGACUGUACAUCUUCCAUGUGGUUCAACCCAGGUGGAAGCAGAAACUGCUGCACAAACUGUAUCACCCAGUGAAGAAAGCAUGCUGGCACCAGCAUUGAAAUUAUCUCGCUCAAAGGAACCAUACUUUACACAUUGAAACUUCAAUCAUUUCAUUAUUUCAAAAAGGAAAGUAGUUCCACACAAGAUUUGCCUUUGAUGCGCUAGAAUACAAUAAUCUCAGAAACAAGAUUGUUUGGGUUUGGGCACAUUUUGGUCAAUACCCCAGGUUUCAGCACGCCCGUGGGCCGUGGUAACAGCAAUGAAUGGGCCAUCGUGGCCACCUGACUCGCCCGCCUUCAUAUUGUCACCCAUGAACACAAUGCCAGAUGCAUUAAAUGGAGGAAAUUCAGAGCGUGUAGACAUUGCUUCAGGUUCAACUUCAAUCCAUUGUCCAGUUUCAUGCUUCUGCUUCCACAGUUCAACAAAAUGGGAACAUGCCUUCCUAUUCAAUCAGCCAAAUUGAGGAAGUUAGCAUGAAAGAUGUCUGAUAAGAUGUACGUUAUAGUUUGAUGAAAUGACUAAACUUGUGUCGUUGUACAAAUUGAUGAACAAGUUCAAGAGAAGUAUUAAGACGGGAGCAUGGAAUAGUACAGUUUUCCACAGCUCAUGUUUCUCGUCUGAAUAAACCUUAUAAAACAUCUGAGGUAUCCACACUAUCCUGACAUGCUAAAGCAGAUGAUACAAGCGACAUGGGUAGGAGCCUCAAGAUCAAGCUAAAAGUACGAAAGAUAUUACGAUAACUAGCUCAGUCUAGCAUACAAAAACACUUGAGUAGUCUCAUUAUUCUUUGUUGCUCAGGAAAUUUGGAAGCACAGAAAUAGCCCGAUCUUCCGAUAGGUAUGGAUAAUUCGAUUGGUGGAGAACUCGAUGCUGAUAAUCCGAGCUUCUAAUCAGACACGAUUCGAACCCCUGCAACCGCUACACUGUUGCUCCGUUGGUUAUCAACCAAACACAACUCGAUUGACCUCGCCAAGAAGUUUUUCCCUGCAAGCGAAUCGAAAAACAUAAGAAAAAAGUAUAAACACGCAAUCUAAGAUUGCAGAUGUAUAUAAUAGAUCUAAGUAAAAGGUUCAAGCCCUCGAUUCAAAAGGACCAAUCGACACUAUCGAGGAGAUCGAGAACAGGAGCCUUGAAUCACAGUGAAAGGGCUUGUCGCCACAGUUACAAUAUAUUAAUCUCAGUUUCUCAAAGGAGAACUAGAACUAAACAAAACCCGAGUCUCUUAGGUGGGGGAGGCUACUAAGUUUAUAUGAAAAAGGGGCAAGCUAGGGUUGGGGACGACCAGGAGAGGGACGCCUACAACAUGGGCUUAAAGCCCGACUCAACUUGGCCCAAGUAACAUAUAUAUAAAUUAACAAGUAGAGAUACUAUACGAAUUAACCAAACUAAAACUAUAUAUAGUAAAUGGGCACGGGCUAAAAGUAAUAUAUGAUUUUGAGCUAAAUAAAUAUAGGGUUGGGUUGUGAAGGAGAUAUGGAUCUCGUAGCCACGAGUGAACCUGAGAGCUUAAAAAAACAGAGAGCGCCACACAUCGAUUAAAAGGUGGGCCGAAACAGAUAAAAGAUAAAAAAAGAAUCAUAUCGGCCCACAAUGAAAUGUUAAACAGAAGAACGCAAAUCUUGAAAACAUAUGGGUCGUUCAAAACCGACGGGCUAAUCUUUCUACGUGCUGGGCUGAUCCCAUGUGGGCCGAUACAGACACGUCAGGACAAGAAGACCCACCCGGCCAGGCCCAGACGCAGGAGACAAGAGAUUGAAGAGGAUAGAUCGAAUCAAUAGCCAACUCCUCUCGUCGUCCUCGUCUCCAAAUCGAGGCAUACCCCAACCCUAGCCAUCCCCAAUCCGGCCGCCGCGUCUACCGAUCCGUUAGAUCCAUGGCCGCCGCCGCCGCCGCCGCUGCCGGCGACUCCGCUGUACCCAACUGGGUGAUGCUGGAGCGCUGGGCCUUCCGGAGGGACGACCCCGCCUCCUUCCGCGAGGACAGGAGGACCUUCGCUUCCGGCACCACCUCCGCCGGCACUCAAUUCGACGUCUCCUUCAUCCUCGCCGAGCCUCCCACCCCCUCGCGCCUCUACCUCUCGUGGCCGGAAGGGCCCAAGAAGGGGGGCCAGGGCCUGGUCAUGGCGGCCAACCGCAACCUCGUCCUCUUCAGGCUCGACUCCCUCGUCGACGAAUCCGAGCCUUUCGGGGAGGUAGUGCAUGAUUACUUCAUCUACAUAGCUGAUCCCUCCUCACAGCAGACACCCCUGCUCAGACUGCUGCCCCCCUGCACCGAGUACAACGUUUAUUUUGAGAUGCAAGAUACUCGCGCGUUUCCGGUGCUGGCUGUUGGUCUGUUGUGCCAUGGCGAAGACGAGUUUGCCGUGGCGCAUCUGACCAUCAGGUCUCGCAAAAAAAAAUCAGGGUCUCGCAUAAAAAAAUCAGCUAUGCAAGCUGAGCUAUGCGUGCUACGCUCGUCAUUGUCCUGCAGUGAUGAUGCCAAAUGGGAGACCAAGGUCGUUCCGCUACAGUACCAAUACGAUGAUUUAUACUAUGAUUUUCUGAACUGGGAAGUGGAUGGUGUAGUUCCCUUCAAGAAUGCCUUGUGCUGGGUUAACUACUGUAGAGGCAUCCUUUUCUGCGACGGCGUCUUUGAAGACAGACCCAAGGUCUCCUACAUCCGCUUGCCUCUGGAUACUUCUUUCCGAGGGACUGGGACUGAUGCCGAUGCACUCAAGGGGAUGUACCGUGGCUUGUGUGUCACUGAAGGUGGCCAUCGGUUGGUAUUUGUUGAUGUUGCCCGUCAUGAUGGAAAAUGUUAUGGCCCGAGGAUGCCCAACACUGGUUUCACCCUCACCUCCCGGACAUUGAAGAUGACAGGGAAUUGCACCAUGCCGUGGGAGUGGAAUGAGGAUGCUGUUGUCACUUCAGAUGAACUAUGGCAUGCAAACACCAUGGAGAGUCUCCCUCAUGACAUUGUGAUGCUCCCAUUGCUGAGUAUGGAUAAGGCCAAUGUUGCGCACCUUUCAUUGCUUGACUGGGAUGGUGGCAGAUUCUCAUUAGUUUCCAUCGACUUGAGUAACAUGCAAGUGAUGGGCUCAGUCAUUACAUACCUCGAAGGGGAGGAUGAUCCUGCUGAUGCUGACAUCGUCAAGGCAAAGAAAGAAUUAUGUGCACACUUUAUUCCAUCCGAAUUCCCCAAGUUCCUGGGUCUCAGGUAACUUCAGCGUUGCCUCCCACUUUUACUUGAGCACAAUUUUUUUUCAUGCAGCCUUUUGCUCUCUUUUUUUCAGCAGUUAAGGUUUCUGCCAUGUUAUUCUUGAAACCUUUGAGGAAUCAACAGAAUGUGCUGGUUGCUGGGAGUAAUAUGGAUCAAUGUUUUCAAAUCUUUAUGUUGAGUCUAGUCGCUGGGGCACCAACUAGAUGGCUAAUCGUGACUAGGCAACGAUUAAAUUGCGAUUAGCUCUGAGACCAGUCGAUCCACCCUUGCCUAUAGUAGAGAAUGAUAGAGUAUAACACAAAGGUGACGAACUGAUCUCUUGGUUUGAGCCAACACAUAAUUGUUCUUUGUGGGUUCUUCAAUCUGAAAGUGCAUAAUAGCGUGCCAGCGUUGUGCUCUGUUUCCUUCACUAUUUUGAUUCUACAUGUCAAAUUAUUGAAAGGUUUUGUUCGGUUACCAACAACAUGGAUCCUUAGAAGUAGGUGGCACCCAGCGAAUCAGCAUCAUAUCGAAGAACCCCUAGGUCUUCUAAACAAACUGGCUGGAAUUGUGGAAAUCAAUUGAACUUAAUUAUAUCCAUAGUGCCUUCCUUGUAUAUCAUGUUUCAUUCAGCCAGUAGUAACCUCAGCAACUUGACGGUCUUGGGAAAUUAGGCAAUGGUAGUCUGCCCGAGGUUAAUAUAAAUGUUUCACAGCUUAAUCUGUUGCCUAACUGUUGCUUGUCACGUUGAUUCCAAAAUCGACCAUAUGCUAAGUUAUUUUUUCUGUAUGAUGUCCGAGACACCUGAGAAUCUUUUAUAAUUCUUGGUAACCAUGGAUACUGUCAAAAUAACUUCAGCAAUGGGUGAAUCUAAGACUAUGGGAAGCCUAAAUUUCAAUUUGUACAGAUUAUCUCUGCUGAAAAAUUGUUGAAAUCAUCAGCAUGUGCUGUAGCUGACAAUUAUUGUUUCCUAUUUGUAUUGAUGAAGUUCUUGCUACUGUAUUGCAGGGAGAGAGAGAACCAUCCAUAAGUCCUGUCACCAUAUCGGCUGGCCACCGUCGUCAUGUGUGUUGCUUCUUCAUUUUCCGGUUCUUAGAUGACGUUGUGCUGGAUUCUACUGCCGACUUUGUUGAUUGGCUACUUCAAUUCUGAGUUUAGUGCUCAGCCUUUGUGUGUUCCCUGCACUUGUGUACUAUAAAUAGCCAGGAAAAACACCUUUACCAGGCUCAUCCGUUGAACUAUAUGAUAAUGCUAGAUGAUGUGUCCAUGCCUUGCUAACGUCUUCUAAAUGCCAUGCGAGUUAAAAAUCCUGCAAUCAUGUUUCAUGGUAGCUUACCUUUGCACAAUGAAACUCCUCACUAAAAACACAGGUCAAUUUGAGGGACUAUUGUGUUAUUUUUACAGGGAUCUAAUGCCAUCAAUCAAAUUGUAAAAUACAGACAGGUGCGCGUGGAAUGGACACUUGUGUUCAUUCAGAUUUUUGUGAUAUUUCAUACCUAAUGAUUACCAGGUUGUCACGCCCCUACAUGCAAAAUUGGUCUACGAGAUGGGAUAUGAGCUCAAAAGGACGUGAGAGCUGUAUUAUCAUGUAGCUCAUGACCUGGCAGAAGUGAAUAGUUGCACGAAAUACAACAUUGCAAACAAGGUUUUAUUCAUUCUCUCUGCCGAUGGCACACGGUAGCAGAAGCAGUGCCACCAAUUGGUGAAAGAUUUUCAGUAAACUGAGUGUUUGACAGAACAAUAUGAUGCCACCAAAGCAAUCUGCAUGAGUUCUCUACCUCCGGAAGUCCAGAUGCUUGCUCUGUUUCAUUGCUGUAGCUCAUGGCAACUCUGGCAGCACCAUGGUCAUUUGCUGCACCAUUUUUCAGAAUAUGUAAAAUUCAAGUCAUACCAUGCAGUUGAUGGAGAUAAAUAUAUGCUCCAAAUGAAAUGAUUAAAAAAACAAUCAUAUUUAUUCUCCAGGCACCACUGGAACUCAUUCCCGAUGUCACUUGUCUCUGCCUGUGCCUACAUCGAGGAAGUAGCAUGCGAAUGAGAAAGAUGAAGAUAAGUACCAAGAGGUAAAUGUAUUCACUUGUCUCUGCAUGUGCCUACAUCGAGGAAGUAGCAUGCGAAUGAGAAAGACGAAGAUAAGUACCAAGAGGUAAAUACAUUCUUGGAUAAGGCCAAUGUUGCGCACCUUUCAUUGCUUGACUGGGAUGGUGGCAGAUUCUCAUUAGUUUCCAUCGACUUGAGUAACAUGCAAGUGAUGGGCUCAGUCAUUACAUACCUCGAAGGGGAGGAUGAUCCUGCUGAUGCUGACAUCGUCAAGGCAAAGAAAGAAUUAUGUGCACACUUUAUUCCAUCCGAAUUCCCCAAGUUCCUGGAUCUCAGGUAACUUCAGCGUUGCCUCCCACUUUUACUUGAGCACAAUUUUUUUUCAUGCAGCCUUUUGCUCUCUUUUUUUCAGCAGUUAAGGUUUCUGCCAUGUUAUUCUUGAAACCUUUGAGGAAUCAACAGGAUGUGCUGGUUGCUGGGAGUAAUAUGGAUCAAUGUUUUCAAAUCUUUAUGCUGAGUCUAGUCGCU
rnacentral:lncRNA from 1 species